AGACGAGAGGUAAAAAUGGACAAGUGUCCGACAGUAGAAUUAGGGGUACAAGAUACCCACCUGAGAGAAAAGAAAAAUAUAGAGCAUCUCAUUCUCCUCAUCAAGUUUCAAAAAGCAAGGAAGGUAUGUAUCCCCUCAAAAGAGCAAAAGUAGAAUUAGACUUCCACCACCAUUGUUUUCACCAUUGUUAUCACCAUCAUCACCAUACACCAUUCAUUCGCCACACAUGCACAUCUUGAUUUGGCUUAUUGAUUUGUUUCUUUGGAUCCAUGGUUUGACUAUAAAUGUCUUGUAAGUAUGUAUACUUUAUCUCCCACCUAUGAGCUCCAGAUAUUAAAGCCUUAUUAGAGUAGGGUGAGAGAGAAGGCAAUGUCACUAUGCCUCAUACCACAAAUACUACAUAUCUUGAGAGAAGGCAUAUACCAUCAAUGCCUUGGUAAGGAUCCAAAAAUACCACAAAAGAGAGACCUGAGAGAAUCAUACAAGGAAUUUCUGAGUUUUAUUUGAAAAUCUGCAAAAACCCCAGAGCUAUAGCUGAUCAAGAAUAAGAGACAAGGCACUUGGCUAGACUGUUCUAUCUUUUAACCACUCAAGACAGAAGUGACAGUUACAAGUCCCAUGGUGAAGGUAAAGUAAGUAAGUUUUAAGUCUUGACAGUUUACUCUUACUCAGAGAUGAGAUCUUAUUUAAAAGCAUAUGUACCGUCAAAUUUUUUUUGUAAAAAAAAGAUAUUGCAACUACUUAUGAUCCAUAGCUGAGUCUAUCCUUGCUCAGGGACAAGCAAGAGGUAAGCUUGGGGGAGUUUGUUGACGGUCCUUAAGUAUCAAAUUUAAUUAUCAAAUAAAUAAAGAAAAGGAUCCAAAUGAAAUCAAGAUCUAGACUUAAGGUUUUAUCUGACAGAAUUCCACGAGUUUUGGUGUUUGUCUAUUUCUGCAGGGGGUUAUUAGGAAAUAUGGAAGAAAGGCCCACACGUCGGGAUUACGUAAAGAUAUUAACGUGCUGCGCAAUUAUCUUACAUCUAGAAGACUCCAGAAGCCACGAGACCGAAGCGGAGGCGAAACGGGGCCAGAGACAGGGCGCCCGCCCUGUCCUACUGGGCGCCCGCCCUGCCCCUGAGUCCAAUCAGGACUCUGCUUUGCGGGAGAUCUCCACCGACCUAAAGGAUGAAUCUAAACCAUACAAUCUAUGUCGGUUUGAUCCAAGGGCCCAUAUUCACUUGAAGGGACUAUAAAACCAGACCCCCUGGGCUCUGGAGGAGAGAGCCUCUCAACCCUAAUUCAUUGUUCCAUCAAGGGAGAAGAAGCCUCUGAUCAAGAUUAGAGCCACCACAUCAAUUAGACAUCUAGAUUAGCAUAGCUACAUAGGAUUAGAACUAGAAGGAGUCAAUCUUCGAUUGGUUUCCGGAUCUGUCAAGAGGAUUCUUGGUAAUUCUCUAAUUGUGCUUCUAAUUACUUUCUAAUUAUCUUUGUUCUACUUCAAUAUAUUGCUUAUGACUUUGCUCUACUUGUUUAUAUUCAAGAUUAUAUUGUUCUUAGUUUAUGAUGGUUAUGUACUUGGCUUAGUUAGAUACGAUCUAUAUACAUGCUUUGGAUCGUAUAGCGUUUAUCCAUCGGAUCCAUGGGUAAAUGAUAGAUAUUGUGUAGGCGUGGUGCUUAUACCGUAUUUAUCUGCGAUUGUACCCAAUAUGCCAGAUCGUGGGGUGGUUCGUGAUAGUGACAGCUUCAUUGAUUCUUAUAUAGUCCCCCUCUCGUGUAUUGGGCUGGCAGAGCAACAUUAUUACAGGGGAGUGAUUGCCAUGUUUCUCAUAUUCCUUGCUAAUAUCACUAUGCAUGGGCGUAGUCUUGUCUCGCAAUGAUUGCUAAGUAUGCUUGCACUAACUAUGAUAAUGCUAGACUAUAUAGUUAAGAAUAACUUAGGGAAUAUUCUUGUAGUUCGUUCUAAUACCAUGCUAAUGACUUUCUAGAGUAUCUAAUUGAGGUGCUUAUCAUAUUUAUUGUGUGGCUAGAUCAGAUUAGUUAUCCUUGUCACUAUUAUUAUUUCAUAUAUCCUUUAUGUGACACUUAUCCCUGUAUGAUGAGUUAGAUAUAAUGUUCUCAAUUAUACAUGCAAUGAUAGAUGCUCAAUCUCAUAUUCUAUUCUGUAAUCAAUAGUGAUGAUUUCUAAUCCCUUCCUAGUGGUAAAAAUAUAAAUAACGAUACCUGGAAUACUUCCCGGUUAAAAUGCUGCAUCGGUAUUAAUCUGUGCGCUUGCAGAUCCCAUUCAUUAUUUAUUUAGAAGAGCAAUUGCAUAUUUCAAUACCGCGUCUCUUAUAUCAUGCUGGGGAUGACAACUUGGCUUAAGUGGUGUGAGGGAUAGGUUUGGCAUUUUUGGCACCGUUGCUAGAUUUAGAACUUAGUCUACUUUUGGUAAUGAUGUUAAGAAUACCCAACAUGAGGAUCAAGGAAAACCAUGCGAUUAAGGUCGGUUUGAUCGGACGGCCCACAUUCAUUUGAGGGGGCUAUAUAAGCAGGGCCCCUAGCCCCUGGAGAAGACACCCCUUGAUCCCUAUUCAUUAUUCAUAGACAGAGCAAAAGCUAGGGUUUGCAGAUGAGAGCUCUCCUCUCAUCUCUAAACUAGAGUAGAUCUAGAUAGUAGCGAGAUGGAGAGCGAGGGAGGAUUGGAGGAGAGGCCGGCCUGUCGGUUCUUCCUCCGGUUGUACUUCGCUAUGAUUAAGCUCUAAUCAAGCUUGCUCAUGGGAUGACUCGGGUAAUCUACUUCUAUUUCAUUAUGCAAUUACUAUUCAUGUUUUUUGGUUCACAACUCCUUUGAGUACUUUUAAUCUAUAGGACCCUAUAGGUUAGAGUUGUACUGUAGGUGUAAGCGUGGUGCUUAGACCUAGAUUACUUGUGGAUAUCCCCUGUCUAGUCGGAUUGUGUGGUAGGCCGCGUAGGUGACAGUUACGUUGGUCCCCUGUAGUCCACCUCCCAUUAGCAGGACUGGUAGGGUUUAUCGGCCUAUGGAUAAGCAUCCUUUGUGGUGUAAUCUUAUCACGUGGUUCGUCCCAGACAUAGACAUACCCCUUCGAAGUAGAGAAACCAUAGUUAUCCUCUUUAUUCUCCUACCAUCGCCCAUAUACUUGAUUGCUCUACUCUCUAUUCCCAUAUUAUCACCCAUUGUUAUCUUACCUUUAAUAUUGUUCUUAUUCUAUUCUGCCAUCUUUCCUAUUUACACCUAUCUAUCUAUCUAGGUUAAGUUAGAGUGUAGAUCAGUUCUUCCGUUUCCCUGUGGAUACGAUAAAACCUUUAACCGGGUAAAAGCUACAACGGUAUCCGUGCGCUUGCGGAUUUAUCUGUGUGCGUAUAAAUACCAUAGUACACUCUAGUGCCAUGCUAGGGAUGACAACCUAGUAUUCAAAUGGUGUUAGCAAGUGUCAACAGUCAACACCCAUACUGAGUACUAGCACGUGGAAGGCCACUGCACCCACCUCCACAGGUAGUGUUCCUUUCGCAUGCUUCAACUGUGGUGACCCUUCAUCUUCAAAAAUAUUCUAUACCAUAAAUAUUCAUUUGAAACCACACAUGCACAUCUUGAUCUAAGGGUAUGGUCUCCCCUCCGAGGAUCCUAGUUUGACUAGACAAUAUAUGCAAGGUAGUUUGUUGUAUCCUUGAAUUACCUUUAGCUCCACAUAAGCCUUAGUUAUAAGGAGUGAAGAGAGAAGGUACAAUGAUUAGUACCUUAGAAAGAAAUCCACAAAUACCAUGAAUGAGAGACUUGAAAGGAUCAUACAAAAGAAUCUUUAAGAUUCAUUUGAAAAACUUUGGAAAACUCUAGAAAGAAGGUUGAUCAAAGAAUUUAGAGUAGUGCUUGACUAUAUUGUUCUGUCUUUCAAUUACUUAAGACCCACAUAACAGCAGUGAGCUCUAUAGUUGAAGGAAACAUGGGUAAAUUUGAAGAUUGAACAGUUUAUUCAUUGUUUGGUAGAAUAAUUCCUUUUUGAAUAUUUGUGUACCUUUAAAUUGUGAAAGCAUUGCAGCAACUCCUAUACAUCACAGUAAUUUGCUAAGGGAGUAGCAAAAGGCAUGCUUGGGGGAGCUUGUUGACAGUCCCUAACGUCAACAUUAAACUUUCAAUUUAUGCACAACAUAAUCGCAGAAGAGUUAUUAAUGCAUAGUUGUAGUGAUUAAUCUAACAAGUUCCAUGAGUUGUGUUUCUCUUACCUAUUUUGUAGGAUUAUUGACACUUCACCACAUAAAAGUGCUAUAAAUGAUGUUAUAGAGCAUACCAUUGUAAAGAGCUUGUCAACAUGAUAAAAACGGACAUAUCACUUGUUAUAUUUGGAGUCCAAAUAAAAGAGUCCCCGAUGGAUAUGACCAAGAAUUCUCUCGAAUACUCCGGAAGAAUUACCAAACAAGAGUUUCGUGGACUGACAUGACAAUUUCCAUAGCUUUGGUGAUUUGUGAAUUUUUAGGGAUUAAAACAAUAUAAUCCAAGGAAGAGUAGGAGCCAAGGAACCAAACCAAAUCAUGUUGGAAUUUUGCAAGAAUUGACAGGAAGGUUAUAGGGGACGCCAAAAGACACAAGAAUGAGACGAGAGCAUGGUGGUAGACAAGUGGGGCCGGCCGGCCACACCUGCCAGGCCGGUCGGCCUGGGCCCCUCUAGAAGCGACUUUUGCUUCGCGUGACGGCUUCUAACUGACUUCUACGAUGCAUCUCGACCCUUGUUCUAUGUCAGUUUGAUGUAACAGCUGCAGUUCAUCCCACAAGGCUAUAUAAGCAAGGGUAGACCCCACUAAGGCAUCAGAGGAUCAGAUAUCUCAUUAGUUGAUCUCUCAUUGAGAAGGCUAGAGAGAAAAGCUAUGGUUUCCAAAUAGAAGAUUAGAUCUCCACUUAAAGUUUAGGGUUAGAUCUAGUUAGAUACAGUAGAGUUGAGCGCUGUUCAAGAUUUUGGAUCAACAUCAGAAGAUUUGGUAAUAUUUAUCAUUAUAUCUUGUAAUUAUGACUUUAUGCUACUUGAAUAUCAUUAUGUUCUUGUUUAUUCUGUUCUUAGCUUAUUCUAAUUCUAUCUUUGAUAUAGUUGUGUUUGAUAAUAAGUUUAGACAUAUGUUUGUAGAGUCCUAGUUCAACUCUAGAUUAGAUUAGGUGGUAGAGGUAAUGUAGACGUGGUGUCUAGAUUAUAUUUACUUGCGAAUGUACUGUAUUUUCUAGGCCAUAUGGUAGAUUGCGAAGUUGACACCUGGUUACUUGGGGGAAGGAUUGCUAUGUUCUUGAAUUCUCUAAAGUAAUAUUCCUUAUGUUUAGAUGGCAGAUUGAUUUUUGCUAUAAAUGAUAAAGAGUAAAAUAGAAGACAUGAGACUUAGUGGAUAGGAUAAUCUUUAAUUGUGUCGCUUUAUUCUACCCUACUUGAUCCUACGAGUCAUCUCUAAUUAUUGAUUCCCUAUCAUUAUCUCAUUAUUAUUAUUAUUAUUAUUAUUAUUAUUAUUAUUAUUAUUAUUAUUAUUAUUAUUAUUAUUAUUAUUAUUAUUAUUAUUAUUAUUAUUAUUAUUCUACCCUACUUGAUCCUACGAGUCAUCUUUGUUUAGAGUAUAUAUUUGUAAUUCUUAUAGCCAUAUCAAUUUUAUCUUCUAGAUCCCUUCUAGGAGCUCCCAGUGGUAAAAUUAUAAAUAACGAUACCUAGAACUUUCCUGGGUGUAAUGGUACAAAGGGAAUAUUUUAUUUAUGUGCUUGCGGAUAACAUUUGUUUCAUAUUUUAUAAGUGCUAUGGUUAUAUGUAUAACCAUAUUUCUUAUGUCGUGUUAGGGAUGACAACCUAGCGAGUGCAGCGUAAGAGAUGACAACAACAGACCCAGAGGAGCCAACGACUCAGGAGUUCAACCCUGACUACACUGAGGACCUCGAGGACGACCUGCCAGGUGCCGCAUCCCUACCAACCUCAUAGAAUCUUAUUAGUCAUGCCAUGAAUCAAAAAGCUAGCGCUUUACUUUUAUGUAAUGAAACUGUGAUAGGUUGCAAGGUAGAAAUGCUUGUGAGCCAUUACCUUUUCGCAACCUAUUCCCCUAGUUACCCGCUGCUAGGAUAGAUGCUCGCAUCUUACUUCUGUUACUCUACUUUGCAUUAUACCUAUGAUGUGAUGCUUGGUGGAUGGUUGUUGGAACCAGAUAAGGCACGUGGUGCCAUUAAACCUGAUAACAGACAUGGAGAGAUCUUGGCAUGUGUUUUGGGUGCAUGGUUAGAGUUGAGUCGAUCGACUAGGAAUAAACGAUGAGUCUUGGGACAAGUCAUGUCACGGAAUGCUGCCUCGGCAUUUCCCGAGACAGGUACCUGUGGUGGGUACAAGUAUUAUGGAGAGAUCCCAGGGUGGACUGUCUUUGUGGGAUGAAGUCCCAGGAUGGAGGUGCUGUUUAGCAUGGGGCAUAGGAUGUUUCAUCGAUCGGAGCAUCUGUUGGCCCCACAAGAAGAUGUCUUGUUUGGUCCCCCUAAGGACUCAUGUGUUCUAGGAACCUGUUCAUAGGAAUCCUUGCACCCUCACUCUCUUUCAUGGGACGGGGACUGAAGUAUGACCAGCUAGGGCAGUGCCACUACUACUAGGUUGUUAGUGGAUAGUGUAGGGAGGUAUGGGCAUGGGUCCCAUACCCUCCUAAGAUAGCAUAGUGACAUUAGGGGCCUGGUACUACAUCUUACAAUCUUAUCAUGUCGGUGGUACUCCGACAUGGCCCCAGUUCUGAGUGGUAGGGUGGUAUCAUGUUUAGUUGGAAGGCAGCCCGAUAUCAGCCUAGAUGAGGUGGAACAUCAAUGAUGGUGAUCUUGUGACUUGUGAGUGGUGUAAAACUCUACAUAGUUUCUUGUUGAUCGAUCGAUACAUACGCCGUUCUUCGGCUAUGGACCUUUCUUAUGUUUCAGCUUCACUUGACUAAAGAGAGUAGUUUUUUCUACCUUUCCCUAGGUUUGUGUUAUUUUUGGAGUUGGGCACUGAGGCAAGGCACAAGCGGGAGUCGUCCUUGCCGCCUAGAGAGCGAGAGUGUGGUGAGAUGUGUGCUGGGAUGGGAGAAUGUUUGGAGAAGUUGGAUUAAAACUUGAUGAAAUAUUAAAAUUGUGACUUACUCGCAUAGGAUGCUACAACCAUAAAUUAGGCCCCUUUUGGCACAUAUCUUUGCAUCCCACCUACACAAAGGUUCACAAAAGCAUAGGGUGGGAGCCAGUGGCCAGUACAAAUCGUACCGAUACAUUGGAACAGGUUCUGAGCCCGAGUACAACUACGUGGGUGAUGACUAGGAGGAGUAGCCGUCUUAGCCUAUGCUCAAGUUUGGAGGAUCUAGAGUUUGCUCUGUCGCUUCUUACCUAGAUGUUGUUCCAAAUGCUGUGUGUGAGUCUGAUUCCACCAAGUGGCAUUGUAAUAAUCAGUAAACCUCACUUGAACUCUCCUUUGUGCGUGUAUGACUCGUAUAAUAUCUGAAAUCUGGGUAUUUCGAUUGAACACUUUCGCAUGUCAAUCGUUUUACAUCUCGAAUCCAUGGAUUCGUCAAUGCACCCACCGAAUACUACUACUGCUGGCCACUAGAUCCGUGGAUGCUUUCUGCUAUUUUGCUUCUUUGAAAGUCUAGCUUGUCUGGAAUACAGCUUGAAAUUGAUGCGUGAGGAAACUAAGUUGUUACAAACAAGGCUUUAGUUCCACCUUACUAAUAGAAGUAAGAGCAACUCCAAAAGACUCUCUAUAUCAUUUUCUAAAUGCUAGGAAUAUAAAUUUUGGUGCAAAACUACCCUCCAAUAACUUGUCUAAAUGGUUAUCUAAAUAUAGCAAUAUUUUAUUCGAAAUAUUUCAUUAGGCAAAAAUAGAAGACGAGAAUGACUCUCUAGAGUGCGCGAGAGAAUAGAAAAACUAUGGUAGAAACCAGUUACUUGGUGUGGGGGUAUAAACCCCUAUACCCUUACGGCUAGACUUGGGCCAGGAGGCUUGGCCCAUCACGAGAUAGUUUGAGGCUUGAUCCAACUGCUCGGAGUCUCACCAAGGAAACAAGACGCGGAGAUCAAGCCAGAUUCUAGUCGGUUAGAAUAGGAAUUGAUAUCAUGUUAUCUAUGGCAAUUGUAACCAACUAGGAUUAGUUUCCAGAUCUGUAACCCUGCCCUCUGGACUAUACAAAGAGAGGCAAGGGACCCCCCUAGAACAACAUCUCAACUCAACACAAUUCAAUCCACAGCAAUAUAAUCAGACGCAGGACGUAGGUAUUACGCCCAUACGGCGGUCGAACCUAGAUAAAAUCCUUAUCUGUGUCUUGCGUCACCAUCGAGUUCGUAGCUUGCGCACUUGUCUGCCGAUAAACUACUACCGUGGGCAUACCCCAAGGUAGACUGUCGACUAGCUUUCGUCGACAGUGGCACGCCAGGUAGGGGGUGUGCGUACAGCUUCCUAGACGAACAAGAUGGUCAUCGUCCUAGCUUCCACGACCGUGGCUGAAGGUCUCACAUUCACCGUCGGGCAGAUCACUUGGACAACUCGCGGCGAUGGCCUUACGACCACGACUCUAGAAGAAACCCAGAUCCAAUCUAGGACAGCAGAGGCGUCGACUCCGAUCACGCCAACUCCGAGGACUUGACCUCCGCUCCCUCGCUAUAGGGCAAAGCGAGUCGACAACUCGGAUCUUCUUCAAGCACUCGAUCGCACCGACCACAAACUUCUCGAAGCCUCCAGCCUAGUGGAUUCGAUUUCACGCAAGCCCGAUCACGCGACAACAUCAAAUUUUUCGACUCCCGUCGACCAACUCGUGUCGCCACGCACGAACGACUAGAGACAUCCCUGACGAUAACAUCAACCACCACGGGACGUACUGUCAAGCUCAAGAUAGCUUCCCCAGACCCAAACUUCCCUCAUGGUCUGAGCAACGCGGCCGAUCAAUUUUCGCGGCACACCCAAUCCCUAUUCGGGAACAUGGGCUCGUCACCGAGCCACAACAGGCGAGCAGCCCAUUGUUGAUAUUUAGUAAUGCCAUUAGGAAAUGAUCCGCAAGCGCACGGAUAUCGGUGAGCAUUUCACCCGAAAGGUUAUCCAGAGUAUCGUAUUUAUAUUUUUACCACUGGGAGAAAGCGUGCAUCUGACUAACCAAAUCCAUUGCUACUACCCUUUAGGCUACAAACAAUGUGAUUCGAUGUGAGCGAUGUAUAGAGAAGACUUCAACUGCACCCUCGUUCUAACCUUGGUAAGGAUGAUCUACUAUUCUGUUGGGGAGGCUCACAGAAUCUAGACACCACAGAGGAUGUUCGACCUACACCUAUAAACCCUAUCGAUCCUACUAAUGGGAUUAUGGGCUACCAAGGUAACUCGAAAAUGUCAUGUUCCUCGCUACUACCACGGUCCGGCUAGACAGGGGAUCUAUGAGUAUCCUAGCCCAAACACCACGUUUACACUAGAGAUGAUUACUCUAAACUCUACGCGAAGAGAUCAAAGUAAACUCAUAAACCAAAGAACAAUAAAACAAAGAACUUACUAGAAUUUAGAAGUCGAAAUACUGAAGAAUCCUAGGAGCAAGCCUCGGGUUAGGAGACUUGAUCCCGUAGGUACAACCUCGGAGUAGACACCGACAGGCCGGGAUUCCUCUGAUCUACACCUCCACUCUAUCUCUCUCAAUCUAGUAGAACUAAUUCUACUCUCACAUUGGAUGCUAAGCCCUAUGAGGUUGGAACCUUAAGGAACCUCUCUCUCUGAAUCCUCUCUGGAAAAUAUGCUAAUGAAUAAUGAGGAUUGCCUCCUCCAGGGGCCAGGGAGCCUACUUAUAUAGCCCCUCCAAAUGAAUAUGGGCCGUCGGAUCAAACCGACAUUAAUCGCACGGUUUUCCUUGAUCCUUUAGGUCGGUGGAGCAUAAUCCGCGAGGUGGAACUUAAUUGGUUGAGACACCUGGGCGGGCGCCCAAGGGGGAGGGCGGGCGCCCUACCCUCGGGCCCGCUCGGCCUCCCGUUCGUUCCCGUGGCUUCUGAAAACUUCUAGAUGAUAGAAAAUUGCUUGGCACGUUAAUAUCUAUAUGUAAACCUGACGUGUGGGCCUUUCCUCCACAUUUCCUGAUAACCCCCUGCAGAAAUAGACAAACACCAAAACUCGUGGAAUUCUGUCAGAUAAAACCAUAAGUCUGGGUGUUGGUUGCAUUUGGAUCCUUUUCUUUAUUUAUUUGGUGAUUAUAUUUGGUAUUUAAGGACCGUCAACAAACUCCCCCAAGCUUACCUCUUGCUCGUCCCUGAGCAAGGACGUACUCAAGAGUUUCUACAGUGGUUUCAUGCCUUAAAAGUACACAUGCGUUCAAGCAAGAUCUCAUCUCUGAGUUAGAGUAAACUAUUAAGGCUUAAAACUUACUAAUUUUGCCUUUCACCAUGGGGCUUGCAACCAUCACUUGUGUCUUGAGCAGUUAAAAGAUAGAACAGUCUAGUCAAGAGCCAUGUCUCUUGUUCUUUGAUUAACUAUAGCUCUAGAGUUUUUGUAGAUUUUCAAAUAAAACUCAGAGAUUCCUUGUAUGACUCUCUCAAAUCUCUCUUUUGUGGUAUUUCUGCAUACUUACCAACGCGGUAAUGGUAUAUGCCUUCUCUCCAAGUAUGUGGUAUUUUUGGUAUGAGUCAUAGUGAUAUUGCCUUCUCUCUCACCCUACUCUAAUAAGGUGUUGAUAUCUGGAGCUCAUAGGUGGGAGAUAAAGCAUACAUACUUACAAGACAUUUAUUGCAUAGUCAAGCCAUGGAUCCAGAGAAACAAGUCAACAAGUCAAAUCAAGAUGUGGAUGUGUGGCGAAUGAAUGGUGUAUGGUGAUGAUGGUGAUAACAAUGGUGAAAGUCUAAUUCUACUUUUGCUCUUUUUAGGGGAUACAUAACUUUCUUGCACUUUGAAGCUUUUUGAGGAGAAUGAGAUGCUCUAUAUUUUCUUUUUCUUUUAUCUCAGGUGGGUAUCUUGUACCCCUAAUUCUACUGUCGGACACUUGUCCAUUUUUACCUCUUGUCUCACUUUUUCUUUCCUUCGAGGUUCUGGGCACUUGCCCCUUUUUAUUUCCUCGUUUUCACUUUUUUUUAGAGCACUCACCCUCUUAGAAUAAUGUUGCAAGUGGUAGUAACCAAAAUAUCUCGAGCAUUUAUUUCACGGGGAAUAUCAUGGAUAGAUAAUGUUUUUGGCUAUUCUCUCCUGGAUAGGAGUAGAAUAAUUUUGGGUGAAUCUAGAGAUGGAAAUGAGUGGAUGUAUGUGGAUGCGUACUUCCGGAGUAGAAGCAGUAUGUAUGAGUGAACGUACAAGUGAAUCUUGAUUUUAACCGUAUAAUAAGCUCCUAAGGGUCUACACAGCUUGACCAUACUCAAUGCUCAUAAGCAGUAAAAAGUAAAUGUAUGGUUCUUAGUCUAAUAAGCAUGUAUGUAUGGCUGUGGUAGGAAUUUAAACUCUUAUCAUACAAGAACUCAUCAUGCAAUAUUUUAAAGAUUUUUAAAGAUAAUAUUCUCUAGAAAUCUAGUAUCUCUAGGAAUAGAUAAACAACAGCUCAACCUUCCCAUAUCGUAUCCGUUAACGACUUAGACUUUUGAUCAGGUACUCUUCUCACAAGUUUAGGUUUAGAGCAAAUCUUAAUUCAUAACAGUCAUGCCUAAACUUGAGAGAGAUUUUAAUUUUGAGAACUAUCAUGGCAGAGCAACUAUUCAUCAUUUCCAUAUGAGAGCUUAUCAUGAGGGUUCAUAGCAAACUUUAUUUAUUUAUUUAUUUAUUUAGCAAACUAAGCAAAGAUAUAUAUAAAAGCACAAAAUCUUUAUUUGGGUUUUUAUGAUUAUGCAUCUUUUUUAUUAUCUGAGUCAAGUAUAAACACGAGUAGAAACACUUAGCUGGAUAAAUGGGGGUGCUCUCCCCCAAGCUGGAUUUUGACGUAAUUUCUUGUGAUGUAGCUAGCAGGUGGCGGAGAUGUAUUUGAAUGUCGACAGCACCCUGACAGCGAUUACUAUGUCCUCCGCCGGCUAGUCUUCUUUGAUCCUUGAAUUCUGUGGAGCUCAAAUAGACAACAAAGCUUUGUGGAACUGGUUAAGUGUUAGCAUAAAAUCUCUUAGCCUUUAUCAUAUUGAGAUUCCUCCUAAUAAAUUUUAUUUAUUUAGCAGAAUCAUGCACUUAUUAUUUUUAUAUUUUUAUUGUAAGAUGAAAACAUAUUUAUUUUAUGCCACCACAGUCAAUAUACCUAUGGGUUUUAAACCACAAGUCUACUUACAUGGGGCUUUAGAUUUUAUGAUGCAGUGCAACGAACAAAUAUUUUUGUUUUCUUUUCUAAUGCUAAUGUAGAAAAGGAAAUAUGCUAAUGCAAGUGAUGAAAUAAAAAGGAAAAGGAAUGCAGAAAAGAUAAAUAUGAAUAAAUACUGAUUUUACCUUCUUGCAAGGAUCCAAUGUUUUAAGUCUUCUGCACAAGACUUCUCACCGUGUUCAUCCUUUAGGUGCAUCAUUUGAUUAGGUGUGGGCCUUGACAUCUGCACCUCUUGAUACGGUGUCACCCAUGUUCUUCGUUUGUCCAGCAGUUUGAGGUGCGGCAUUGGCAGCAUCCUGCUUAUUGUGUUUGUGCUUGUAGAUCCAAGUCCUUCACUUGGAGGAAUCUCGGAGUUGUAAAACUCCUUCACGUUUUGCGCGAAGUGUACCUGCUCAUAGAGACAAGGCAGAGAUCAAGUGCAUGGGCCCUGUUAGUGGAAAACACCAACAGAACCAAAAGUGUAUUUCUUCUUCUCUAACCUUAAGCAUAGUAAGCAAGACAAAGUUAUUGGACAAUAAGAUCAUGAGUGUAGCAUUUAAAACAUUUGUCAGAUCUGAUCGCUCAACCUAAUGGAAAGAUAAUCUAUCUAUAUUUAUGUUUUUUUAUAUAUCUUCCAAAGAUUGAGUGUGCAACAUUUUAGCUCAUAUGAUUAGGAGUGUGGGAUCACAAAGGUGGAGGGACUAAUCAUGUUGAAUCGAUUGGGUUGGUUAAUCUAGAGUUGUAAAUCAUACAUGUUUGUCUCUUUUAUUCAUGUGAACGCCAGAACCAAGGAGAAGCUUAUAAAAGUGAUAGUCAAUUACCUUAAUAUGUUACCUUACUUGAAGAGUGAUGGUACAGUAUCACCAUGUGGAAGCUUUCCUUUCUUAGCGGUUGUGCAUCGUGUUUGUGGCACCCUCCAUGGAUCAUCUCUUAUGAGCUAUGUCUUCCUUGUGCAAAUUGUUAACCUUCAGGUGUCUCUCAAUUUGUCUCCAAUGUGAGUUUACCUCAGGACUUCCCAGGUCGAUAUUGGAAGUUUUCCUGCAGGGGUUAGUCCAACAAAAUAUCCAAUAUCUACUAUAGCAUACUAUCGGCUCAAAAAUCAACCUAGACACCAUGUCUAAUUUGAUGUAGGAGGACAUUUUAACCUAAGCACCAUGCUUAAUUUAAAAUCCCUUGGAUGUAUGAUCAUCAUUCCUAAACUAUGCACCAUGCUUAUUUAAGAGAUAAAUGAAACUACUCCAAACCUAGACAUAUACUAAAGCAAAUAAAGGUAGCAUGAGAGCAUUUAUAGACAUCUACUCAAGUGGAGAUGAAAUAGUGUGAUUAGUAUUUAACAAAUUAAGCAUGUCUCAAAGGUAGGGACAACCAACAUAGCAACAUGGCAAAGGAUAUUUUUAUGUAAAGUACUCCCCUAUGCUUGAAUUUUGCACAACUCAAGUUUGAAUGAAUUUAAUUCAAUGUUGUAUGAUGAUUGGUUGGACAUACCUUGUGCUUGUAAUUCAUCCGAUCUUCUUGCUCCAAUCCUGGAAAGGUUAGUGACAAGAAUACCCGAAGGAAUAUUUUUACAAUUAUCCUUAUAUGCUCAAUACACAAGGAAAUAUUGCAAAUAAUUAAAAGCUCAUGUUACGAUCUGAUCAGUGCUUAUUUUAGGAUACUAAGCUUGUCUUUGGGAAACCAUCAAUUUAUGUCGGCAAAGUGGUUUCCCCUACAACGCUGACCUAUAUCAAGAUCAACUCAACGAGAUCUGCAAUAUUUAUUAUACACAUAUGCAUCGACAACCGCCCUUUUAUAAUUUUUAUAAAUAGAAAGGAAGAGGGGGUUCGAGAUCUCAAAUGUGGUGAUGUUGGAGAGACCAAUAGAUUGGGAAGAUGAUGCAUAUGAGCAUGGAGUAAACGAAGUGGCUAUGAAAUAAAUUCCAUGCCCAUUAUUGUUAUCUUUGUCUCCAAUCUGAAUGUUCGGAGUUUCUCCUAGAUUGGUCUCGCCUAUGUCCUCUUCUGUAGUUGGAUGAAUCUCAUCUUCAAAGGGAGUUAAGAACUCACCAUUUGAAAUUGAGCCAAAGUCGGAAUCCAUUAAGGCUUCUUCCUUGUCCAUCCAUUCAAUGGUGAUAGCACAUGGAUUUUUAAUGCCCUCUAGCCAUUGAUGUUGCUCUUCUCGAUCCUGCUUAUGGUCUUGGUGACUCUUAUGCAUGGGAUGUCUAGAGAGAUUCAUAGGAUCAUCGGGAGAUUCAAGAGAAAGAGCAUAGUAGAAAUUAUUAGGCUCAAGGAUGGGUUUUAAGAUAGGUUCGAACGAGUCAUCAAAAGUGGGCGUAGAAGGGGAGAUGAUGAGAUUGUCUUCUAAAUGGCUUCGCUCUCCUUCUAUUGCAUCACAUAAGAUGCCAUCCUUGAGUCUUUCUAGAUGUCCAUCAAAGGGAUUGGAUUUGAGAUGCUUUCUAAGAGAUCCCUUCUUAGGAAGGUUCACUAUAUGCACUCAAAGGUCUUUUAUGAAGCAGGAAGUUUAAGCUCAUCCCAAAAUGAAUUUCCAAAGGUAGAAUUUCUUCUUGCCUUAGAUGAUUUUGGAGCACUACUAGUUUGGGUUGGAUAGCCGAAUCAUGGGAUUGAAAUGUUUGGAAAUCGGCUAUUGAAACUUCUUUUCCUCGUCUGGGAGAUGAUUCCUUCUCUAUCUCUAGGAUUUUUUUAUGAAGACUAGUGCAAGAAGGAUGUCCAUGAAUGAAGACAUACCUUGCUUUACUAACAGAUAAAGAAAGAAAAACUCUACCAAAGGUUAUAUGAUUAAGACCAAUGUGAAAAUAUCGAGGAAAAACAUGGUCUUUUAGGGCUAGGUCUAAACCAAAAUUUAUAGAAAGAUUUAAAGAUUCCCUAGGUGUAGCUAAAAGUUCGUUAUCUUCGUGAUUAAAAGAUAGGACCUCGGCUAUAGAAAAGGGCUGGUUUUGACCUAUUGCAAUCAACUCCGGACACAGAUCAUAAUUAGGGCACAGAAAGGACUUGUUGACUCCCAUGGUCUAUGGCUGGUCUCCGAAGGUGCAAAAAAUUCAAUAAUUGGUGUGGAAUUUGAGUUAUCCAUAAAGAUGGGAAAAAUAAAAAGAUAAAAAGAAUAAAAGUAUAAAAGUAUAAUACAAGAUAAUAGCAAGACUUAAAGUUAUCUCAGCAAACUGUCUUUCUCUCCGGCAAUGACACCAGAAAUGCUUGUUGAUAUUUGGUAACGCCAUCAGGAAAUGAUCCGCAAGCGCAUGGAUAUCGGUGAGCAUUUCAUCCAGGAGGUUAUCCAGAGUAUCGUAUUUAUAUUUUUACCACUGGGAGAAAGCGUGCAUCUGACUAACCAAAUCUAUUGCUACUACCCAUUAGGCUACAAACAAUGUGAUUCAAUGUGAGCGAUGUAUAGAGGAGACUUCAACUGCACCCUCGUUCUAACCUUGGUAAGGAUGAUCUACUAUUCUGUUGGGGAGGCUCAUGGAAUCUAGACACCACAGAGGAUGUUCGACCCGCACCUAUAAAUCCUAUCGAUCCUGCUAACGGGAUUAUGGGCUACAAAGGUAACUCGGAAAUGUCACGUUCCUCGCUACUACCACGGUCCGGCUAGACAGGGGAUAUCUAUGAGUAUUCUAGCCCAAACACCACGUUUACGCUAGAGAUGAUUACUCUAAACUCUACAUGAAGAGAUCAAAGUAAACUCAUAAACCAAAGAACAAUAAAACAAAGAACUUACUAGAAUUUAGAAGUCAAAAUACUGAAGAAUCCUAGGUGCAAGCCUCGGGUUAGGAGACUUGAUCCCGCAGGUACAACCUCAGAGUAGACACCGACAGGUCGUGCUUCCUCCGAUCUACACCACCACUCUAUCUCUCUCAAUCUAGUAGAACUAAUUAUACUCUCACAUUGGAUGCUAAGCCCUAUGAGGUUGGAACCCUAAGGAACCUCUCUCUCUUAAUCCUCUUUGGAAAAUAUGCUAAUGAAUAUUGCCUCCUCGAGGGGCCAGGGUUCCUGCUUAUAUAGCCCCUCCAAAUGAAUAUGGGCUGUCGGAUCAAACCGACAUUAAUCGCACGGUUUUCCUUGAUCCUUUAGGUCGGUGGAGCAUAAUCCGUGAGGUGGAACGUGAUUGGUUGAGACACCUAGGCGGGCGCCCUUCCCCCGGGCCCGCUCGGCCUCCCGUUCAUUCCCGUGUGUUAUGGACUCUUCUAGAUGAUAGAAAAUUGUGUGGCACGUUAAAAUCUCUAUGUAAACCCGAUGUGUGGGCCUUUCCUCCAUAUUUCCUGAUAACCCCCUGCAGAAAUAGACAAACACCAAAACUCGUGGAAUUCUGUCAAAUAAAACCCUAAGUCUAGGUGUUGGUUGCAUUUGGAUCCUUUUCUUUAUUUAUUUGAUGAUUAUAUUUGGUACUUAAGGUCCGUCAACACCCGUCACUUCGACAAUAUGGUCUCCAUCCGCACUUUGCCAGAAGACAAGUGCAGCAGCACAAACUGCAGCAUAGGGUCGGUCCCUACCGAGGUUUUACACCCUGAGGACGAAGACUACGACUUAGAUCUGCCGCCAUACCCCCCGGGGUUUUCCCGCUUCCCAGUCUUUCCACCCGGACGAGGUGACCAGGUUCUCAACGUCAGCAAUGACAAACCAGUUGUCGAAGGCGAAACCGAGGAGCAAAGACAGUAGCGAGAGCAGUGCAAUGUCGACUGAGCCCAACGACAAGCAGACGAGGAGCGACAACUCGCCCCAAACAACCUUGGUGAUGCUUUCGACAUGGUCGGAAAUCAGUGGGUCUACAAGACACCAAGCGCUAAUGUGGUCGUCGCCAUGGCAAACUUAGAUCGCCUUCCCGACACUACGGAAUAUCAGGACGUUCGAACCAACAUAUGAGCGCAUCUGAUCGCGGCCAUGGGACAGACCGCUACUCUGCUCAAAAGGGUCCAAGCCGUCUCCUACACGGAGGUCACCUCUGACCAGACUCAUCGCAGCCGCACCUCACCACGAUCCGGUGGGCACCAUCGUAGCCGUUCACCUAUCAAUAAUCAAAGGAGGGACACCCAUCGCUACAAUCGUUGUCAAGACGCUGGCAGUUACCACGAACAAAAGCGCGGACGUGGUCAGGAGGUGAACCAAGACCGGGACCUAAGACACAACAUCCCUCCUAAGGAUGUCCGUGAACGCAUCAACAGGCGCAUUACAGAACGAGCAGUACAUGAAAAUGUGCGACGCAUCGAGUACGAUGCAGCACAUGGCCCCCCGGCCUAAGAAAUUACUCCUCACACCUUCGCCAAGUCAUAUGGCCUCGCAACUUCAAGCUUGAGAAGCUUAAAAAGUACGAUGGCAAGGAGAAUCUCGAGAACAGCAGGGGACGAGCACGUCAUGGCAAACUACUUCUUAGUCGUCCUCGACCAAGCCGGCCACCAAUGGCUCCUCGGUCUACCCGAGGACUCUUUCGAUUCUUGGGAAGAAUUGCGCCAGGCGUUUAUUGAUAAUUUCAUUGCUACCUGCGAGCAGCGUGGAAACAAAUACGACCUUGAAAGGAUAAGGGACAGGAAGAAUGAGCCCUUGCGCGAUUACAUCCGAUGCUUCUCGGAUAUGCACCUCAAGAUUCCAAAGAUUUCCCACGACGAGGCUAUGUCGGCCUUCAUCAAGGGCCUACGCUUCCACGAAGCAUUAAGAAGCAAGCUACUACGCAAAAGGCCGACCACGGUCGCUGAGCUCCUCGCCACGGCCAAAAACUACGCCAAUGCCGACAACGCAGAAAAGCUCAUCCGCGAAGAUGUAAGAGGAGCCGAGCAGCCUCCCCGAUGAGACGACAACCGCAGGCGUUUCAUCCAGAAGUCGUAGUCAAUAUGGGAAACAUGUGAUUAUCCUAUUUAUACCCCCAUAGCUAGUCCCCGAGCUCCAUGUAUUAUGAUGCAACACGCCGUCUUGAGCUUCUUCGACCAGCAAGACUUGACAUCUUUGACAACCAGGAAAGUCGCUUGAACAAUUGUAACGAUAUUUUGACCAAUCUUGAAAACCAGUUGACCAACAUCAACAUCGAAGAAGCUGGUUGUUCGAAGAAUGCAAGGUGCUCUUUGAGAAAAAAUAUUUCUUUCGCGAUGAAGUGUGCCCACUUUACUUUUCUACAUAGUAAAGUUUGCCAAAAACAAGCAAGUUCACCGCAAGGUGAAGUGUGCCCACUUAGUCCCCGAGCCGGGUAGUAGGUGACAUAGGCACGUGGUGCCAGGGGCAAAAAAGAAAAAGUCUCCAUAGAAAAUCUGAUGUUGAGAUGCAUCGCCAGAAGGCGUAGUAUGAGCCGACGUAGUCCUCGAGCUUGCCGGAAGGCGUAGUAUGAGCCUUGUAGCAAGGUCAAAAUAGUUAAAAUUAUCCAAUUAGACGUUAUGCAAUUAGAUUUUCCAAGCUGAGGGCGCGUCACACUUGUUUGCGACUGAAUGGAAACGGCCAACCGGUCGGGCGAACUGGUCGGCCAGUCCCCGACCAUAUCGUGCUCGGUGGUCGGUACAGUCCCCAGAUUGUUGAAUAGGCAAACUGGUCGGCCAGUCCCCGAGCAUAUCAUGCUCGGUGGUUGGUAUAGUCCCCAGAUUGUCGAUUGGGCGAACUGGUCGGCCAGUCCCCGAGCAUAUCAUGCUCGGUGGUCGGUGUUGACGGUCCUUAAGUACUAAAAUUAACAAUCAAAUAAACAUAGAAAAGGAUCAAUAUGCACCAAACAUCUAGAAUUAGGGUUUUAUCUGACAGAAUUCCACGAGCUUUGGUGUUUAUCUAUUUCUGUAGGGGGUUAUCAGGAAAUAUGGAGAGAAGGCCCACAUGUCAUGUUUACAACGAGAUAAUUACGUGCCGCGCAAUUUUCCUCAAUCUAGAAGAGUCCAGAAGCCACGGGAACGAACGAGAAGACGAUCGGGCUCGGGGGCAGGGCGGCCGCCCACCCCCCCUUGGGCGCCCGCCCAGGGUUAGAGUCCAAUCAGGACUCUCUUUCGGGACUACGCUCCACCGACCUAAAGGAUGAAUCUAAACCAUACAAUCAAUGUUGGUUUGAUCCAACAGCCCAAAUUCACUUGAAAGGACUAUAUAACCAAGGCCUCUCCACCCCUGGGGGAGAGAAGAGAAGAGGAAAAAUCAUUAUCAGAGGUAGCCAUCAAAGUUAGGGUUUAGAGCUUCUCUCCCACAGAGAAUUAGUAUUAGCUACUCCCUAAUCCUUCAAGUUUAGAGGUUUGAUUAGAUAGCAAUUAGAGAAGUAGAGCACUACGCUCUGGAUUCAGAUCUUCGGUAAUAAAGUUUGGUAUUAUUCAUAUCUUCCUCUAAUACUUUGUUCUAAUUGCAUUAUGUCUUUAUUUAUUAUGAUCUUAGUUUGUUCUAGUUCUAUAUUUGAUAUAGUUAUGAUUGAUAAUAAGUUUAUGUAUAAGUUUGCAAAGCGCUUAGCUCUCAAUGCGAGGGAGUUAAGUGGUAGAUCACAUGUGGGCGUGGUGCUUAGAUGUUAUUUACCUGCAAAUGUAUCCUACUGGCCGGGUUGUGUGGUAGUUCGUGAUAGUGACAGCUUUGUUGAUUCUUAUAUAGUCCACCCUCCGUUUAUAGGAUGGGCAAAACUUGUAUUGCGGAGUAAGUCUUGCAAUGUUCUGAUUUACUUUAGCAAUGUUCCUUAUACAUGAAUGAAGAGUCUUUUAUACUAUAUAUGAUCUUGUAGAUAACUAGAGUAGAUUAUGACUUAGUAGAUAGUAGAUAACUUAGAAUCCAUUCUCUAGCUAAUCUGACAUCACCUACAUAUAUGAGGAGUAGUCUAUUUUCUAAUCGCUGUGUUAUCUACCCUUGAACUUAUAAUUCAUUAUCAUUAUCUUUAUGGUUUACCCCCUGUUUAAGUAAGUGUCUGUGUGACGAGUUUUUCAUUAGUAAUCAUAUUCUUGCAAGUUUAUCUCUAGUCUAUGCCUUGAUAGAUUUUGCCCUUAUUUUAAUUCCAUCCCUUUUGUUCUCUUAAGCAAAAUUAUAAAUAACGAUACCUGGAAUACUUAUCCUGGUGAAAUGCUACAAUGAGGUAUUUUAUCUGUGCGCUCGCGGAUAGAAUAGAUUAUUUUCUAGAGAGCCUUUACAUUUAUAAAUACCUUUGUACACUCUGGCGCCAUGCUGGGGAUGACAACCUAGUAUCUAAGUGGUGUUAGCUAGUGUCAACAAGCAUUUAAUUUCUGGCGCCGUUGCCGGGGAACAAAACGGUAAUACAUAGGAACGGUAAGGAAAGUUAGGAAAUCAGUCAAGGUUAUUCACAUAAAAUAUUAGACUAGGCUAUAGAGAAAUAAUUGCUAAAACAGCUACUAAGUGAGAAAUCAUAACAAGACACCUCUGCUUUGGCAGGUUCACCCUGUUGUUUUUCUUUGUUUAUAUUUUUAUACAGGGUAUAUCAGGAUUGACUUUGGGUAUUUUCAACUCUUUAUCAUCAGAACCAAAGCAAUCAAGAAAGAAAGAAGAAGCUAGCUACCAAUUGCUGAAGCUAUGGCACAGAAGACCCUACAAGAAUUCUCUGCUCCAAGUCUUGAGAACAUUCCAACUGAACAUUCCAAAUGGUCCAAGAUUUGCAGAAGAAGAAGGAGUACCCGAGUUCGAGCUCAAGUCAAGCCUCAUCAAUUUGGUACAAGCUACACAAUUCAAUGGAAUGGCACAUGCAGAUGCUAGUGCACACUUGCAGAAUUUUUUAGAGAUUGGAAGCACAAUCCACAUCAACGGAGUUGACAAAGACGUCAUACUGCUUCACCUUUUUCCAUUCUCACUAGAAGGAAAAGCGAGGAAGUGGAUCUACACUCAUCAAGAUAACAUCAACAAUUGGACGAACUUGUGAGAUGCCUUUCUUUCAAAGUUUUUCCCUAUAGGCAAAACAACUGCCUUAAGAGGAAAUAUUGUCAGUUUCCCACAGCAGAAGACAGAAGCCAUUUUAGAAGCAUGGGAGCAUUUUCAAGGAUACAUAUCAGAUUGUCCUCACCAUGGAAUGGCCACAUGGUUACUUAUGCAGACCUUCUACCAUGGAUUAACCCAGAAGGCUCAUGAGUGCCUAGAUGCAUUUGCUAAAGGAUCAUUCUUGGAGCUUACAACUAGAAAAGCAGAGACACUUUUGGAUAAGAUAGCAGAAAACCAAAGCUGGUUCCAAGAUGAAGCUCAACAAUGUCAUCAAACUGAAGAAAUACCAGAAGAAGUAAAAGUAUUAUCAACCAAGAUGGAAAAUUUGCUCCAUUGGAUUGACCAGAGGGCCAAGUUCAAAGAAGAUCAAAGGGCCAUUGUGACAGCAUACAAAUAUCAACCAACCUCGAGUCAACCCAAUAGCAAAGGUAUGAAUUCAGGUAAUACUUUCAAGCAACUUUCAUUAAAAGAGAUAAUUGCUCAACAAACCAAAAUUAAUGAUGAAGUUAAACAAAGGCUAGAUACAAACGAAUCAUCUCUAAAAGAUAUACACAAUAAAAUGGAUUUUCUAUUAACUGCCUUUGAUGAGCAAAACACUCUUAAUAAAAGGGUGGAGCUUAAAUUAAUAAAGUUAGCUGCUGCACUGCCUGUUGCUACUAACAUUGAGCAUGUAAAGAAUAUAACUACUAGAGGAGGCAAAGCCACCAGAGAUCCCCCAUACCCAAAAGAGAAACAAAGAACAUUAGCACCAGUGCAACCAACAGUGAUAGAAGAAGAAAGCCCAGUUGAAGCAGAAGAUCUGCUACAACCACCAAGAACUGGAGAAAUGAGGAAAGAUUUUUACGACACCAACUAUUUGCCAUUUCCCAGAAGAAACAGAGGACUGCAGUCGGAUGAGCAGUUUGGUAAGUUUGUAGAGGUCAUUCAGAAAUUAUAUGUCAACAUACCUCUACUUGAUGCCAUACAGGUACCUACAUAUGCAAAGUACAUCAGAGAUAUUCUUAACAAGAAGGGACCACUGCCCACCACUGAGGUUAUCAAGCUGACAGAAGAAUAUAGUGCGGCCAUCCUCAAUAAACCACCAAAGAAGAAGGAAGAUCCCGGAUGUCCCACUAUUGACUACUCGAUCGGAAACCAACACUUCAACAGUGCACUUUGUGAUCUCAGAGCAAGUGUCAGUGUGAUGCCAGCAUUAGUCUACAAAAAGCUUGAGCAUGCGACCCUAGAACCAACAUCAAUGUGCCUACAACUAGCGGAUCAAUCGGUUCGACACCCUUGGGUAUCGCCGAGAACAUUCCAGCCAAGAUCAGAGAUUUCCUUGUGCCAGUAGACUUCGUGGUACUGGACAUGAGUCCUCACUCAAAAGUGUCCAUCAUCCUUGGAAGGCCAUUUUUGAGCACUGCCAAUGCCCACAUUGAUGUCGGGAAAGGAGAAAUCAAGUUCAACAUAAACGGAUAAGAAGAACACUUCACAUUCAAACCCAGACCAGAGAGAGACUCUACAGUGAAGGAAGUUCAUGAAGAAGAACCACUAGACACACCAUCUCCGGAGGAAGCAAAUUCAGAAGAUUAAAAGAUUUGGAGGUCCAGCUUGGGGGACCUAAAAAAAUCCCAAACCCUCACCGGGAGGUAAAUCGGUAUUUAUCCACUUUGUUUAAAUUCUUGCAUAAUUAAUUCUUGCAUUAGUCAUAUUUAUUCAUAGCAUUAUUAUAAUAAUAAAAAGCCCCAUAUAAAUAAUAUUUAUGGUGUGUAACAACCCAUAUUUUAUUAAUUAUUGUGGAGGCACAAAAAUAUUUUUUCCAUUAUCAUUUCAAUAAAUUUUCAUUUCUCAUAGAUUUUCCUACAUUAUAUUUAAUUAUAGCAACCUUCUAGAAGCAUGACCCACACUCCUUGGGUCCCACAUGUCAUACACCACACCUCACAUACAUCCCAUCACAUUAUUUCAUCCACCAACAUAUCUCCACUAACCAGCACUUUUCCACCGGCCAACCACCACCCAUGAUCCAUUAUUUUGCGUGAGAAUUAAGCAGAGAAAGGAGUGGAGAAAGGGCAGCCAGAAUGGGCACCAAAGGUGGGCGCCCGCCCACCUACCAAGGGCGCCUGCCCUGCCCCCUCUUCCUCCUAUAAAUAGCCACCUUCUACCUCCAUCCUCUCCACACAAGCACUACAGAAAACCACACAAGUUUCAGUUUCCAGAGAAGGAGCUCUUGUAGUGAAGUGAGAAGAGAGUAGAGAAGAAGAGAAGACUGGAAAAGAAGUUUGUAGUUUUUAAGUGAGAGAGUGAGUUUCAUCUAGUAAGUAGUGAUCCCGCUGUCCAAGCGGAAGUAAAAGUUGUUUAAUGGGGAGGUUCUGCCAAAAUAGAAACUUGUCUUGAAUGACUAACCCCUAGACUACUGACAUUCCGGACAGCUGACCACUAACAUUUUCUCUCACAUUUUCCACUAGUUGUGUUUUUGCCAACUUUUGUUUACAGGAUGUUCAAGAAGGUGAAGAACGUAGGGAAGACUCUCAAGAACAUUGGUACAAGGAGUUCAUCCCGACACUCCUCACACCCAUCAGAGACGAGUGUCGAUCCUACGCCCACACAAGCUCCAUCAUCUUCAUCUAAUCAGCAAGUCAAGGUCCUUCUCAAGAUAGGAGACCUUGGACUAAAGACCCGAAGGGAGAAGGAAGUCUAUCAGCAACUAAAGAACAAAGAUUUCAUUCACACCCCUACUCUUGAUCCAAUCUUACUACAAGAAACACGUAUGGACACUGAAUUCGACUUAAUUUUCUAGAUGAUAGGUUGGACAAAUUUUUGGAAUAUAACUGAGCUGGGUUCUUGUCUUCUCACCCUCGAAUUUCUUUUCACCUUACAAUAUUAUGAGGGGGGAAUUGUUUUUCGGAUGUUCAAACAGGAGAUUAUGUUGUCUUGGAGAGAGCGGAGCGACCAUCUUGGUUUCUCUACAAGAUACAUCCUGAACAUUGACUCCGACCUACCUAACUUUGAGAGACACCAGUUUUGGAGAGAAAUAUCUAGAGAUAAUUUUUAUAGUCAAGCCCGAACCAGUGACAUGGAACACCCCACUCUUAGGAUGUUCCACAAAUGGCUUGGGUACAAUCUUUUCUAUCGUGAUGAUAUUAGGAAAGUAAGAGUAGGAGAUUUACAAUUUUUAUAUGCUGCUAUUAAUAAAGUACCCACUUCACCUGUAACACUUUUAGUUUCUCAUUGGCUUAUUAUACCUAGUCUUCAGGGACCAGUAGGAUGUACUUCACUUAUCACUCGUCUAGCCUCUAAUCUUCACUUGCUAGAACACUUGUCAUUGGAAUUCAUAGAUGAGUUAAGAAUUUAUCAUGGCUAUGACACAUUUAGACAAGCUCAGAUGUUAAAGAAAGAGGGAAAUAUAAUGUAUAUGCUAUAUGAUGAUAAAGCCAAGAUUCGGUUACCUAACCCGAACCUUGGCCUCUACGUUGUUCAAAAUUUUUUGAUUGAGAUUGCAGCAACACCAGUGAACCAGAGAGCUCCACAGCGAGUGGCAUCUGAAAGGAUGACCACCCACCGAGAACGCACCAGGUAUGGAGCUGAUCCCGGGCCAGAAGAAGCAGCGCACCUACAUUAUAGCGACUACAACCCCAAAGUCCUUCGAGACCCAUGGGUUCGACAUGCGCAACCACAAGAACCAACACAGGAGACAUGGCCGGAGAGUCAAGAUCACCACUGGACAAAUCCGCCUUUUCAUACGGGCAGGUACUCCACUGAUCCAAAUGGAGCUUCAGGAUCCAGACCUCCGUCCCAAUUCGAUGUAGGACGAUACUCCGACGCCUCCUACGCUUUCACGAAUGACUACUACCAAGAGGCUGGCGCUUUCUUCACUCGUACCGACAACACCCUCCUCGACAUCCAGAACACGCAAGCAGAACAUGGACGACUCCUGGAAGAGCAACAAAAAUGGAACCAGGACCAUGCCACUACAGUACAAAAGCUGAGACAAGAUACAACAACAAUGAACGACAACAUCACAACCAUGAUGCGGUUCUGGAACAUCGGGUAAGACCGACAGCAACAUCCAGCUUGGAGGAAUUCCUCCCAAAUUUAUCAAGUAAGUUUUUAUUUCAUCUUCUUAUUUAUCCUUUUCUAUUUUAGUAUUUUAUCCUAAAAGAAAAAAAUUAGAAAACCCAAUAAAUAUUUCUUGCUUUAAUUUACUGCAUUUUUAUAAAUAUGAAAACAAAAUAAAAAGAGUGGGUAGAUAAGUGUGCUUUAUUUUUUCUGUUAAUUUUAAUCUCUAGAAAAAAUAAAAAGACCAAAAAUACAUGAUGGAAAUGAUGAAUAGUUGCUCUGUUUGCUUACUUUCAAGUACCUAGCUUUUAUAUUAGAGUUCUUCUAGGAAUUACAAAAACUAAAAUGGGAAACAUAAAACUAAAAGUCUAUGUAAGGGAAAGACAUAAUAUAAAGUUUGAGCUGCUGUUUAUCUUGUUCCUACUACAUUAAGUUCUGGAGAUUUAUUUUGGAAACUUACAAAUCACAUGAUGAGUUCCUAGCAUAACAAAAUUCCUACCACAGCCAUACUUGCUAUAACAUCUUUUACUAUACUCACAUUGAGUUUGAUCGAGCUAUGUGGAACCUUAGGAGCUUUUCAUGUGGUUAAAUUAAGAUAUUCACUUGCACACAUACACUACACCAUCCAUCACCAUUCAUUAAAAUUGCUAAAAAUAUUAUUACUCACUGUCCCAAGUGUUGUUAUUCUCUCUCUAAAAAGAUUCAAUGCAGAAGAGGCAUGGGUUAUGCAAAAAUAUGCGAGGAAAUAAAAAGGGGCAAGUGCCCGGAACCUCGGAAAAGAAAGAAAAAGAGUGAGACGAGAGGUAAAAAUGGACAAGUGUCCGAAGUAGAAUUAGGGGUACAAAGAUGCCCACUUGAGCGGAAAAAAUGGACAAGUGUCCGAGAGUAGAAUUAGGGGUAUCUACUACCCACCUGAAAAAGAAAAGAAAAAGAUAGCCCAUGUUCUCCCAAAGCAAAGAUCAAAGAAGAGGGGAGAUAGCAAUAUGAGGAGCAAUGAGAAGUAAGCUUUAUCAUUACCUAUAUUUUCACCAUUACUAUCAUUUACUCCACCACACAUGCACAUCUUGAUUUAAUUAUAUGCUGAGUUCCUUUGGAUCCAUGGCUCGAUUAGACAACAUAUGUAUGAGCUGUUUUCACUCCUAUGAGCUCCACUUAAAUAUUCCAUUAGCUAUAGGUAAGUGACAUUUUGGUAAGGAUCCACAAAUACCACAUAUAGAGGGACUUGAGAGAAUCAUUGCUGGGAACUCUGAGUUUUAUUUUGAAAACUUAUGAAAAAACCCGGAACAAAGGUGAAGUAUAGACAGGAGGAAUAGUGCUUGACUUAAUUAUUUUGUCUUUUGAUUACUUAAGACUUAAGUGCACGUACUAAGUUCCAUAACACUUCACUCUAAUCUGGAAGAAUUUUUAUGUAAAAGCACGUGUGCCUGUCAGGAAAGAAAACAUCGAAGCAACUCGUGAUCCAUCUGAGUUUAGCUGUUUGCUCAGGGACGAGCAAAGGGUAAGCUUGGGGGAGUUUGUUGACGGUCCUUAAGUACUAAAAUUAACAAUCAAGUAAACAUAGAAAAGGAUCAAUAUGCACCAAACAUCUAGAAUUAGGGUUUUAUCUGACAGAAUUCCACGAGCUUUAGUGUUUAUCUAUUUUCUGUAGGGGGGUUAUCAGGAAAUAUGGAGAGAAGGCCCACAUGUCAUGUUUACAACGAGAUAAUUACGUGCCGCGCAAUUUUCCUCAAUCUAGAAGAGUCCAGAAGCCACGGGAACGAACGAGAAGACUAUCGGGCUCGGGGGCAGGGCGGCCGCCCACCCCCCUUGGGCGCCCGCCUAGGGUUAGAGUCCAAUCAGGACUCUCUUUCGGGACUACGCUCCACCGACCUAAAGGAUGAAUCUAAACCAUACAAUCAAUGUUGGUUUGAUCCAACAACCCAAAUUCACUUGAAAGGACUAUAUAACCAAGGCCUCUCCACCCCUGGGGGAGAGAAGAGAAGAGGAAAAAUCAUUAUCAGAGGUAGCCAUCAAAGUUAGGGUUUAGAGCUUCUCUCCCACAGAGAAUUAGUAUUAGCUACUCCCUAAUCCUUCAAGUUUAGAGGUUUGAUUAGAUAGCAAUUAGAGAAGUAGCGCACUACGCUCUGGAUUCAGAUCUUCGGUAAUAAAUUUUGGUAUUAUUCAUAUCUUUCUCUAAUACUUUGUUCUAAUUGCAUUAUGUCUUUAUUUAUUAUGAUCUUAGUUUGCUCUAGUUCUAUAUUUGAUAUAGUUAUGAUUGAUAAUAAGUUUAGUUAUAAGUUUGCAAAGCGCUUAGCUCUCAACGCGAGGGAGUUAAGUGGUAGAUCACAUGUGGGCGUGGUGCUUAGAUGUUAUUUACCUGCAAAUGUAUCCUAUUGGCCGGGUUGUGUGGUAGUUCGCGAUAGUGACAGCUUUGUUGAUUCUUAUAUAGUCCACCCUCCGUUUAUAGGACGGGCAAAACUUGUAUUGCGGAGUAAGUCUUGCAAUGUUCUGAUUUACUUUAGCAAUGUUCCUUAUACAUGAAUGAAGAGUCUUUUCUACUAUAUAUGAUCUUGUAGAUAACUAGAGUAGAUUAUGACUUAGUAGAUAGUAGAUAACUUAGAAUCCAUUCUCUAGCUGAUCCGACAUCACCUACAUAUAUGAGGAGUAGUCUAUUUUCUAAUCGCUGUGUUAUUUACCCUUGAACUUAUAAUUCAUUAUCAUUAUCUUUAUGGUUUACCCCCUGUUUAAGUAAGUGACUGUGUGACGAGUUUCUCAUUAGUAAUCAUGUUCUUGCAAGUUUAUCUCUAGUCUAUGCCUUGAUAGAUUUUGCCCUUAUUUUAAUUUCAUCCCUUUUGUUCUCUUAAGCAAAAUUAUAAAUAACGAUACAUGGAAUACUUAUCCUGGUGAAAUACUACAAUGAGGUGUUUUAUCUGUGCGCUUGCGGACAUUUAUAAAUACCUUUGUACACUCUGGCACCAUGCUGGGGAUGACAACCUAGUAUCUAAGUGGUGUUAGCUAGUGCCAACAAUCGGUACAGUCCCCAAGCAUAUCAUGUUCGUCAGGCCGAAGAUCAUGCCUAUCUUUUGAAAAAAUGUAUCGCCAUAUUAAUGUGUGAUGUGACGGGGGGUCCUGCCAUAUUGUCAGUCUGUUGCAUAAAAAGGGGCGCCUGCUAACUGUGCGACCGAGAAAAGGAAACCAGCAAUCAUGCAAAAAGGCCACCAAAUUAACUGCGAUAAUUCUUGAAAACCGAAACGCCACAACUGCCGCAAGAUCCGCCCACUUCCCCAAAAUGCGGGAAGUGGGGAAGGUGGGUUUGCUGUUAUAAAGGGCUCGAUGUUGCGUCCAUAUUUUUUACCCAGCCGUUGCAUAGCAGCCUCCUGCCUUUGCCACUACUGCCUCCUGCCUUCACCAUCGUCAGCGCCCCUAAACGCUCAACACCCAGUUCAAAGCUUGCCCUACUGCUUCGAUGGCGAAGAGUGAUUUGAAGAAGAGGGCCAAGAUGAUGGCCAAAGAGUGGAAGAAGUCUCGGAGCACCACGAGGUCCCUCAACGACCUCGUCGGAAUGGGGCUUCUGCACAACCAGGAGCUCGGCGGCUGGAGGGCGCCGGAUAGAGAGAGUUUCCCCGACCCCUGCGCCGGUGAGAUCGUAGUCUUUGAGGAUUACUUCAAAAGGGGAUUUGGGGUUCCCGUUCAUCCUUUUAUUUAGGGUCUUCUCCUUUAUUAUGAGAUCGGAAUUUGCAAUCUGCACCCGAACUCUAUUCUCCUUAUCUCUACCUUCAUUCAUCUAUGCGAGGCCUAUGUUGGGAUAGAGCCGCAUUUCGAUCUCUUUCGCUAUCUGUUUAGUUUGAGGAAGAAGGGAGUAGUUGGAGGCUCUAAGAUUGCAGGUGGAGUAUACCUCAAUCUUCACGACGGGAUGAAGAACUGUUACCUCAGCUGCCCGUGGAACACCUCCCUCACCGAGUGGUACAAGACGUGGUUCUACAUCAGAGAGGAGCCAGACAGCGCCACGUUCUGCGACGUUGGCUACGUUCCUGAGAAGGGGGUUAGCUGGACAGAUCGUCCAGAGUAUACUAGUCAAUUGUCAGAGCUGAUGAGCCUGAUCGACUGGUCCCACCUGGACGGACCAGGGGUGGUCGGGAACUUCCUCGCUCGACGAGUGAUGCCUUGCCAGAGGAGAGUGCACUUGGCGUACGAGUACGCAUGAAGCCAAGACCCGACCAGGAUGCACCGGGACAAUUUGGGAAAAUCAGAGAUCCACCAGAGGAUGAACGAGUUAUUCAACCUGGCUGAUAAUAGCUUCGUUUGAAGUGAUGAUCGAAUGCAUGCCUUCAAGCUAGGUCGGUCAACUCCUAAGGUAAAUGAAAACCUUGGUUUAUUUGUAAUGCUAUUGAAUACUGUAGCCUUUGACUGAUGACUUGUUGCCCUUGUAUUGUAGAUAGGAGAUAUUGACCGGUGCACGGUGUAUGUGUCGCUGGCACCCGGUAUGGACCAUCCUGCUGGGGUAGAUCCGCCGGCAGUCAAUGCUGCUGGGUGUUUCCAAUACACCAGCAGUGACGAGGACCAGAGCCGUCCAGCACCGACCACAGAUGACAGAGUGGCCGGGAAGAGGCCAAUGACUGUGGAGCCAUCCUCCACGGAAGCAAUUAUAGCAGGGACGGCUGCAGACCCUUCGAAGGGCCAAGGCUCAACCAGCCAUGCCCCCAAGCGUCGUCGGCUUGUGAGGAUUGUCGAUGACGACAACGAGGAGGAUGAGACGGCCCCGUCCUUGGUCCAGAUACCACGCAGCCACCCUGACGUUGCGCCGAUCGACGCUGGUCGGGUAACUAGGGACACGCUUGCCGCACACGUUGAGCCGAUAUGUCCUGGAGGAACAAAAGCGGCAGCGGCGGUUGGGAGGACCAGGAGAAGGUUCUUCACAGCGGCGCACCGGAGCUCCGACAUGUAAGUCCGAAGAAACGUCUGUGCGCUCUCCCCUUUUUUUACUAGGUUUUGAUGUCGAUAUGGUAAUUUGCAUUAACUCUUAUUUGUAGUGCUGCCUCUAAUGUUGAUCCGAACAAUGUUGCUGGCCUAAGGACAACCGAGCCGGCAGUUGCCGAUGAGAAUGCCACCGAGCAGACCGUCCGCGAGCAGCCUGUGGAGCGGCCCGCGGUUGUGGCCUUGACAGAAACCGCCGAGGAGAACCCAGCUCAAGACAAGGCUGGGCUGAGUACCCCGACGAGGGGUGAUGAGACCGCGGGGACGCCUCCCUCGAACAGAGUUGCAGAGGAGGGAGACAAGGUCCCAACCCCCCUCCAGCUAAAGAAGAGAGGGCCCCAACUCCAGCCCCGGCGGAGGCUUCCAUGCCGGAGGGCUCCCCUAGCCAGGGUAAGGGUCCUAUGAUACUCGUUACCGUGGCUGGGGGUAGUGCGGAGUGCGAGGAGGCCCAGGCGGCUUCCGAUGACGAAGUGGAGGAAAUCUAGGGGCGUCCUCACGAUGGUCACCAACAUGUUUACGUGUGGCGCUAGCGUGGGGACCACUGGGCUGGCCACGAGGAGAUCGCCGAGACCGAGGAGGCGGCGAGGGUAGAGCGCGCUGCUAAGCGGCUCGUUGAUGAAGUUAAGGUGAGUGUCUUAUAUUCUAUUGGAGUAUGUAUAUACUGUUGCUUGUUCACUGUGCGAUAUGUAUAUUUCUCGCAGGGUGCAAUGAAAACGGCGAAGUACCAAAAAAGGUGCUUCGACCAAAUUGAAGGUGUGGUCGCCGAAAACAAGGCCUUAACUGCAGAGGUGGACCGCCUUCGGCUGUAGGCCGAAAGGGAGGCGACCGCGAAGGUGGCUCAGGAGGAGCGUCUGCUGGACCUAAAUCGACGACUAGCCGAUAAGGACCGUGAGAAGUGGGGUAAGUCGAGUGGUCCGAGCAUUUGCAGUUAACCGCGUGGUCGGUUUUGAUGACCAACAAUUGUUGCUUCAGGUCUGGAGGAGGAGAUCGAGCGUCUCCGAAAAGAGAGGGACCAGCUCGACCAGGAGCGUGCCAGUGCACUGGAGACUGAGCACAAGGUUGGCCAGGAGCUGAAGAAUAGGAAUCGGGAGUUGGCUGGUAAGAGCUAUUUCCUCCUUUUCGACCAUGCAGUUCUCUCUUUUUUAUACUACUGUAGCAUAUGGCUGAUUGUUUGCUUGGUUUUUCUUGAAAACUUGGUCAUAGUGCUUAAAGCCAACACUAAGAAGCACCUCGACGAGCUGGUCAAGGAACAGGACUCCUGGAAGACGAACUGCAUGAAGCUCUGGAAAGGAGUUGCCCCAGUACUUGACCUGCUCAGUCCUGAGCUCCCCGAGGAUCAGCUCCGCGCGCCGAAACUGACCCCGAUCGAGAAGGCAUAGCUAGCGUGGGGCUGGCUUCAGCAGUUCGUCAAGGAUGCCAGGGAGUUUGCCAAAGCACACGUCCUCAGCAUGGUACGUGCUCACUACCCCCUGGUCGAUCUGUCCCGGCUAGAGAGGGGAUAUCCGAAGGAGGUUGGACCGAAGGAGGUAGAUGACCUACGCGUCAGCCUGCUCGACCUAUCGUCGACGGUGAUCGACAAUAUAAACCUUUGCGGGACGUCAACCCCCCCCCCCGAUCAGCCGUGAUUAGACAGGUUGGCCAGGGAGUCGUCGGGGGCGUCGAUUGCAGGAGAUGGGCGGUCGACGCCUGCGGUCUCGACUAGCCAGGCGCCGGUGGCCCCGACCCCUUCGGCGGGACGAGAAAGGCGUGCGGGUGAUCAGCCUAAGCAGUAGGUUCGUAGAGUAGUCUGUAGGAGUAAACUUUGUAUUUAAAGUUUGUAAUAAAGUCCAAAUUUUGAGAACCAUGGUUUUGAGCGCUGUGAAUAAAUUCGCUUGAGUGACGUAUCAGUGAAUCAUGUUGAUUGCCCUUGAGGAGCUUGUCAAGGAGAGUUAUUGUAGCACUUGUCGAGUAUUCUGCAUAUGUAAAAUGUGACAGAACCGCCCAAUUUAUACAAGUUUAAGUACGACUGUCCCUGUUUAACACGUUGACAUGCGCAUACUCUCACUUAUAUAAACCCGGUAGUCUGCCUAGUGUCACGAAGGACCUCGGUAAAUCAACUUUACACCAAGAUCGCAUGAUUAAGCAAAUACACAUCACAUACACGGAGAUUUGCAGCGGAAAUAAUAUUACAAAAGAGUUCACAAAUAAUAGUACAUGUUUGGAUUUUUUUCCAAAUAGAUUAGAAAACAACAUAGCUUUUAAAUUAUUACAAUAACAUAAGUUCCAAAUACACUGCUAGCAUAAGUGACAUCCUCCGACAAAAGCAUGUAGAUGAGAACACUAUAUAGAAUCACCGAGCCCACCGGCGGUUAGCCACCAUCCUUAGCAGACUGAAAACUUCACCUGCAAUAGGGUGGGAUAAACCCUGAGUACUCGAAUGUACUUAGCUAGACUUACCCGACAGGAGAGAAAAUAAAAGACUCUCAAGGAUAUGCAAGGCUUUUUGGUGGAGUUGGUUGGAUAGCAUAACUUUGCCAAAAAAGCAUUACUAUCAUGAGUCCUUACUUUCAACCUUUUAGUCAAUAUUUUAGCAUCAAGUUCAAUUAAGCUACCAUAGCUAGAUUUUGCACCUAUUCUAUAGCAAUCACUUGAUUAAUGAGCAUCGCAUUAAUAACCAUAUCCGGUUUAUCAUGUAGCCAUCAUCAUCAUCAUAACCAUUAAGUUUCAUUUAGUUUAUCGACGUUGCCGCUGCCCGAGUCAAGUUCUCACUAUCCGGGAGAGACGGCGAUUCGAAUCGAUUCCUAUCCAGCUGGAGGGGUAUUCCUAGCACUCACCCAGGCAUACUUAGCUAGAGUAGCUUGGAUCACCUUUAGCACAACUCCGGACCAAUUCGCGGGUCCGUACGGCGCCGCACCCCAGGGACCGCCAAUCUGCCAGGGUCAGGACUCUAACCUGACUCCUCGGUCUUACGCCAUUGACUCCCCGCACAUCCUUGCUACCAACCGGGGUGCGCACUUUAACCGAACGGGGUAUCCGGCCGGAGAUGCACUCGUAGGCUUCGCGGUCGGAACGACUUAUCCGGUCAACUAAGUGUUAGGCAUGCAUUCAACAUGACACGAGGACGUUGUUGACGGUCCUUAAGUAUCAAAUUUAAUUAUCAAAUAAACAAAGAAAAGGAUCUAAAUGAAAUCAACAUCUAGACUUAGGGUUUUAUCUGACAGAAAUUUACGAGUUUUGGUGUUUGUCUAUUUCUGCAGGGGGUUAUCAGGAAAUACGGAGGAAAGGCCCACACAUCGGGAUUACAUAGAGAUAUUAAUGUGCCACGCAAUUAUCUUACGUCUAGAAGACUCCAGAAGCCACUGGAAGGAAGCGGAGGCCGAACGGGGCCAGAGACAGGGCGCCCGCCCUCCUACCCUGGGCGCCCGCCCUGACUAGGAGCCCAAUCAGGACUCUUUCUCUCGGGAGAUCUCCACCUACCUAAAGGAUCAAGAAUAACCGUUCAAUCAAUGUUGGUUUGAUCCGACGGCCCAGGUUCACUUGAGGGGACUAUAUAACCAGACCCCCUGGCCCCUGGAGGAGGCACCCCUUGAUCAUUAUUCAUUAUUCAUAGACAGAGCAAAAGCUAGGGUUUAGAGAUGGGAGCUCUCCUCUCUUCUCUAAACUAGAGUAGAUCUAGAUAGUAGCAAGAUGGAGAGCGAAGGAGGAUUAGAGGAGAGGCCGGCCUGUCGUUUCUUCCUCCGGUUGUACUUCGUCAUGAUCAAGCUCUAAUCAAGCUUGCUCAUGGGAUGACUCUGGUAAUCUACUUCUAAUUCAUUAUGCAAUUACUAAUUAUGUAUGUUCUGGUUCACAACUCUUUUGAGUACUUCUAAUCUAUAGGACGCUAUAGGUGAGAGUUGUAGUAUAGGUGUAAGCGUGGUGCUUAGACCUAGAUUACUUGUGGAUAUCCCCUGUCUAGCUGGAUCGUGUGGUAGGCCGCGUAGGUGACAGUUACGUUGGUCCUCUGUAGUCCAUCUCUCGUUAGCAGGAUGGGUAGGGUUUAUUGGCCUAAGGAUAAGCAUCCUUUGUGGUGUACUCUUAUCACGUGGUUUGUCCCAGACAUAGACAUACCCCUUUGAAGUAGAGAAACCAUAGUUAUCCUCUCUAUUCUGCUACCAUCGCCCAUAUACUAGAAUUGCUCUAUUCUCUAUUCCCAUAUUAUCACUCACUGUUAUCUCACCUUUAAUAUUGUUCUUAUUCAAUUCUACCAUCUUUCCUAUUUACACUUAUCUAUUUAUCUUGGUUAAGUUAGAGCGUAGUUGGUUCUCCCGUUUCCCUGUGGAUACGAUAAAACCUUUAACCGGGUAAAAGCUUCAACGGUAUCCGUGCGCUUGCGGAUUAUCUCUGUGCAUAUAAAUACCAUAGUACACUCUAGUGCCAUGCUGGGGAUGACAACCUAGUAUUCAAGUGGUGUUAGCAAGUGUCAACAAGCAUUUUUGGCGCCGUUGCCGGGGAAACGGUUGCUGAGUUGACUACGAACUAGGUUAAUCAUUUUCUAAAAAAAAUAAAAAAAAUAAUAUAUAUUUCCUUUUAUCCUUUGCCUCAUCUCUGCUAUUCUUUCUCCUUAUCUAAUCCUUGAUCUCUGGUCUAUCAUGAAUUCAAACAUGUCUAUCUAUGAAUUUCAUAGACCUACGGGCACACAUCUCGAACCACCAAAAUCUUCAAAGCCUAUCAUAGCAUCUAGUUUUGAGAUAGACCCCGAAUACAUAGAAUUUGUUCAAAAACAAUCUUUCUCAGGAGAAGGUGAGGAAAACCCAUACACACACCUAAGAGAGUUUUAUAGAGUCUGUGACCUCCUUCGCAUUGAAGGCAUGUCCGAUGAGACCCUUAAAUGGAAGCUCUUUCCGUUCUCUUUAACGGGAAAAGCUAGACAUUGGUAUAAACUCAAAGUAGGGAGUGUUCAUGGAGAUUGGAAGGAGUUACAUAAUAAUUUUCUUUUAAAAUAUUUUCCAAUCUCCAAAGUGGUGGAACGUCGGCGUGAGAUUAUUUCUUUUAGACAACUGGAAGAAGAAUCUCUUAGCAAAUCAUGGGACCGCUUUACUAACCUUACUCUCACUGGCCCAAAGCUUUCUAUUCCAGAAGAAGUUCUUCUAAUUCACUUUUUGAGGGCCUUAGUGGGGAAAAUAAGCAAAUCUUGAAUACAGCCUCUAUCACCUACCUCCUUGUGAAGCUUGGAAUUUGAUUGAUUUAUUAAGUGGAAAGUCUCCUAGCUUUUAUAUCCCUGAGAAAGAGACAAAACCAGUUCCUAGACAAGAAGAAGAAGUUUCGAUAGCCAGAUCACAACCACUUCAAUUCCAAACUUUAGCUAUCAAUCCUAAACUAUCAAUACCCCAAAAUUCUCCAAGGGAGGAAGGAAUUCCGACCUUAAAUCUUUCAGAUGCUGAUGGUUUAGACUUCUGGUUCCAUAAGAGACCUUCAAGCAGGGAUAAUUCAAAUCCUCGCAAUAAUGGUUCUCUUAGAGAAUGUCCUGGUUCCUGUUAUGAAGAAGUCGAGGAUGACACAUCAAGUAAAGGAGAGCUAAGCCAUAUUGAAAAUCUAACACCUCCCCUUUCCUGAUCACAAGUUCUAAAUGGCUAGAAUGUGUAGAAUGGAUGGAUAAGGAAGAAGCCUUAAUGAAUUCUAACUUUGGUUCAAUUUCAAAUGGUGAGUUCUUGACUCCCUUUGAAGAUGAGAUUCAUCCAACUAUAGAAGAGGACAUAGGUGAGACCAAUCCAGGAGAAACUCUGAACAUUCAGAUUGGAGACGAAGAUAACAUUAAUGAGCAUGGAAUUUAUUUCAUAGCCACUUUGUUUACUCCAUGCUCAUAUGCAACAUCUUCCCAAUCUAUUGCUCUCUCCAACAUCACCACAUUUGAGAUCUCCAACCCCCUCUUCCUUUCUAUUUAUAAAAACUUUAAAAGGGCGGUUGUCGAUGCAUAUGUCUAUAAUAAAUAUUGCAGAUCUCGUUGAGUUGAUCUUGAUUUAGGUUAGCGUUGGAAGGGAAACCACUUCGCCGACAUAAAUUGAUGGUUUCCCAAGGACAAGCUUAGUGUCCUAAAAUAAGCACUGAUCAGAUCGUAACAUGAGUUUUUAAUUAUUUGCAACAUUACCUUGUGUAUUGAGCAUAUAAGGAUAAUUGUAAAAAUAUUCCUUUGAGUAUUCUUGUCACUAACCUUUACAAGAUUGGAGCAAGAAGAUCAAAUGAAUGACAAGCACAAGGUAUGUCCAACCAAUCAUCAUACAACAUUGAAUUAAAUUCAUCCAAACUUGAAUUCUGCAAAAUUCAAGCUUGGGGGAGUACUUUACAUAAAAACAUCCUUUGCCAUGUUGCUAUGUUGGUUGUCCCUACCUUUAAGACAUCCUCAAUUUGUUAAAUACUAAUCACACUACUUCAUCUCCACUUGAGUAGAUCUCUAUAAAUGCUGCCAUGCUACCUUUGUCUAUUUACUAGUAAGUGUUAGUUUGGAAGUACUGCACAUACUUCUAUUGGCUUUUAAAUUAAGCAUGGUGCUUAGGUUAAACAGCCUUCCUUAAUCUGAUUAGACAUGGAGUCUAGUUCGGUUAUUGAACUAAAAACUGCUUGUGUAGACAUUGGUAUAUUUUUGUCGGACUAACCCCUGCAAAAAAACUUUCAAUAUCGAUUUGGGAAGUCCUGAGAUAAACUCACAUCAGAGAUGAAGAGAGUGACACAUGAAGUUUAACAAUUUGCACAAGAAGGACAUAGCUCAUUCAUCAUAGAGAGAUGAUCCAUGGAGGGUGCCACAAACACGAUGCACAACCGCUAAGAAAGGAAAGCUUCCACAAGGUGAUACUGUACCAUCACUCUUCAAGCAAGGUAACAUCUUAAGGUACUUGACUAUCACUUUUAUAAGCUUCUCCUUGGUUCUAGGAUUCAUAUAAAUAAAAGAGACAAACAUGUAUGAUUUACAACUCUAGAUUAACCAACCCAACUGAUUCAACAUGUUUAGUCCUUUAAUCCUUGUUCUUAGUACUACCUCCAUGAUCCCACACUCCUAAUCAUAUGAGCUAAAAUGUUACACAUUCAAUCUUUGAGAGAUAUAAAGAAAAAGACAUAUACAUAGAUAGAUUAUCUUUCCAUAAGGUUGAGCGAUCUGAUCUGACAAAUGUUAUAAGUGCUACACUCAUGAACUUUUCAUCCAACAACUUUGUCUUGCUCACUAUGCUUAGGGUUAGAGAAGAACAAAUACACUUUAGGUUCUGUUGGUGUUUUCCACCAACAGGACCCAUGCACUUGAUCUCUGCCUUGUCUCUAUGGGCAGGUACACUUGGAGCAAAACAUGGUGGAGUUUUACAACUCUCACACGCCACCAAGUGAAGGACCUGGAUCUACGAGCACAAACACACUGAGCAGGAUACUGCCAACACCACACUUCGAACUGCUGGGCAAACGAAGAACAUGGGUGACACCGUAUUAAGAGGUGCAGACGUCAAGGUCCACACCUGAAUCAAAUGACGCACCUGAAGAAUGAACACGGUGAGAAGUCUUAUUCCGAAGAUUUAAAACAUUGAACCCUCGCUGAAAGGUAAAAUCGGUAGUUAUCCAUAUUUAUCCUUUCUACAUUCUCUUUUUCCUUUAAUUACUUACUUUCCUUAAAAUAGCUUAUUAGUUAAUCAUGCUAUCUUGAAAAGAAAAUAAAAAUGUUAAAAAUACUAAGCCCCAUGUGAGUAUGCUCGUGGCAUAAAACCCAUAAGUACAUUCACUGUGGUGGCGUAAAAAUAAAAUAAAUAUAUUUCUGUCCUAUAGAAAUGAAAAUAUGAAAAUAAAUUUAUGAUCCUACCAAAGAGAGUAAUAUCUAUUAGAGGAAGCUCAAUACGAUAAAGGCUAGAUAUUUAUGCUAACACUUAAUUAGUUCCACAAGCUUUGUUGUCUAUUUGAGCUCCACAGAAUUUAAGAAUCAAGAAGACUAGCAGACGGAGGACAUUCUAAUCGCUGUCAGAAUGCUGCUGACUUUCAAAUACACCUCUGCCACCUGCUAGCUACAUCAAGAGAAAUUACGUCAAAAUUCAGCUUAGGGGAGAGCACCCCCAUUUAUCUCGCUAAGUAUUUCUACCUAUUUUUAUACUUAUAUUAUAUUAGAAUAUUAAAAUACAUAAACUAUGAAAAACCAAAUAAAUAUUUUGGUGCUUAUAUAUAUCUUUUGCUUAGUGUGUUUAAUAAAUAAAUAAAGUGGCUAUGCUAAUCUGAAUCUUAAUAAUAAAACUCUAGCAUGGAUAUGAUGAAUAGUUGCUCUGCCUAAUUUGCAAAUUUGAAGUUCUCUCUCAAGUUUAGACAUAACUGUUAUAAUUUAAAGCUUGCUCUAGAUCUAAACUUGUGGGAUGAAACCUUGAUCUGAAAUCUAAGUUGUUAACGGAUAUGAUAUGGGAAGGCUGAGAUGCUGUUUAUCUGUUCCUAGAGAUGCUAGAAUUCUGAAGAAUUUUAUCUUUGAAAAAUCUUUAAAAUAUUGCAUGAUGAGUUCCUGUAUGAUGAAAGUUUAAAUUCCUACCACAGCCAUAUAUACAUGCAUGCUAGACUUUGAGCCAUACAUUUACUUUUUACUGCUUACGAGCAUUGAGAGUGGUCAAGCUGUGUAGACCCUUAGGAGCUUGUCAUGUGGUUAAAUCAAGAUUCACUUGCACGUUCACUCAUAUAUGCUACUUCUACUCUGGAAGUACCAUCCACAUAUAUCCAUCCAUGUCCAUCUCCAGAACCACCCAAAAAUAUUCUACUCCUAAUCCGGGAGAGAAUAGCCAAAAAUAUUCCUGUUUUCCCUUGUGAAAUAAAUGCUCAAGUUAUCUUGCUACUACCACUUGCUAUAUUAUCUCAAGAGAUGAGUGCUCUGAAAAGAAAAAAAAAAGAGAGAAAAGAGAAGAAAAAAAAAUAAAAAAUACGAGGAAAUAAAAAGGGGCAAGUGCUCGGAACCUCGAAAGAAAGAAAAAGUAAGACGAGAGGUAAAAAUGGACAAGUGUCCGACAAUAGGAUUAGGGGUACAAGAUACACACCUGAGAGGAAAGAAAAAGAAGAGCAUCUCAUUCUCCUCAUAAAGUUUCAAAAAGCAAGGAAGGUAUGUAUCCCCUCAAAAGAGCAAAAGUAGAAUUAGACUUUCACCAUUGUUAUCACCAUCAUCACCAUACACCAUUCAUUCACCACACAUGCACAUCUUGAUUUGGCUUAUUGAUUUGUUUCUUUGGAUCCAUGGUUUUGUAACAUUGUUUUCUUCCCUUGAAAGUCUUUUGCACCGAAUCUCGGGACGAGAUUCUUUUAAGGGGGGAAGGCUGUAACACCCCAGGUGUUUAUCACUUGCUAAGUACUAGGUUUGAGCUCAAACAUGAAAAGUUCAGUAGUAAUAAAGAGGUCAAAGUCAAUCUAUGAAAGUAAGCCCUAACUUGGAUUUGGAUGAUGCACCUUUACUUAUAUAUAGGUCCUUUUUAAAAGGUAUGCUUGGAUGAUGCUAGUGGAACAUUUUUCAUGUGUCUCAUAUCCAUCCCAAUCUAUAUUGGUCUCUAGAAAAGUUUGGUGAAGUUUGGAAUCAAGAAGUCACAUGAAAUGAUAAGUUAUAUCCUUGUUGGAAUUGCUCUAUUAAGGAAAUAGAAUCAUGGGUCAUGAACCAACCCUUCCAAACUUGCUCAUAGGACUCUAGAUGAAUUAUACCACAAAAGUCAUGAAGGGUUCAUGUUGAGCUUAUGUCAAGAAAAUGCUUCAAUUGGCCUAAAACCCUAUUUGGAGCUUUAUCACGAUACUGCUUUGACCAAAGUGAAAGAUUGACUUAUAUUGUAGUUAUGAGGUUUGACCCUAAGUGAAAGUUGUAGUAUUGCUUCUGUAGAACAAACCUUGUUUAAGGAUCAAGAGCUAGUUUGGUUCCUAUCCUAAUCAAAUUGAGCUCUCAAGAAUCAAUUCAGUGCUGAUUUGCUACCUCCAUAUUUUUGGCUGUCCCUGAAAGUGACAGCAGUGCGUUAGAUACUUCGUGACAUUUUACUAUCGAAAUUCAUAUGGUAACUCAAUUAGAUUCCUUAAUAUGAGUUGGAGUACUCUUCUUGAUGAAAGCAAUGGAUUAAGUAUCAUCAAAUUUGGAGUUCAUUUGGAUAUCGGAAAAUAGCUCCUAAAACAGCAAAAGGUUAUUUUAUCGCUAAACGGAUGUAUACCCGUUGGCAUGCCGCGUUCUCGUGUUUUUGUUAAGCAACUCAAGUUGGUCCAAAAAUAAAAGUUGUGGAAAAUUAUUUGGAGAAGAGCAUGCAAAAAGUUGCAUCAAGUUUGACAUGGUUCGGAUCAUCAAUUCUUGGUUUUGCUAAUCACCGUCAAUACGUUGACACUUGUGACUUGGCAUCUAAUUAUCUCUUAAUCUGUUGGACUAAUGAUCUUGGUGUCUUAAUCAAAGUUGUAGUGCACGACGUGGUGAGCAAACUUCGUAUUUGGCCCAAGGUCCAAUUCAGCCCAGAAGUGGCCCAAACCGGCGUCCCACCUUGACUACUUUGUUGCCCGCCACGUGAUCGACGAAAUGGCGACAUGGUCACCAUGCAGCAGAACUUGUCCCACCAUGGCUGCCACCUCCAUCUCGCCCUUGCCUGUAUCAGUGUGGAUCAGGGCGAGCACCAGAGCGCCCUUGCCGUUCCCCCUCCACUCCCCACUCGCUUCCUCUCCUCUCCAUCGCUCUAGAGCCCAUGAGCGUGAAGCCGCCAUGGACGCGGGACCGAGCUCCGUGCUGCACCGUUCCUGCCGCUGCCAAUGCCCUUGCGCCAAGCUAACUCCUCCACCAUCUUCCUCUCCUCGCACCGCUCCGUCCUUUUCCCAGCUCCAUCCGUGGUCACAAGCUAUAGAACCGCCGCCGCCAUCUCUGGUGGCCACCAGCGUGCGUGGCCAGGGUGCCACGGGUCAUGUCCCGGCCUUCCGCGACCAUCAGCGGGUGCGUGCAGACCCCUUGGUCCUCCCCCGCCACUUCUUCGUCGCCGGCGUGCAACCAAACCGCCGGAAAACGCGAUUCCGAGCGCCUCCUCUGUUCUGAUUCGCGUCAGGGGCUUCAGACGACAAUUCGACAAAAUGGGAGGGGUUAUCCGCGAACCUAUGACUCAUGUGAAUAGUGCCUGCAGGGACGUAUCCGCUGGGUUUCAGUUCGAGCAAAGUUCAGGGGCCUCUGUGCAAAUCUGUUUUUUCUUUCAUAUGGCUGAAGUUUGGAAAAUUAUAAUAAAUUGUAGAGAAAUCGUAAAAUAGCAAAUGUGGACUUUUUGGAAUCGUCGUGAAAUUCUCUAUGCAGUAGAUCUAUAAUAUGGCAUGGUUUAGUUUGACGUUUUAGUCAUAAAAUAGAUUUAUGCAGUUAGGUUUUAAUUGCAUGUCAUAUUUGUCUUUUUCAUAAAUGCUGUAUUAUUGCUCGAAUAAAUGUAAAAAUAUUGUGACAUGCUUUUCAUAUGAUAUUUGAUGUUUGACUUUUGUUUCAUGAAUUUAGGAUUGAUAGAUUAAGAGUUAUGAAAAUAACAAAUGCCCUAUGUUGCUUUGCUCCUAUUCUGAGUGGAUCUGCAUAUUUGUAUUGUUUGGCUCAGUUAAGUUAUGAAUCUUUCCUAGAUGAAAAUGUAUAAGUUUUAGUACUUUUCAUAAGCUUUCCAGAAAGGUAUAUAGCACAAUUUUUGGUUAAGCACAUGUUUAGUUAUAGUGGUUUAAAAUACUGUUCCAGUUUCUGUCUAAACCCAGACAGGAUUGCAUUGUUUGUAAUGUAAGACCUUUUUAGUUGUAGAUUUAGUUGUACAUGUUUAUAAAAAAGUUGUUCACAAUUAAUUAAGGUUUCUAGAAAGUAUAUAACCAUAAUUUAUGGACAUGUGAAACUCAUGUUAUGGGUGUUUAAUAUAGCAUGACAGAUUCUGUCUGUGUUUUGGACAGAGAUAUCUUCAUAGGAUUAAUUGACCUUGUUAACUGUAGAUUCAUAUUUAGAUGAUAAUAAGAAAGUUGUAGGUAACUUUAUAAGCUUUCCUAAAAUUUAAGAAUUAUGUUUUCUGGAUGUCUACAACUCCAGUUAUGCUACUUUGAAUUGCCUAUCAGUUUUCUGUUUAAUUGUACCCCUACUGUUUGGCAGCAUGAGCAGUUUUAUUUAUGAAACUAAUUCCAUGAUAUAAAUGAUGUUUGAUGUACAACUUGUCUAUAUAAAAUAUGUAGAUAAUUUAUUAAUAUAUCUUGUGGUAAAGUUUCAUAUAAUUUGGCUAAGUGGUUUAUAAGUUACAGUAGUAUGAAGUUCAUCCUUUGAAAUGCUUGUUCUCUGGAAAGUCCUGGACCAGAUUCUAUGGUUAUGCAUGUUUGACUUGGCUAACUUGUUAAUCAUAGUGAGAUGAUUAAAGAUGAAUUGUAGAUAAUUUUAUAUUCUUUCCAUAAUGUCCUAUUGCAUAGUUUUUGGAGCUGUGUAGCUCUAGUUAUGAUUUAUUUACUGAGUUGCUGCAUGUAUAUCCAGAAUUGCUGAAAAUGUAUGAAUGCUUGAUUGCUUACUUUGUGUAUACUAAGUGUGACACAUGUCUUUAGUGGUGAUUAAAUAAUAUACUUGUGACCAUGUAAAACGUGUGCCAUGCUUGAUAUGUUGCUAUCCAUAGUUGGUUGUGUGAUGCUAGUUAAAUAACUUUAGAUGCAUGUGUCUUGAAUACUUUUAUGUGAUGCAUGUUGUGUUACUAUUCUUCAUAUUCAUGCACUUGCAUCUUGCAUCUCAUCUAGGUGCGCUAGAUGAAUCACGUGAAGGUCAUGGUGUGGAAACAAACCCGAAGAUGGUGUUGGGUGGAUCCCGAAGGUGGAAGGACUAAGCAAGCGUUGUGACCUUAGAUGUCACCAAGACGGAGCAACUAAUAACUGAACUGACUCAGUGAUGAUCCCAGGCAAGCCCCGGAGCAUUAUAAGUCUCCUACUACUUUUGAAUGCAAUUGAGAAUAUAUGUUAUAUAUGUAUUGUUGCAUUAAGUAUAGGAGUUGGGUGAAACCCUUGCUGCAUAUAUCACUCCUUGUCCAAUAAAUAUACCUAUGACCCUAUGCAGAUUCAGGAUCGAAUCUAAAUGCUUAGCUAUGCUUAGACCGGUAGAAGCCAGGUGAUGUCCUGUCACCUGAGCGAGAUAGGUGGAUGCCUGAAAAGGUUGGCUAUAUAUGCUAUCAUGGAAAUAACCAAGUGAUGAGGAUGAAUAAUUGGAGACCGGGCGGGACGAUGAUAGAGAAGUAACAAGACAUGGAGGUCUUGGGUGCCUAUCUAUCCCCACCUGUGUCGAUUAAGGACCGAUCGUUGACGGCCCUCUUGUCAUGUUGAACGCAUGCCCCACACUUAGCUGAAAGGAUAAGUCGUUCCGACCGCGAAGCCUGAACACUAUCCGGGCCGGGAAUCGGCCCGAUGUACGCGCUGUAUUGGUGAUGGUUGAGGAGAACGACGAGGGCGCGGUGCGCAACCUUGGUAUACCUUGGAUACCUCGGUCGCCGGAACGGUCCUCGGAUACGGGCGGUGCCUGUCGAACCCGUGAAUUGGUCCUGGAUAGUGUAAUACGGUGACCUGUAGCUCACUUGAUCAGUGAGUGUGGUUUGUGUGGGGAAUAAACUCGCCAGCUGGUUAGAAAUCGAUUCCAAUCGCCAUCACUCCUGGACAGUGAGCACUUGACUUGAGCUUCAUCAUCGUAGUAAUGUUUAUGGAACACUUGGAUGGUUAUGGAAUGAUGAUGUUGGAGAUGCCACAUCAAAUAUGGGUACUAUUGUUGUAUCUUAAUCAAGUGAUUGCUUGAGUACAGGUGCUAAUCUAGAUGAUAGGUUAAUGAUUAUUAACUUGAGCUAAAUACCUAAAAGGAAUACUUAGUUGCAACUCAAGCUUUUUAUGCAAAAAGUGUUGUCAAGCUAGCUCCACCAAUAAAGCCUUGCAUACUCCUUAGUGUCAUAUUAUUUCUGGUUUAUGACGGCUAAGUCUAGCUGAGUACCUUCUCGUACUCAGGGUUUAAUCCCACUUGUUGCAGGUUGUGAUGUAUCAUGGCUAUUGCAAGAGUUGGAUGACUCGUACCAUAUUAGAGGAGUAAGAUCUUGGGCAUGAUCCUUCUUAGUUACCUCAUCUAUGUUGCUUUUGUUGGAGUUGACCUGGAUACUGGCAUGUAUUUGAAAUAAGGGCAAUAUUAGUUUCAAAAUACUUUGCUUCCGCUACUUUUCAACUCAAGUUGUAAUAACUAUCUUGAACUCCUAUGUAUAUCAAACUACUUGUGAAAUGGAUGUAACAUGUGACUUGUUAUGUUGAAUCACUACGAUCUUGGCUUGUAUGAUGGUUGGUUUGAAAUCCCUCGUGAUUUCACGGACUACCGGGUUUAUGAGAGUUCGAUUAUGUUAAAGCAACUGCUUUGGCGGGAGUUUUUUAUAGUUGAUCUCUUGUAAAUUGGGCGGUUCUGUUACAGCUGGUAUCAAAGCAAGGUUCAACAUUAAACUUGUCAUAUGUGUAUUUAAAACAAAAGAUUUUGUUUUCUAAAAUUAGUUUCUGAUAGCUUAAAGCUAUUACAGAUAUAGGUGUGUUCAAAUCUUAAAUGGUUUUAUUUAAGUAUGCUAGUGGUCACUUCCUUUAUGCCCAAAUAAGGACCUUUAGGUGGCUUAUUUAAGUACUGACUUGGGGGUUUAUGAAUCAUAUUUCUAUUUCGUUGCUCAUACGGCGUGCAAUAGUAUGAGUGCCAUUCAUUUGAAUGGUAAUGUAUGGAUCAUUUUUCUUCUACGCCUCGGUAAGUGUGAGCUGUGAGAGCAUGAUCAGAAACACCGUUGAUCUAGGGAAGUGCUUUGGGUACUGGAUCAUGUGCACAUUUUACAUGUGCCUAUGAAAAGGUACCGCAUGAUGGGUGAUUCCGUCCUUAGAGGCGAUGCCGUCGCUAGGAUGAUGAUGUGGGUAGUAGCACUACACAUACGGGUAUGGGGAUACGCGUGUGUGGAGCGCAUAGCUUUUAAAUCUUGUACUGCAUGUUUCAUACUGUGGGUGGGCUGAAAUUAGUUUUCUACAGGUAUGCUAACCACGAUUACGUAAAUUGAAUAUAGCUUACGACUAGUUACAUGUCAAGAGUGUACGUGUUAUGCCACCGACAUAGAACGUGAUUGCCACCUUAGGCUGGCAAUUUUGUGAGGACGAAUAGAACGAAGCAUGCAUCAUCAUGAUUGUUGUGUUAUGUAUAACUAUGCUUCUCUCACCUUUGUUCUAACAAUAAGUAACUUAUGAAUCAAUGUGGUGUCACCUUGCUUGUGUGCAGUUGGAUAAAAUGCUUUGCUACAUGUUGCUUGAAUAGCUAUAAUUAAAGAUAGGGUAUAAUUUGCUUUGUUUUGCCUGUUGUGGUUUGUUUGUGCACCCUGUCAGUAUGAUGCACAUCUUUAAGAUGACUAGUCUUUUAAGUAUAAGUUAAAAAUUUGUUUUCACAACUAGAGAAGAAACAUACACCUUUCUAGUAAAAGAAAGUAAAAGAUAAAAGCACUUUACCAUCAUGUUUUGUAUGUUCAGGUGUACUAGUGUUGCUUUAGAUGACUACUUGUUAUCUGCAAAACUUUGUGCUUAGUAAUGAUUGUCGGAGAUAGUGUGAUUCAUGUUCUCACAUGUUUGUUUAAAACCAUGAUGCAUGAGUAGAUGUGUUGUUAACAAGGUAGUGUCAUAGUUGUUACCUUUUUGUCCUUAGUAAGCAUGCGAAUGUUGAAGAGCCUUAUCUUACAAUAACACUCAUGUCACAUUAAUCUCAUGGUUAUCUCCAAGUAGAUUCCAAUGAUAAAGAGCUUGAGUUUGUGCAUGGUGGUUAGCUCUUGAAUGUUGUGUAUCCAUUCCCUAAUCUAUGUAUUGAUUCAAUCUUUCAAAUCUCAAUCGUUUUAUCUCCAGCUCUAUUGAGUCUGUGGGUGUUUAUCCGUCUUAAUCUCAUGUGAUCUAUGUUCUCUAGUACUAUGUUUUAAAUCACCUCCUUGUGGACCUCUAAUCUCAUGACUCUUAGUUUGAUAUCCCUCUUUUGCAAAGUGCUCGCUGCUAUGCAACUCAAUUUUUGCCAUGAGAGAUUUCUUUUCGGUUGUAUGUUCGGUAAUGGUGUCUUGCUUAAUGAUUGAUGGUGCCGUGACGAAACCGAGAGCCCCUUGUGGCGGCCGACACAUCGUUGUGCUGCUCGGCACGCGCUGGUAUCGUUGUUGCUAGCCAUGAUCCAUUAUAGAACUACACCAAUGUGUCAUCUCAUCAUGAGUUUGUCCUUAAUUAUCUAUCCAGAUUUGAUCAGAAGAUCCUUACUUCAUGUGCGAGUAAGAGAACUUCCUAUGAAGUUACAAAGAGGAUUACCUUUGAAGAAUGGGUCACUGACAUAAACAUUGACAGACUGCAAGAGGUGGUACACAAGUGACACUAUUUAACUAUCCCUGCACUGAUGAUGGCCAUUUAAUGAGCAACAUUGGUUAUCCACACCGAACCAAAAAGGACGCACGACACUUAAUGUUGGACAAGUUAUUUGUUGAACAAGCAUCAGUCAUCACCAUUGUGCUUAUGAUCUAGUUUUCCUAAGUCUUGAUCUUUAUGUGCAUCGUGGUGAUACGACUAAAGUCAACCAUCUUUAUCAUGAAUCCUUAUCUCCUGGCUUUGAAGGUGACCAAUUGUUAAGCGUCAGCCACAAUUGUUGUAGUUAAGUGUGGAGCUUUGGAAAUUUUAGUGCUGAGAGCCAAUUGAUUGGUUGCUAGUAACAAAGCUAAUCUCAAGCAAGGAAACGAUGGAUUGAUAGCCAUGAAGGAUAUAUUUCAUCAACUAGUGAAUUAAACUGUGGAGUUGAGAGAUGUCUUGUCAGUCAGGAAUGCUGCCGUUUUAGCACUGAACAAGUUUAGUAUGUAUAUGUUCUGCCUACACAAAUGGUGCCCGUUUGAGCUGAAUUUUGGUCAAAGGUUGGAAGGUUCCUGGAUCUAUACUUCUACCAAAUUUCAUGAGGAUGUGAGGGAUAAUUGGUGAAAUAUGAACCAAAACCCAAAAGGGGUAAAAAUUUGCAAUCUCUCUUUUGAUAUCAAUCAUCCUUCAUAUAGAAAGUGGUGUUUGUUUUGGCGCCAUGGAUUACAGUAUGGGCAAUGUCUUGCUGCAUAGAUAAUGCUUAUAUGCUGAAAUAAGAUUCUUUGUACCCAUUUGCGCCAGUGUGUGUCAACAAUGAUUUGAAAGGUGUCAACCAAUAGUUUUCCUUUACCAGAGCUACCGACAGAUCUUAAAAAGGAAACCUCAAGAGCAAAAGUAGUUCCACUAGAUUGGUUUUGCUAUGGUACAAGCCAACCUAACUCUUAUGCGACUACACAAUGAAGAAAGGUAAUGCUUAACCUACUGGUGGUACGCUAUUUCUUUGGUUGGUUGAACACUUGCAACUGUUGGAGACAUAUAGGCCCCACUAUCAUCCUUCGUCAGUAGUGGUUAUCCAAUUCUUACAUGCCUUGGUUACCUUCUAUGUAUUACCCAAGAAGUUACAUCUGAUCCGACCCAGAUAACUGUUGUUGUUUGGAUACAAGAAUCCCAUUAAAGUAAAUGAUCAUGGAAGGCAUGAAACCAACAGAGUCAACUAUCACAUUCACUGUUCUCUUAACCAGGUGGUAAGUACAAUGUUGUCAUCAAAGAAAGAGAACUGCAUACGUGGAAAGUUGUAAUCCAACCAUGUUGGUAGAGGACUGCUUUUCAAAUCUUGUGAAUGAGCCUAGAACCUCUAUAAUGAGCAACCCUUAGAAGCUUGUGACCUGGUGUGAAGUUCAUAUGACUUGCAUUAGUUUCACUAAAGAAGCUAAUGGUACAAGUAGCCCCUUAUGUUCUAAACAACUAGGAACAAAGUACAUGGAACAGUGUUGUCUUGGAUUCCUCCCAAAGUAACAAUGCUUCACUAAAGUCAAACAAAAGAGGAGAUUCUCCAGAUAAAGGUUUACUAUGAAGGGCAAGUAUCAGAAAAUGUUUGGAUCAAGUUAGCUUCUCUGAUGUUCUAAGCUAAGUCGCCACUGCUAUCGCUAAUGUUGGAAAAUGUGUGACAUUGUUUUCUUCCCUUGAAAGUCUUUUGCAUCGAAUCUCGGGACGAGAUUCUUUUAAGGGGGGAAGGCUGUAACACCCCAGGUGUUUAUCACUUGCUAAGUACUAGGUUUGAGCUCAAACAUGAAAAGUUCAGUAGUAAUAAAGAGGUCAAAGUCAAUCUAUGAAAGUAAGCCCUAACUUUGAUUUGGAUGAUGCACCUUUACUUAUAUAUAGGCCCUUUUUAAAAGGUAUGCUUGGAUGAUGCUAGUGGAACAUUUUCCAUGUGUCUCAUAUCCAUCCCAAUCUAUAUUGGUCUCUAGAAAAGUUUGGUGAAGUUUGGAAUCAAGAAGUCAUAUGAAAUGAUAAGUUAUAUCCUUGUUGGAAUGGCUCUAUUAAGGAAAUAGAAUCAUGGGUCAAGAACCAAUCUUCCAAAUUUGCUCAUAGGACCCUAGAUUAAUUAUACCACAAAAGUCAUGAAGGGUUCAUGUUGAGCUUAUGUCAAGAAAAUGCUUCAAUUGGCCUAAAACCCUAUUUGGAGCUUUAUCACGAUACUGCUUUAACCAAAGUGAAAGAUUGACUUCUGUUGUAGUUAUGAGGUUUGACCCUAAGUGAAAGUUGUAGUAUUGCUUCGGUAGAACAAACUUUGUUUAAGGAUCAAGAGCUAGUUUGGUCCCUAUCCUAAUCAAAUUGAGCUCUCAAGAAUCAAUUCAGUGCUGAUUUGCUACCUCCAUAUUUUUGGCUAAGUCCCUGAAAGUGACAGCAGUCCGUUAGAUACUUCGUGACGUUUUACUAUCCAAAUUCAUAUGGUAACUCAAUUAGAUUCCUUAAUAUGAGUUGGAGUACGCUUCUUGAUGAAAGCAAUGGAUUAAGUAUCAUCAAAUUUGGAGUUCAUUUGGAUAUCUGAAAAUAGCUCCUAAAACAGCAAAAGGUUAUUUUAUCGCUAAACGGACGUAUACCCGUUGGCAUGCCGCAUUCUCAUGUUUUUGUUAAGCAACUCAAGUUGGUCCAAAAAUAAAAGUUGUGGAUAAUUGUUUGGAGAAGAGCAUGCAAAAAGUUGCAUCAAGUUUGACAUGGUUCCGAUCAUCAAUUCUUGGUUUUGCUAAUAACCGUCAAUACGUUGACACUUGUGACUUGGCAUCUAAUUAUCUCUUAAUCUGUUGGACCAAUGAUCUUGGUGUCUCAAUCAAAGUUGUAGUGCACGACGUGGUGAGCAAACUUCGUAUUUGGCCCAAGGUCCAAUUCAGCCCAGAAGUGGCCCAAACCGGCGUCCCACCUUGGCUACUUUGUUGCCCGCCACGUGUUCGACGAAAUGGCGACGUGGUCACCAUGCAGCACAACUUGUCCCACCAUGGCUGCCACCUCCACCUCUCCCUUGCCUGUAUCAGUGUGGAUCAGGGCGAGCACCAGAGCGCCCUCGCCGUUCCCCCUCCACUCCCCACUCGCUUCCUCUCCUCUCCAUCGCUCUAGAGCCCACGAGCGUGAAGCCGCCAUGGACGCGGGACCGAGCUCCGUGCUGCACCGUUCCUGCCGCUGCCGAUGCCUUUGCGCCAAGCUAACUCCUCCAGCAUCUUCCUCUCCUCGCACCGCUCCGUCCUUUUUCCGGCUCCAUCCGUGGUCACAAGCUACAGAACCGCCGCCGCCGUCUCUGGUGGCCGCCAGCGUGCGUGGCCAGGGUGCCAUGGGUCAUGUCCCGGCCUUCCGCGACCAUCAGCGGGCGCGUGCAGAGCCCCUGGUCCUCCCCCGCCACUUCUUCGUCGCCGGCGUGCAACCAAACCGCCGGAAAACGCGAUUCCGAGCGCCUCCUCUGUUCUGAUUCGCGUCAGGGGCUUCGCGCGACAAUUCGACAAAAUGGGAGGGGUUAUCCGCGAACCUAUGACUCAUGUGAAUAGUGCCUGCAAGGACGUAUCCACUGGGUUUCAGUUCGAGCAAAGUUCAGUGGCCUGUGUGCAAAUCUGUUUUUUCUUUCAUAUGGCUGAAGUUUGGAAAAUUAUAAUAAAUUGUAGAGAAAUCAUAAAAUAGCAAAUGUGGACUUUUUGGAAUCCUUGUGAAAUUCUCUAUGCAGUAGAUCUAUAAUAUGACAUGGUUUGGUUUGACGUUUUAGUCAUAAAAUAGAUUUAUGCAGUUAGGUUUUAAUUGGUUGUUAUAUUUGUCUUUUUCAUAAAUGCUGUAGUAUUGCUCGAAUGAAUGUGAAAAUAUUGUGACAUGCUUUUCAUAUGAUAUUUGAUGUUUGGAUUUUGUUUUGUGAAUUUAGGAUUGAUACAUUAAGAGUUAUGAAAAUAACAAAUGCCCUGUGUUGCUUUGCUCCUAUUCUGAGUGAAUAUGCAUAUUUGUAUUGUUUGGCUCAGUUAAGUUAUGAAUCUUGCCUAGAUGAAAAUGUAUAAGUUUUAGUACUUUUCAUAAGCUUUCCAGAAAGGUAAAUAGCACAAUUUUUGGUUAAGCACAUGUUUAGUUAUAGUGGUUUAAAGUACUGUUCCAGUUUCUGUCUAAACCCAGACGGGGUUGCAUUGUUUGUAAUGUAAGACCUUUUUAGUUGUAGAUUUAGUUGUACAUGUUUAUAACAAAGUUGUUCACAAUUAAUUAAGGUUUCUAGAAAGUAUAUAACCAUAAUUUAUGGACAUGUGAAACUCAAGUUAUGGGUGUUUAAUGUAGCAUGACAGAUUCUGUCUGUGUUUUGGACAGAGAUAUCUUCAUGGGAUUAAUUGACCUUGUUAACUGUAGAUUCAUAUUUAGAUGAUAAUAAGAAAGUUUUAGGUAACUUUAUAAGCUUUCCUAAAAUAUAAGAAUUAUGUUUGCUGGAGGUCUACAACUCUAGUUAUGCUACUUUGAAUUGCCUAUCAGUUUUCUGUGUAAUUGUACCCCUACUGUUUGGCAGCAUGAGCAGUUUUAUUUAUGCAACUAAUUCCAUGAUAUAAAUGAUGUUUGCUGUACAACUUGUCUAUAUAAAAGAUGUAGAUAAUUUAUUAAUAUAUCUUGUGGUAAAGUUUCAUAUAAUUUGGCUAAGUGGUUUAUAAGUUAAAGUAGUAUAAAGUUCAUCCUUUGAAAUGCUUGUUCUCUAGAAAGUCCUGGACCAGAUUCUAUGGUUAUGCGUGUUUGGCUUGGCUAACUCGUUAAUCAUACUGAGAUGAUUAAAGAUGAAUUGUAGAUAAUUUUAUAUUCUUUCCAUAAUGUCCUAUUGCAUAGUUUUUGGAGCUGUGUAGCUCAAGUUAUGAUUUAUUUACUGAGUUGCUGCAUGUAUAUCCAGAAUUGCUGAAAAUGUAUGAAUGCUUGAUUGCUUACUUUGUGUAUACUAAGUGUGACACAUGUCUUUAGUGGUCAUUAAAUAAUAUACUUGUGACCUUGUAAAACGUGUGCCAUGCUUGAUAUGUUGCUAUCCAUAGUUGGUUGUGUGAUGCUAGUUAAAUAACUUUAGAUGCAUGUGUCUUGAAUACUUUUAUGUGAUGCAUGUUGUGUUACUAUUCUUCAUAUUCAUGCACUUGCAUCUCAUCUAGGUGCGCUAGAUGAAUCACGUGAAGGUCAUGGUGUGGAAACAAACUCGAAGAUGGUGUUGUGUGGAUCCCGAAGGUGGAAGGACUAAGCAAGCGUUGUGACCUUAGAUGUCACCAAGACGGAGCAACUAAUAACUGAACUGUCUCAUUGAUGAUCCCAGGCAAGCCCCGGAGCAUUAUAAGUCUCCUACUACUUUUGAAUGCAAUUGAGAAUAUAUGUUAUAUAUGUAUUGUCUCCACUACUAUAUAAUCCACCACUUGUGAACUUAACUAAAUGCACCCCAUAACCUACUGCUACAGUCAUAAGCUACACUAAGUACACCCAGAAAGUUCUAUUUUUUUAAAUUAAGGGGCAAGAUCUAUUUUAACCUCUCAUUUCUCUUACUCACUCAAAUCCAACGGAUCAUAUUGCUUGGAUCAAACCUCAUCACUCAUCCAUCGUUCCCCUCUCACCGUCUCACGCACACCCGGCCACACGCGAGGCGCGACUCUCCCUCUCCCCAACGCCCACUCUCCCUCUCCCCGAGGCCACACUGCCUCUCCUCGACGCCCUCUCUCCGCACCAUUACGCCGGCAGGGACGCGCGCGUCACCAGGGAGUCACAUCGGGAGGGAGGGGUGCUGGCAGGGACGCGCGCCGCAAGGAGUCGCAUCGGGAGGGAGGGUUGCCGCCAGGGAGUCGUGUGUUGCGGCUGGUCAGCCGCCAUAGGGCCGGCCUGCUGCUGCUGCCCACCGUCGCGGCCGUCGCCGUCUUCUGCCCCUUGAUCUUCCCUUCCCGCUGUGUCAAACCAAGCACCCAAACCCUAACUUCCUUAAGCUCCGAUCUGAUUACACCUUGGUUUGCCCCCUUGGUCUCUCCCUAGUCCGUCGAUCCAUGGAUCGAUCCGUGUGCGGCCUUGGUCCUCCUCUGGGUUCUUAUCUGUCCUCGCCUCGCCGGAGGAGAUGAACAGCGCCGGGGCAGCCACCACAAGCAGCAGCAGAGGCUCCGACAGCAGCAUUAGACACUCUUGAUGCAGCAGCAACAGCAGUACCAGUCUGGUGCCACGGCGGCCAUGACCCAGGUCGUCCCCCUGGAUCCUUGCCUCUAAAUUUUUGUGAAAUUUUCUCCAACAGGAUGUUUGUUCAGUUAACAUGCUUAUCUUUGUUAGUAAUUUGUUGUCUUGUGGCCUCCAGUCCACCCAGUUCUUAAUAUAUUUGGGCAGAAAAUAAUUUAACAAGAUUUUCUUCUCCUGAACGAGAGUCACAAUGGCCUCGAGAGAUCACACUAGCUUGACCCAACAACUUCUGGAUUUUCAACAUGAUAUGAUAGUGAGGUAAGUGCAGAACACGAUCCAUUCAUGGAUUUGAAAGCAAGAUUCAUGGACUAUGUGUAAGUGGACUGUAAUGUAGGCAAGUAACUUACCUCACAAGUUAAUCUUGCUUGCAGGUUUAUGUCAUAUCUGUCUACUCCCUAGGUUUCACAUGGUUCAGAAGGCCAUCUUGAGACAGCAAGUGAAGAGUUAUUCACAUUUUGUCCUCAUGAUUUGUUUUCUUAUUUUAUUUAUAGUUAUUCGCAAAUAUCUAUGUUACCACUCAUCCAAUGGAAUUCAAUGGAAUUUUUAUUCCUGAUGCAAACAUUGUAAUCACACAUAAUCAGUUUCACAUCUGUAAAGCCUGGACAUACCUUACUGUGUGCCGUGAAUUAUAUGCUACACCAUUAAAAGGUGUUUUGAAGGCCUGUGUUGUUGACACCAGCUUAUGAUAAAACUUAUUUUUCAUUGGCAAUAAAUCUAACACGGUUUCAUAUUUCCAUCUGCAAUAAAUCUAACAUGGUUUCAUGAUUCUUUGAGUUGAUUUUUGUAGGUACGAUGUUUCAUGAUUCUUUGAGUCGAUUUUUUAUGUCAAAUUAGAAGUUUCAUAUAUAAUUUUGUACAUUAGUUGAGCUUAUUUCUGGGGCAUUUGCAAAAUUUUCUUAUAAAAUUUUCAAAAGUACUGAAUGGUUGCAUUGCCUCGGUCUAUAGGUUGAUGGUCCGCAGGCCAAUGUGAAGAAAAGUGGACUUUCAACAAAGAUUGAGCUGGGUAUUUCUUCCCCAUUACUAAGGUAUAAUCUGGUAAUAUUUCUGUGCACUUUUUGGGUUUUAAGUGUUUACUUUGUAUGCACAUUUUUUUCUCCCUAUUUUUCUUCAUCAAACACAGAUUAAUAGCAUAUUUUCUCCAAGCUAGAUUCACAUGAGUCAUAACAUUUUAAUUUCCCAAUUCUGACCUCCUCACAUGUCCAUGUAAUUAUCUAACUGAUGUUUUUUCUUCAGAAGGCCAACGUGUAUAGGUUGUUGCCAUUUUAUAGCUGCAGUACAGGUUGUUGGAUUGUACUUCUACAUGGCUCAUCGAAGUAUGGUUUGUUGCAUCCCAGAGCGAGCUCGACGCCGCCUUCAGCCGCGUGAUGCGUGACAUGGGAUAGUGCCUUCUAAUUUUCUUCAUGCCUUUUUCAGGGUAUUAUACUAUAAGUCAUGUGUAUCUACUAUCUAUAGAGCUUGAGACUUGGAGAGCUUGAGUUAAGUCCUGAGUUUAAUUUGAUGCAGUUGUUAGUGGAGGAUUUUGAGAAUAAGAUUCAAUUAAACUCUGCUGCUCCUGACUGCUGCCAUUGGCAUUUUUUUCUCCUUCUGCUGCUCCUGACAGUUCCACACAGCUGCUCUCAUUCCAUCUGUUAGAUCUACUUCUUACAGUCCAUAUACUUGUUGCUCUGUAAGAAAUUUGAAUGCCUGAUUUUUGUGUCUACUGUCUACUCUGAUAAGUGAUGAAUUCCUAUUUUUUCUAUAUCCAGGCUGCAAGUUCAUUGAGGAGGAAGGACCCUGUCAACUCCUCCCAAUCAAACAGAUGUGUAAUUUCUUCAUCUUGAUCUUCAAUUAUUUCUCUUUUUCCUGUUACAUUCAUUUUUGCUAUAGUUUACAAAACUUCUAGAAGAAAAGCAGAGGAUUGAUAUAGCGGGAGAGUACUACUCUUUCCGGUUCACUAAAUUGCUAUUCCUUUAAUAUUUUGCUCAAUUUUUUUUAUGUUUGCAGCAAUAAUUUUGGUGCAGAUUGGAGAUUGCAGGUUCACACCAUGAUGGAAAAUUUUCUGAAUUUUGUUAUAUGUUUGAAUUCUGGAUUUAUAAUUCAUAGGUGAUUUGCGAUUCCAGUGAUAUGGAAUCGUUGGUGUGACUUGCAUGCCUCUGCAGGCAUGGCGUGGGAACUAGAGUAGGUGCCAGCUCUGACUCUUUAUGGUCUUACCGGUGAUAUUUAGCUAUAGGUAGACAUCUCUUGAAUUUAGUUAUGUCAGACUUCUAGACAGCUCGAGUUGUUAGCUGGAAUCAAGUGAUUGGACACUGAGAAUGAGAGGGGACAGCAGCCAAUGAAAUUGAUGCCAAUACCACAACAAGGAAAUAUAUUAAACAAAUUUGGAUAGUGAUAAUUUGCGCACAUUAUUGUGAGUUAUCUGUAUGAUCUCUAUGAUCUCACGCAAAUAUUGGUUGUUUCAUUUAAGGUAUUAUGGAUUACAGAAGAUAUCCCUGUUUGCAGUAACAGAUGUUGAUGCUCAAAUUACCUUUUCAAUCAUUAGUUUUGUGAUGAUCAAGUCAUAUUGAUAUUUCUGCAGGUAUUUAAGAACAUGUAUUAAUGAGAAACCAGGCUGCUUUUUCAUUACAACCAAACAUGAUCCUACUAGGCAUAUGACAUUUAUAGUCAAGAAAUUUAUUGAAUUUUUGUAGCUUCUAUUUGUACAACAACAUAAUUUGCAAUCACUUACCUUAAUAGGAGCCAGAAAUAUAGCUGCUGCAGUAAUCUGCUCAUUACAAAGCAAGGUGCUUAAUAGUAAGAUGAAAGGACAGUGGAUGCAUUCUUUAUUGAUUUUCAAUGCCACACUAUCAUAAAAGGUCUCCUUACUGAAACAUGAGUGCUGGUUCACAAAACAUAUGCAUAUAUGUGCAGUGCUAAGUCCUAACUGUUGAUGUGUUAUUAGGCACUAUGUUUCCCGCGAUGUUGAAGAGCUCUCAAAUGGCAAAGGCAGAAAGGACUGGAUGCUUGGAUGUUUCUAUCUUCUGAGUGGGGUCAUAAUCUUCGCCUGCAACACUGUUCUAUAGGUAUAUCUGAGUUUUAGACAUUCAGUAAAUGGUGCAUGUUGUGUUCUUGUAACUUUAAGUACUGCAAACUUGAAAAAGAGAGAAUGCAAGGACUUUUUUGCAGGUAUAAUCAUGACUUCUGAAAUUCCUGUGUGUGUGUGGAACUUGGAAUGUUAGCUGUGACAACACUGUAUGAGUGACAGUUUGAUUUGGAGAUGUCACAGCUCGAAGGGGUCAUGAAUCUUCAUGCCCAGGGACGUAAGUGGCAAUCGUUGAUGCAUGUUUGGGCUAUUUGUUUCUUGAUGCAUUUGCCUAAAAAUGGUGUUUGUUUCUUCGAAGGAAUCCAUAUCUAAUUAAGGAAAUACAUAAAUAAUAAAAUAAUUAAUUGUUGUUGGUGUUUGUUGGGUUCAUGGUGGAUUAUUUAAAUAGUUGUCUAGAACUUAAAGAUUUUUGCUGCUAUAUUUCAGAUGGGUCCUCAUUCGGCAAGCAGCUCACUGUAUGGUGGGAUUAAAGAUGGGGAGGUUCUUUCUAUUGGCAUCACCUGAUUUUAUAAUAAAAUGGAAUACACAUGUUAUUGUACCUGCACUGGUGUACUGCCUUUUUCUUUUAGAUGAUGCUAAAUGGUACCCUUUUUGGUUUUAGCACUGACAAGAACCAGAAGAAUUAUUGCCCUUGAUGAUUGAGUUGGUAUAUUGGUCAUCUCAUGCUUGCUACAGAGAAGAUCGGCAGAAAGGCACACCUUGCUGACCUUGCCAGUAGCCAUGGCUUUGUUGUUACCAAGACCUAUAGCUAUGAUGAUUAAUUUGUAUUGUAAUUUGGAUAAGUUACUCUUUAAGCAUUGAUUUGUACAAUAAUAACUUUAUUGUCUCACGCAUAUUCUUCUCUCUUUGCUAUGCUUGGUCAAGAAAUGUCGAUUGAGAGUUUUGCUGAGUUGCCGUUCCAGCUCUUUGUCUGUGUCGUGUGAAUAUUUAUAUCUUUUUUUUGAUUGCUUGAUUUGUGCUGCUAAAUAUCAUCAAAUAUUAUCGUAGCGUUAGCACGGGCAAUAUACUAGUUGCAUUAAGUAUAGGAGUUGGGUGAAACCCUUGCUGCAUAUAUCACUCCUUGUCCAAUAAAUAUACCUAUGACCCUAUGCAGAUUCAGGAUCGAAUCUAAAUGCUUAGCUAUGCUUAGACCGGUAGAAGCCAGGUGAUGUCCUGUCACCUGAGUGAGAUAGGUGGAUACCUGAAAAGGUUGGCUAUAUAUGCUAUCAUGGAAAUAACCAAGUGAUGAGGAUGAAUAAUUGGAGACCGGGCGGGACGAUGAUAGAGAAGUAACAAGACAUGGAGGUCUUGGGUGCCUAUCUAUCCCCGCCUGUGUCGAUUAAGGACCGAUCGUUGACGGCCCUCUUGUCAUGUUGAACGCAUGCCCCACACUUAGCUGUAAGGAUAAGUCGUUCCGACCGCGAAGCCUGAACACUAUCCGGGCCGGGAAUCGGCCCGAUGUACGCGUUGUAUUGGUGAUGGUUGAGGAGAACGACGAGGGCGCGGCGCGCAACCUUGGUAUACCUUGGAUACCUCGGUCGCCGGAACGGUCCUCGGGUACGGGCGGUGCCUGUCGAACCCGCGAAUUGGUCCUGGAUAGUGUAAUACGGUGACCUGUAGCUCACUUGAUCAGUGAGUGUGGUUUGUCUGGGGAAUAAACUCGCCAGCUGGUUAGAAAUCGAUUCGAAUCGCUAUCGCUCCUGGACAGUGAGCACUUGACUUGAGCUUCGUCAUCGUAGUAAUGUUUAUGGAUCACUUGGAUGGUUAUGGUAUGAUGAUGUUGGAGAUGCCACAUCAAAUAUGGGUACUAUUGUUGUAUCUUAAUCAAGGGAUUGCUUGAGUACAGGUGCUAAUCUAGAUGAUAGGUUAAUGAUUAUUAACUUGAGCUAAAUACCUGAAAGGAUUACUUAGUUGCAACUCAAGCUUUUUAUGCAAAAAGUGUUGUCAAGCUAGCUCCACCAAUAAAGCCUUGCAUACUCCUUGGUGUCAUAUUAUUUCUGGUUUAUGACGCGUAAGUCUAGCUGAGUACCUUCUCGUACUCAGGGUUUAUUCCCACUUGUUGCAGGUUGUGAUGUAUCAUGGCUACUGCAAGAGUUGGAUGACUCCUACCAUAUUAGAGGAGUAAGAUCAUGGGCAUGAUCCUUCUUAGUUACCUCAUCUAUGUUGCUUUUGUUGGAGUUGACCUAGAUACUGGCAUGUAUUUGAAAUAAGGGCAAUAUUAGUUUCAAAUUACUUUGCUUCUGCUACUUUUCAACUCAAGUUGUAAUAACUAUCUUGAACUCCGAUGUAUAUCAAACUACGUGUGAAAUGGAUCUAACAUGUGACUUGUUAUGUUGAAUCACUACGAUCUUGGCUUGUAUGAUGGUUGGUUUGAAAUCCCUCGUGAUUUCACGGACUACCGGGUUUAUGAGAGUUCGAUUCUGUUAAAGCAACUGCUUUGGCGGGAGUUUUUCAUAGUUGAUCUCUUGUAAAUUGGGCGGUUCUGUUACAGGUUUGACUAUACAAUAAAUGUAUUGUAAGUAUGUAUACUUUAUCUCCCACCUAUGAGCUCUAGAUAUUAAAGCCUUAUUAGAGUAGGGUGAGAGAGAAGGCAAUGUCACUAUGCCUUAUACCACAAAUACCACAUAUCUUGAGAGAAGGCAUAUACCAUCACUGCCUUGGUAAGGAUCCAGAAAUACCACAAAAGAGAGAUUUAGAAAGUCAUACAAGGAACCUCUGAGUUUUAUUUGAAAAUCUGCAAAAAACUCCAGAACUAUAGCUGAUCAAGAAUAAGAGACAUGACACUUGGCUAGACUGUUCUAUCUUUUAACUACUCAAGACAGAAGUGACGGUUACAAGUCCCAUGGUGAAAGGUAAAGUAAGUAAGUUUUAGUUCUUGACAGUUUACUCUAACUCAGAGAUGAGAUCUUAUUUAAAAGCAUGUGUACCGUCAAAUUUUUAAAGAUAUUGCAACAACUUCUGAUCCAUCGCUGAGUCUAUCCUUGCUCAGGGACGAGCAAGAGGUAAGCUUGGGGGAGUUUGUUGACGGUCCUUAAGUAUCAAAUUUAAUUAUUAAAUAAACAAAGAAAAGGAUCCAAAUGAAAUCAACAUCUAGACUUAGGGUUUUAUCUGACAGAAUUCCAUGAGUUUUGGUGUUUGUCUAUUUCUACAGGGGGUUAUCAGGAAAUACAGAAGAAAGGCCCACACGUCAGGAUUACAUAGAGAUAUUAACGUGCCGCGCAAUUAUCUUACAUCUAGAAGACUCCAGAAGCCACGGGAAGGAAGCGGAGGCCGAACGGGGCCAGAGGCAGGGCGCCCGCCCUCCUGCCCUGGGCGCCCGCCCUGACUUGGAGCCCAAUCAGGACUCUUUCUCUCGAGAGAUCUCCACCGACCUAAAGGAUAAAGAAUAACCAUUCAAUCAAUGUCGGUUUGAUCCGACGGCCCAGGUUCACUUGAGGGGACUAUAUAACCGGACCACCUGGCCCCUGGAGGAGGCACCCCUUGAUCAUUAUUCAUUAUUCAUAGACAGAGCAAAAGCUAGGGUUUAGAGAUGAGAGCUCUCCUCUCUUCUCUAAACUAGAGUAGAUCUAGAUAGUAGCAAGAUGGAGAGCGAAGGAGGAUUAGAGGAGAGGCCGGCCAGUCGGUUCUUCCUCCGGUUGUACUUCGUCAUGAUCAAGCUCUAAUCAAGCUUGCUCAUGGGAUGACUCUGUAAUCUACUUCUAAUUCAUUAUGCAAUUACUAAUUAUGUAUGUUCNNNNNNNNNNNNNNNNNNNNNNNNNNNNNNNNNNNNNNNNNNNNNNNNNNNNNNNNNNNNNNNNNNNNNNNNNNNNNNNNNNNNNNNNNNNNNNNNNNNNUGCUUAGACCUAGAUACUUGUGGAUAUCCCCUGUCUAGCUGGAUCGUGUGGUAGGCCGCGUAGGUGACAGUUACGUUGGUCCUCUGUAGUCCACCUCUCGUUAGCAGGAUGGGUAGGGUUUAUUGGCCUAAGGAUAAGCAUCCUUUGUGGUGUACUCUUAUCACGUGGUUCGUCCCAGACAUAGACAUACCCCUUUGAAGUAGAGAAACCAUAGUUAUCCUCUCUAUUCUGCUACCAUCGCCCAUAUACUAGAAUUGCUCUAUUCUCUUUUCCCAUAUUAUCACUCACUGUUAUCUCACCUUUAAUAUUAUUCUUAUUCAAUUCUACCAUCUUUCCUAUUUACACUUAUCUAUUUAUCUUGGUUAAGUUAGAGCGUAGUUGGUUCUCCCGUUUCUCUGUGGAUACGAUAAAACCUUUAACCGGGUAAAAGCUUCAACGGUAUCCGUGCGCUUGCGGAUUAUCUGUGUGCAUAUAAAUACCAUAGUACACUCUAGUGCCAUGCUGGGGAUGACAACCUAGUAUCAAGUGGUGUUAGCAAGUGUCAACAGACGUACAGCGUAUCGGUCCUUAAACGACACAGACGGGGAUAGAUUCACACCCAAGACCUCCAUGCCUUGUUGCUUCACAUCGUCAUCCCGCCCGGUCUCAAAUUCAUUAUUAGCACAUGGUUAUUUCCACGAUAGCAAAUAUAGCCAACCGUGAUCAUAUAGUGGACAAGGUAGGAAUAUAUGCACCAACGGUUUCAUUCAACUCCUAUCACCUAAUGCAUCAUAUAAAGUUAACUCUUGUGCUGUUAUAAAAAGAGAGGGUAGGAGACUUAGAAUGCUCCGGGGCUUGCCUGGAAUUCGACACAAGUCAGUUAUGUCAGCUUGCAUCGUCUUGACGACAUCUAAGGUGCAACACUUGUUUAGUCCUUCCAUCAUGUCCUUCACGUGGUUCAUCUAGCGUACCUAAAUGAGAUGCAAGUGUAUGAACACGUAGAAGUGCAAUAGAUAAUGCAGCACAUGCAGCACAUAUAGUAAGCAAGAUAAGCAUCAUGUUACUCAACACAUACAUAUGUCGCUUAAAUAACAUAACCAACAUACUAAGAUAGAAAACAAUGCAAAACCAAUCAUAUCAAGCAUAGCACACAUGUUUCACAAGAUUUCAGGUGUCUUAACUUGGCCAUUAUCAAAGACAUGAGUCACACCUAGCAAUAUACCAAGCAAUGGCAAUAACAGGAAUCUGCCAUUUUCAGCACUAUUAACACCAGCUGAGAAAAUAAAUCAUAACUAGAGAUUCACAACUCCAAAAGACAUUCAAGAAGACAUUCUGGAAAGCUUACAAAAUUAUCUACAUUUGAUAUUUAGACAUAAAAGCAUGAUUCUCAACUUAAGCUGGUCGAAAUUAUAAAGUUCCAGAAUAUGUCCCUGACAAACAGAGAGCAGCCAUUUCUGGAAUCAAAUUUUGAACAGACAUAACUCACAAACUACAAGGCCAAAUACUACCGAAUUUUAACAUAAGCUAGAUAAAUAAAUUAUCUACAACUCUUCUAUAAACAAGAUUCCCAUAAAACAUCAGUUACCUAUUGUAAUCCAAACAGUUCCACAUACUGUCCAGAAACAACAAUUGCAAACAAUUAAUUAUUACCUUAUGUUUCAAACAUGCAUUUGAGCAAAACCAUUGUUACCAACAGUUUGCACAUAACUAAAGAACACCAGAAAACAUAGUGGUCAUUACCAAAUAAAUUUAUUUAAUGCCUUUCUUAAUUUAUUUGGAUAAUAUGGUGAAUUAAAGAACAUAUAACAAAAGUGUUCAAUAAAUUCCACCAAAAAUUACAGUAGCUUCUAAAUAAUAUCUAUAGUCUACUGUAUAAAUUUCACUGCAUUUGAAUAAAGAUAUCAACAUCUAUGAAAAAGACAAAUUGCUAUUGCAAUUAAUCAUGUGAGAGCAAGAUAAAUGCACAAAUCAUAUUUUCUUCAAACACAUGGCCAUAUCAUACAUAAACAUGAUACAACAAUAUCAUAGGAUUGUAUUGGAACAACAUUUUCCAUUUUUCCAUUUUUAUUUAUAAUUAUAAACCAUUUAUCAACAUGCAUAAAGACAUCUCUGUCCAAAACAUGGACAGAAUCUAUCAUGUCACAUUAAACAGCCAUAACUUGAGUUUCAUAUGCCCAUAAAUUAUGGUUAUGUGCUUUCUAGAAAGCAUACUAAAUUGUGAACAACUUUGUUAUAAACAUCUAGAGCUAGAUCUACCAAUAACAAGGUCUUACAUAACAAACAAUGCAUCCCUGUCUGGGUUUAUACAGAAACUGAAACAGUACUUUAAAUCACUAUAACUAAACAUAUGCUUGACCAAAAAUUAUGCUAUUUAGCAUGAUGGAAAAAUUAUGAAAAGUACUACAACUCAUAUAUUUUCAUCCAGGCAUGAUUCACAACCCAACUGAGCCAAACAAUAUAAACAUGUAGACCUACUCAGAAUAGGAGCAAAGCAACACAGAGCAUUUGUUAUUUUUAUAACUCUAAAUCUGUCAUGCCUAAAUUCAUGAAACUUUCACCAGCCUCAAAUAUUAUAUGUAAAGCAUGCCAUGAUAUUUUCACAUUUAUUUGAGCAAUAAUACAUUGGUUAUGAAAAAGACAAAUAUAACAAGUAAUUAAAACCGAACUGUACAGAUAUAUUUUUACCGUUAAAACUUCAAACAAAAACAUGGCAUAUUAUAGAUCUACUGCAUAAAGAAUUUCACAAGGAUUCCAAAAGGUCCACAUUUGCUAUUUUACGACUUUUCUAUGAAUUUCUAUACAUUUCCAAAAUUCACCCAUGAAAUCUGCAAAAACAAAAGAAAAGGAAAACAGAUCUUGCCCCGGGAACCUUGGAGUUUCCAGAAAUCACGCCAUAGCCCACAAAUACUAUUCAUAUUCAUAUGAGUCUUAACUUCGCAUCUGGAACCCUGAGUUGUUUCUUAUUCGAACCCGAAGUCCUUCUUCUUUCUCUGCUCGAACAGAGGACGGAGGAGAAUAGCUGGUUCCGGUCGGAGGGUGGCCACGUCGGUGGUGGAGAAGUGGUUGGGGAGGGCUAGGGGGCCCGUGCGCACCGUGUGGUGGCCAGGGCUCGCCUCGUGACGGUCUAAGGAGGCGAGGCCGCGUGAGCAGUUGUCGCCGGCGGCAAUGUCUCCUAGGGCAAGUCGCUCGUCGAGGGAGACGCCCGCAGAAGGAGUCGGCGAGGCAUGGGGCGACCAUGGAAAGGCAAUGGUGGUGCUGGCAUGGGUAGAGGAGGGCCAUAGGCAAGGAAGCAGCGAUGACGACAGCUGCUCUGCUCGUCAGCCAUGGCUGGUGACACACGGCAAGCAGAUUGUAGCGAGAGGGAGUGGGCGAGUACCGGGGCGACUGCGGAGUCCGCGAGAGGGCUCGGGCAUCCUCUCUGUAGGCGACAGGGGCGCAGGGCAGCUGUCCACGAAGGUGGAGUCGCGAGUGAUGCAUGGCGGCCACGUCCUGGCCACGCGUCGGCCAUUGAAGCAUUUCGACGAACAGGUGGCGGGCAACAGAGUGACCAGUGUGGGAGACAAAUUUGUGCCAUUUCCAUGCCGAAUUAGGAGAUGGGCCAAAUAUGAAGUUUGUUGUCCUCGUGCUGAUAUACAUUUUUCGUUUAAGUGUCAUGGUCAUUAGGAUUACAGAUUAAUAGAUAAUUUGAUGCCAACCUUUGAGUGUCAAUGAAUUGAUAAUGAUUAGCAAAACUCAAAAUUGAUGACCAAAACGAAGUCAAACUGGUGUCAUCUUUUGGAAUGCUCUUGUCCACAAUAUGUACUCCAUCUUAUAUUUUGGGACCCAAAUAAGUUGUUUAGUAAAAUUUGGAGAACGCGGAAUGCCAACGUGAUGAACUGCAAACCUAGACUUAGAAACUCUAAGUGCUGGAAAUUAUAGCAGAUUCAAUCUUGUGACUAUUAUUUGACAUGCUUAGAAGAUGAUUCAGACUUAGUAACUUUAACAAAGAUUGUAGUAUGCAAACUAUACAACAACUUUUUCAAAAGGACUUGUACUGGUUCGGUAUUAUUUGGAAGAUACAAGGCUCCCAACUAGGGUACCCGAAACUGAGCACCUCAGGACAGCCAAAAUUCUGGAGUUCAAAACAGCACUGCAUUGAAUCUUGUAAACUUAAUUUGACUAGGUUAGAGACAAAAAUAGCUCUUGAUCAUUAAACAAAGUUUGUUCUACAGAAUCUAAAAUACAACUUUCAUUUGAGGUUAAACCUCAGAACUACUACAAAAGUCAAACUUUCACUUUGGUCAAUGCAGCAACUUGAUAAAGCUCAAACUAAGGUUUUAGGCUAAUUGAAGCAUUUUUUGGGCACAAGCUCAACAUGAACCCUUCAUGACUUUUGUUGUAGAGUUCAUCUAGAGUCAUUUGGGCAAGGUUGCAAUGAAUGGUUGAUGACCUAUGGUUUUAUUCACUUAAUGAGGUCAUUCCAACAAGCAUGUAACUUAACAUUUCAUGUGACCUUUUGAUUCCAAACUCCAUGAAACUUUUUGAGUGCUCACUAUAGGCAGUGAUGGAUGUAAGAUACAUGAAAGAGGUUCCAUUAAUGUCACCCAAGCAUACACUUCGAAAAGGUACUAUAUGUAAGCAAGGGUGUGUUCCCAAGUUUAACUUGAGGCUCACUUCAUGGAUUGACUUUAACAUGAUCAUCACCACUUAUCAAGACAUGUUUAAGCUCAAAACCUAAGGUUUAACUCGUGGCAAACACCUGGGGUGUUACAACCCUCCCCCCUUAAAAGAAUCUCAUCCCGAGAUUCAGGACAAAGGAGUUCUAAGGGUGGAGAAGUAUGCUAUUCACUUCUAACAUUGGCGAUAGCAGUCAACUACUUAUCCCUGAGCAUCAGAGAGGCUAAUUUGGUCAGGACACUUUCUGGUACUGGUUCUUCAUAGUGAAUCUUUGUCUAAAGAAUUUCCUUUAUUGACUUCCAUGAAGUAUUGUUACUUUGCGGAGGAAUUUAAGACAACACUAUCACAUGUACUUCAUUCCCAAUGUAUGAUGGAUGGUUCGGAGCACAGUAAACUACUCACUACAAUGUUUCCAUCUAUGUUCACAAGGCUCAAAAAGUUGUGCUCUACCAGAAUGGCUUGAGUACAACCUUCCGUAGGAGAUGAGAUCAUGAACUAGAUAAACAUCCUCGUGGUUAUGAGAAACCAACUAACCACAAACAAUGUCUAUUCUAGUCAUAAGGUCUCGUCAUUUAGAUGCCAAUCAAUGGAAAGCUACCUAAGGUUCCAUGUGUCCAGUUCUCUUUUACUGAUAUCAACACUUUAUUUUCCAAGUCUAUCGAGUUAGUGUUGACCAUUCAAUGAAUUUUAAUGGCUCCAAGUGUUAACAGUUACCUAGGUCGUAUCAAAUACAACCUCUUGGGUAAAAGGACAUAGAAGAUACCCAAGGCGUGUUAGUACUAGAUAGGCAUUGUUAAAGAUGGGCGAUAGCAAGGUCUAGAGGACAACAACAGUUGCAAGUAUUCACCGAACUAGGGAAACAAGCUACUACCAAGCAGUCAACUAUGGAAUUUCCAUCACUAAGUAGUUGCUUACUAAGCUCGGUCGGUUUGCACAGUAGCAAAAUAGCUUGGUGAAACUACUUUUGACAUUAAGGAUUCCUUUUUAGGAUCAAACAAUAGCUCUAAGAUUAUAAAUCUAAGAUUUGUUGUUUAACACCUUUCCAAUUAUUUUUGACUUGUAGAACGCCUAGAUUGCUCAACUAUAGGUUGAGGUGAUAGGGUAACAACUAGGUACCAAAGGUUGAAAGGAGUCUUUUCUAGGUCAUCCUAAGGUUCAUCUUGGUUCAGUUCACACCGCGCAAACUAGCUUCAUUAUGCAUGAAUUGUUAGUGUGUAUAGAGAUCCAAGAGUCUUAUGAUCAUUAACCAAAAUUCAGCUCAAGCAAACACCAUAUGGCUAACCAAACAAAACAAAACCUUUGAUAGCACCACACAUAUAAUGAUGCUAACCGAGACUAGGGAUGUGCUUUUCUCUAGCUUGUGACUUAGAUAUAGCAUUUGGUACCAUCUAUGUGAUUGUCCAUGAUUGAAUUGACUUGACAACUCAAGGCCUAGAAAAGGAAAUAGUAUUUGCAUCGUUGAUCCACUUAUUGUUUUCUUUGCAUGACACUAUUUUAUGAGACGUAGCCUUUAGGGACAUCAUGGUGUCAUUUCCAAGGUAGUGAUUAAACUUCUAACUAAUAACUAAUCAGUUGUCUCUAAACACUAAAAAGUUCCAAAACUUUCUUCUUUGGUGGCAACAAUUGUAGUUGAUACAUUUGUAGGCAGUCAAGAUCAAAGUCAGCCAAAAAGAGAUCACAAUAGAGAUGGUUGAUUAGGACUGUGUGAUUUCCAUGAUCAAGAUUUGGAUCAAUUCUUGUCUAAUUGGUAACUUGUCCAACUUUAAGUGUUGUGUGCCCUUUGGAUUCAACAGUGGAUGACACAAGUUACUCACUAAACAACUGAUAUUGUUACAUGGGUAACAAAUAGAGUCUCUUGUCCACCACCCCUUGCAGUCUGUUAAGAUUUAUGUCGGUAACCUAUUCUUCAAAUGUUAUCUUCUUAGCAACUUCAGAAGGUGGUCCUAUUACAUAAGUCUAAUAUAGAUCCUUUGAUUGAAGAUAAGGAAAGAUAACCAAGGACAAGCUCAUGAGAAGAUAACACAGUGUAGUUUUAUAAUAGAUCAUAACUAGCAACCACGAUACCAGUGCGUGCCGAGCAGCACAGUCCUGUGUGUGCACCCACAAGAGGCUCUCGGUUUCGUCACAGCACCAUUAGUCACUAAUCACGAUGCUAUUACCGAUCUUACAACCAACGUGAAAUCUCACAUGACAUAGGUAAGUCUUGCAUGUACAAGGAUCAUGUGCAAGACAAAAAUUAAGCAUGCAAAGAUGAUAGCAAGAUUUGGAGGUAACAACUAGAAGGUUAAAGGAUGAGAACACGACACAAGAAAUAAAUGGGUAUGCCUUAUGCCCAUCAAGGUCAUUACCUAACAAUUAAUUUAUGAGAUGCGGUCAUGUUGGGUAGGAAUAUGAGAUCAAAGUUGAUAAGCAUCCAAGACUUGGGGAGGCUGGAGAUGACUAAAGCAAACUGCAAAGGUAGAACCACUUCACCGAUCAGAGAUUUAGAUGAUAGGGAGUUACAUGGUUUGUAAAGCAAAAGUUUCCAAGAUUAGGCAGCAAAAGAUUUAGAGACCAGGCAAUAAGAGAUUGCAUUACACAAGUUAAGCUUUGGGAGAUGCAAUCAGGAGGUCCAACAUGGAUUUGGUAUGGUCUCCGUAACUAGCAAAGAACAACUAUAGUCAAAAGCUUUCUGUAGCGAGAACUUAUUCUAGCUAGUUGGCUAGGCAAGGAUAUUUGCAAACUGGUGUAGGACAACUAUGGUAUAUGCAAGCCUUUGAUGGUCUGGACAUUGGUUUACGUAUCAAGCAUAGGCAUGGAUGCUCCAACAUUCAAAAACUAGUAGUCAAGUCUAUAAGCUCGGCUUCUAAGAAAGGAACCUAAUCUGAUACAACCAGCACACAAUCAACCUAACUUGAGUGCCAUUCUAAGAUAAAGCUAUUUAACACUUGUGCUUGUCGAGGACAAAACAAGAAACAACCAAGGCACGAUCUAGAUAACCAACAUCCACACAACAUAACAGUUUUAAGCAAGUACUUGAGAAAGCUCAAACAAUCACGCUUAAACAACCAUUACUAAGCACAAGGCUUACACAUAACAAGCAUCUAUCUACAGCAAUACAACACAUUUGUCGCACAUACAAGGAUUAUGGUACAAGGUUUGCUACAAAGCAAGUGGACACGGUUCAGUCUUUUAGGGAGAAUAUGACUUUGAGAUAGGUAGUAAAAAGGGCUCCAAAAGAUUUUUGGCAUGGCUGCACUAUCAUGCAAAUGGACAUACCACAAGCAAGAGUCUAGCAUUUAGGAAAACUCAGCGGGAAAAGGUUAUCAAACCUAUGGAGUUAAUUAAAAACUUAACAAGGUUGAAAAAGAAUAUCAGUUAGCUCUGUCUAAACUAGGGUAGAGAACUUGACAUAAACUUUAGAAAAUGGUAACUAAAGUUUCAUUGAUCCAACGAACAUGAUCCUUAAUGUUAUGGAAAACUUAUCAAGUCAUCUAUAAUUUUUUUUUAUCAUUUUAAGGUGCUUCUACAGCUAACAAGCACAAACAAUACAAAGAAGGCAUAUCUAUUCAGAUUUUUGACAGAUUCUGUCAUUCUACUUCACAAGCUCAUAACAUAAGAUUUAUACCACCAAAAGUAGUGAUCUAAGACAUUUUGGAAACCUUAACAAAAGUACUACACUCCUUCUAUUAACUCUACGUCAUGAUUCUGUACGCGCACUAGUCAAACAAACGAAACAUUCAGAUCUGUUCAGAACACAAUCAGGAUCUGACAACAAACUUCAAAAGUUCAUAACUCCUAAACCCUCAGGCCUAUGGUCAUGAAGUUUUAGGAUAGACUAGAUAUAGUGGUUGGCUACAACUUUGGUAUUCACCAUACUUACAGAAAACACAACUAUUGUCGUGAAAACACCACUAGAAUACAAACUGCUCUAGCAGCCAAAAUUCAACACACAUAUCAAGCAAUGUUUUCCCUUGUUCUAUUAACAAGAGAGCACACACAUGUAUAACUCCAGUAGCUACAAACAUUAUUAUCUAGACAAACAAUAAUUUAGUUUGGUGACAAGGAGGGAUUAACAUAAGAAUCAUAAUUGCUUAAGUGAGGUUAAAGCAUUUGCAAACACUUGCAUGAGCAACAUAUUCACCACUUGGCUAAACAAACGGACACCUACAAGUUCAAGCAUAUAGCCUCAACUAUUUCUAUUAUAGGUAGGCCAAAUUUUUACUUAGUUAAUAAAAAUUAGAGGCAUCACAUAAAAUAUCAACAUACAUGUUCACCGACAAGCUUUAGUUUUCAAAGGAUUGUAGUUUCUACUGCUACUAACUUAGCAUUCCUAUAGAAGCAACAUUCAAGGCUAGACACAUCACACACUACUUUCAAGCAAAACUAUUCAAGUAGCAUGGACUAAGACAAAUUUUUAUAUAGCUUCACACAAGGAAAGGAGUAACAUCAUAUCACUCACAAGUUACUUAUCGUUAGAACAAGAAUGAGAGAAGAAUAAUUAUGCAUAAGGCAACAAUCAUGAUGAUGCAUGCUUCGUCUUAUUCGUCCUCACAAAAUUGCCAGCCUAAGGUGGCAAUCACGUUCUAUGUCGGUGGCAUAACACGUACUGUCUCGACAUAUAGCUAGUCGUCAACUACGUUCAAUCUAUGCAUUCGUGGUUAUGUACCUGCAGAACAAUUUCAUUUCAGCCCAACCCAACAAUAAUAUAUGUGCAUAAAUGAAAGUCUGGUCUCUAGGUUGAAAGCUAAAUACUCCAAUAUAUAUUCCCGAAUAUAUAUUGCAGCAUACUACCCAUGUGAAGCACGCCCAUGUAUACACAGUCAUACCAACUAACCCACAAUUAAGUACCUUCAAAUAGACAUGUGUGUAACAUGUAAAUGUUCCAGUAACCACAUCUAACUCUCCCCUAGACCGACGGUUGGACGGUCAUGCUCUCACAACUCACAUUCUUACCUUGAGCGUCGAGACAUAUAGAUCCAUACAUUACCACUCAAGCAAGUGGCAUCCAUACAAUUUCACGCUGUAUGGACAACGAAAGGAAAAUUAUUGCUUACUGUGGCAUAGAGGUAUAUGAUCCAUUCAUUACCACUUAAGUAAGUGGCAUCCAUACUAUUGCACGCCGUAUGAACGACGAAAGUAAAAGUUACAAUAAAGUAAACCGCCGAUAGUUUGUAUCAGUUUACAUAAAGCCACCUAGUAGUCCUUAAUUGGGCAUAAUUGGAGGUCGUCGCUAGCAUAGUUUCUGUAAAUUAGUUUUGACAAGUUUUGCCUGUAGCUAAUGUUUUAGUCCAAAUAGGAUUUUUAAAACCAAAACUUUGUUUUUAAAACAGUGUAUCUGAUAGUAUUAUACUUAAUCUUGCUCCGAUACCAGCUGUGACAGAACCGCCCAAUUUAUACAAGUUUAAGUACGACUGUCCCCGUUUAACACGUUGACACGCGCAUACUCUCACUUAUAUAAACCUGGUAGUCUGCCGAGUGUCACGAAGGACCUCGGUAAAUCAACUUUACACCAAGAUCGCAUGAUUAAGCAAAUACACAUCACAUACACGGAGAUUUGCAGCGGAAAUAAUAUUACAAAAGAGUUCACAAAUAAUAGUACAUGUUUGGAUUUUUUUCCAAAUUGAUUAGAAAACAACAUAGCUUUUAAAUGAUUACAAUAACAUAAGUUCCAAAUGCACUGCUAGCAUAAGUGACAUCCUCCGACAAAAGCAUGUAGAUGAGAACACUAUAUAGAAUCACCAAGCCCACCGGCGGUUAGCCACCAUCCUUAGCAGACUGAAAACUUCACCCGCAACAGGGUGUGAUAAACCCUGAGUACUCGAACGUACUCAGCUAGACUUACCCGACAGGAGAGAAAAUAAAAGACUCUCAAGGAUAUGCAAGGCUUUUUGGUGGAGUUGGUUGGAUAGCAUAACUUUGCCAAAAAGAGCAUUACUAUCAUGAGUCCUUAAUUUCAACCUUUUAGUCAAUAUUUUAGCAUCAAGUUCAAUUAAGCUACCAUAGCUAGAUUUUGCACCUAUUCUAUAGCAAUCACUUGAUUAAUGAGCAUCGCAUUAAUAACCAUAUCCGGUUUAUCAUGUAGCCAUCAUCAUCAGCAUCAUAACCAUUAAGUUUCAUUUAGUUUAUCUACGUUGCCGCUGCCCGAGUCAAGUUCUCACUAUCCGGGAGAGACGGCGAUUCGAAUCGAUUCCUAUCCAGCAGGAGGGGUAUUCCUAGCACUCACCCAGGCAUACUUAGCUAGAGUAGCUUGGAUCACCUUUAGCACAACUCCGGACCAAUUCGUGGGUCCGUACGGCGCCGCACCCCCAUGGACCGCCAAUCUGCCAGGGUCAGGACUCUAACCUGACUCCUCGGUCUUACGCCAUUGACUCCCCGCACAUCCUUGCUACCAACCGGGGUGCGCACUUUAACCGAACGGGGUAUCCAGCCGGAGAUGCACUCGUAGGCUUCGCGGUCGGAGUGACUUAUCCGACCAACUAAGUGUUAGGCAUGCGUUCAACAUGACACGAGGACGUAUAGCGUAUCGGUCCUUAAACGACACAGACGGGGAUAGAUUCACACCCAAGACCUCCAUGCCUUGUUGCUUCACUAUCGUCAUCCUGCCCGGUCUCAAAUUCAUUAUUAGCACAUGGUUAUUUUCACGGUAGCAAAUAUAGCCAACCGUGAACAGGUAUCCACCUAUCUCUCGCAGGUGACAGGAAAUCACCUGGCUUCUACCGAGUUAAGCAUAGCAAAGCAUAGAACGUUUUCCUUAUACUAGUAAGGGUUCAGGUAGUUUCAUAUAGUGGACAAGGUAGGAAUAUAUGCACCAACAGUUUCAUUCAACUCCUAUCACCUAAUGCAUCAUAUAAAGUUAUACUCUUGUGCUUUUAUAAAAAGAGGGGGUAGGAGACUUAGAAUGCUCCGGGGCUUGCCUGGAAUUCGACACAAGACAGUUAUGUCAGCUUGCAUCGUCUUGACGACAUCUAAGGUGACAACACUUGUUUAGUCCUUCCAUCAUGUCUUUCACGUGGUUCAUCUAGCGUACCUAAAUGAGAUGCAAGAUGCAAGUGUAUGAACACGUAGAAGUGCAAUAGAUAAUGCAGCACAUGCAGCACAUAUAGUAAGCAAGAUAAGCAUCAUGUUACUCAACACAUACAUAUGUCGCUUAAAUAACAUAACCAACAUACUAAGAUAGAAAACAAUGAAAAACCAAGCAUAUCAAGAAUGGCACACAUGUUUCACAAGAUUUCAGGUGUCUUAACUUGGCCAUUAUCAAAGACAUGAGUCACACCUAGCAAUAUACCAAGCAAUGGCAAUAACAGGAAUCUGCCAUUUUUAGCACUGUUAACACCAGCUGAGAAAAUAAAUCAUAACUGGAGAUUCACAACUCCAAAAGACAUUCAAGAAGACAUUCUGGAAAGCUUACGAAAUUAUCUACAUUUGAUAUUUAGACCUAAAAGCAUGAUUCUCAACUUAAGCUGGUCGAAAUUAUAAUGUUCCAGAAUAUGUCCCUGAAAAAAAGAGAGCAGCCAUUUCUGGAAUCAAACUUUGAACAGACAUAACUCACAAACUACAAGGCCAAAUACUACCGAAUUUUAACAGCAGCUAGAUAAAUAAAUUAUCUAUAACUUUGCUAUAAACAAGAUUCCCAGAAAGCAUCAUUUACCUAUUGUAAUCCAAACAGUUUCACAAACUGUCCAGAAACAACAAUUGCAAACAAUUAAUUAUUAACUUAUGUUUCAAACAUGCAUUUGAGCAAAACCAUUGUUACCAAUAGUUUGCACAUAACUAAAGAACAACAGAAAACAUAGUGGUCAUUACUAAUUAAAUUUAUUUAAUGCCUUUCUUAAUUUAUUUGUAUAAUAAGGUGAAUUAAAGAACAUAUAACAAAAGUGCUCAAUAAAUUCCACCAAACAUUACAGUAGCUUCUAAAUACUAUCUAUAGUCCACUGUAUAAAUUUCACUGCAUUUGAAUAAAGAUAGCAACAUCUAUGAAAAAGACAAAUUGCUAUUACAAUUAAUCAUGUGAGAGCAAGAUAAAUGCACAAAUCAUAUUUUCUUCAAACACAUGGCCAUAUCAUACAUAAACAUGAUACAACAAUAUCAUAGGAUUGUAUUGGAACAACAUUUUCCAUUUUUCCAUUUUUAUUUGUAAUUAUAAACCAUUUAUCAAGAUCCAUAAAGACAUCUCUGUCCAAAACUUGGACAGAAUAUAUCAUGUCACAUUAAACAGCCAUAACUUGAGUUUCAUAUGCCCAUAAAUUAUGGUUAUGUGAUUUCUAGAAAGCAUACUAAAUUGUGAACAACUUUGUUAUUAACAUCUAGAGCUAAAUCUACCACUAACAAGGUCUUACAUUACAAACAAUGCAAUCCAGUCUGGGUUUAGACAGAAACUGAAACAGUACUUUAAACCACUAUAACUAAACAUAUGCUUGACCAAAAAUUAUGCUAUUUAGCUUGAUGGAAAACUUAUGAAAAGUACUACAACUCAUAUAUUUUCAUUCAGGCAUGAUUCACAACCCAACUGAGCCAAACAAUAUAAACAUGAAGACCUACUCAGAAUAGGAGCAAAGCAACACAGAGCAUUUGUUAUUUUUAUAACUCUAAAUCUGUCAUGCCUAAAUUCAUGAAACUUUCACCAGACCUCAAAUAUUAUAUGUAAAGCAUGCCAAAACAGUUUCACAUUUAUUGGAGCAAUAAUACAUUGGUUAUGAAAAAGACAAAUAUAACAAGCAAUUAAAACCGAACUGCACAGAUCUAUUUUUACCGUUAAAACUUAAAAACAAAACAUGGCAUAUUAUAGAUCUACUGCAUAGAGAAUUUGACAAGGAUUCCAAAAAGUCCACAUUUGCUAUUUUACGACUUUUAUACGAAUUUCUAUGCAUUUCCAAAAUUCACCCAUGAAAUCUGAAAAACAAAAGAAAAGGAAAACAGAUCUUGCACCGGGAACCCUGGACUUUCCAGAAAUCACGCCACAGCCCAUAAAUACUAUUCAUAUGAGUCUUGGCUUCGCAUCUGGAACCCUGAGUUAUUUCUUAUUCGAACCCGAGGUCCUUCUUCUUUCUCUGCUCGAACAGAUGGAGGAGAAUCGCCGGUUCCGAUCGGAGGGUGGCCACGGCGGUGGCGGAGAAGUGGUGGGGGAGGGCUAGGGGGCCGUGCCCACCCUGUGGUGGCCAGGGCUCGCCUCGUGACGGUCUAAGGAGGCAAGGCCGCGUGAGCAGUUGUCGCCGGCGGCAAUGUCUCCCACGGCAAGUCGCUCGUCGAGGGAGACGCCCGCAGAAGGAGUCGGCGAGGCACGGGGCGACCAUGGAAAGGCAAUGGUGGUGCUGUAUAACACUCUAAAAUUUUUUAAUUUUGGGUUGUUAUUAUAAAACACUAAAUAAAAUGAAUGAUUUUUAGUAUAUGGAGAAAAAUUGCCGAUAAUAGUUUAGAUUUUCAUAUAUUGUUAUUAAAUAAAUGGUGCUUUUCAAAUAUUUUGGAAUUAAUUAGACGGGCUUUAGUUGAUGUGAUGCUUGCUUGUUGCUUGAGUUGUGUGUUUUUGAGUGUGCUAGGUUUUAAAAACAUGUUUAGACACCGUCCGAUCUUUCCCGAGAAUUUUCUAGACUUUUUCGGGUUUUUUCCCAUUUUUUUCUAGAACAAAAUCUAUUUUUUAUAUGCUCUAAAAUUCUUUUUCAUGGACACCAAAAACUUUAUUUUGAUUGAUCAACUCUCAAUAUAUCUUUAAAAGUUUUCCUUUAAUUUUUAGAAUUUUGGAAGUAUUUUUUAGGAAUUUAAAAUGAUUUCACCUUUUUCUAGAAUUAUUUUGGAACUGAAAAUGAUUUAUUUAAAAUCCCGAAAUUAAGAAAUUCUGAAACUUUUUCAAACCCUAGACCUAUAUAUAUGCCGGCGUAGCCCUCGACGCGCUGAUUCCAAAACUACAAUCGCUUUUCCAAGCCGCCACUCGUAGCCCUGCAGAUCCAUCGCCGAAGUUUUGGAUCUCGUUCCCGGCGAACUUUUCCGGCGAACGUUCGGCGAGUGUUUCCGGCCGCCUCCAUCAUCCUCUGCGAAAACCGCCGCCACCGCGAGGUUCAUGUCGAUCUUCUCUACACCGGCACGCCAUUCUUUUCGCGAAUCCGCUGCCCAUUGACUGUUUUCCUUGUCUUCUCUUUUAACUCCGGCGAACUCCACCAUAGCAGGUUUCUUGUUCGUGAUUUCUGGACAUGGACGCGUCCUUCACCUCGGGCCAUAGGGCCAAACCUGCGACGCUGCCCUAGGCCCACGGCCCCGCUGCCAACACCAGCGCCCCAAGCCCCUGCGUCGCGUGCCUACACCACAGCCAUGGCCGCCGCCACCUCCCUGGCCGAAUGGGUCACGGUCGUGGCCACCGUGGAGCCCCGUGCCUGGCCCCACGAGCAGGCCCACGUCGCGUCGAGUGCCAUGCCCCGCCGCCCAAUGCCCAAAGCCGGCGCCCCUCUGCUACCCUGCGCAAGCACAGCCACGGUUCAUCCAGAUGGUGCGUACGUGAUCCAGAUGACCAAAGGUAGAAGAAGGUGUUAAUUACGAUUUCGCCACUGAAUAAAAAUAGCAAUAGUUUAUUCGUUUUAAUUUCGUUUUGUUCCGUUUCAGUUGCGUUAGUUUCGUAACGUCACGUUCUACACAGUAGUGUUAACUUGUAUUAUGUCACAUGUUUUUUUUCUAUAUUUAGUUGAAUAUUAGAUUAAUUAAUGUAUGUACCUAAAUUUAUAAUUAAAAGCACUAAUUUUAUAUUGAAAGCACUAAUUUUAUAAUUAAAAGCACUAUAGAGUUAAAAUCAUGUUUUCUAUUGUUUUGUGAUCGUGGCAACGUAAAUGACUUGUUAGCAAUACUGUUUUCCAUAUCCCAUGUUUAUAAAUAUAAUUAGUUUAAUUAAUAUUUAUUGAGUGCCAUUUUUAAUUAUUAAAAAAAUAAUUUAGGUUUACACUUCGUUAUUUUUAUAAUCUAAUAUUAAUUUGAUUAAUGUUAACUUAAAUAUUUAUUAAUUAUAAUUCUUUUAGUUAGACAUAAAGUAUAUAAUUAAUUUGUUUCAUAUUUAAUUAAUGUCUUUUUGAUUAAAAGUAACUUAUGUUUAUAAUUUAGAUCUUUUAUAAAUAAAUAAAUGCUAACAUUAUUAAUAUGAAUUUAAAUGAUUCUUUAUUAAUUAUAACUUGUUUACUAUAAAUGGAAGCAUGUCAUGAUUCGAUUAGUUGCUCUCACUUGCUUUAUGCUUCCUAAAUCAUAAAUGUUUAAAUGACUUAAAUGAUAUAUAUACCUUUUAUUUAUAAAUAGAAUAUAACUAUAACUAUACUUUGUCUUUUAUAAUUAUAGUUUGUUUAAUUCCACUUUAUGAUAUUUCUCAAAAAAAAGUCUAUCACCUCUUUUCAUCAAAUGAAAUAGAUCAAGCGAAUAGUGGAUCUUCUUUGUUGCACUUCGAUCCUCGAAAGUCGUGUCCGAUUAACUAUAGCUCCGUUCUCAAUCAUUCUUGCGUUGUCUCGAUCGUAGCAACAAGCCGUGUCGUUUAGUGCGCUCUUUCUAAGCUUUUCUUUUGAUUGUCGUUUGUUCUUAGUCGUGAUUGCUGUUUGUCUGUUUGUGUUGCUUGGUUGCUACGAGUAGAAGAAGCGUGGUUCGUCAAUAGUGAAGACCAAGAGCUAAAGACCGACAGCCGAAGCAGAAGUUCGAGAUUAGAAGAAAGAAGCCAAAGAAUUCUGAGCAGAUAUACACUAGGAAUAAAGGCGAGUGCAGACACCGUUUGAUCAUUUUGAACCUACUCAUUAAUGUCAUUUACUUUAUAUGCAUGUGUCCAAUGAAUGCAAACCCUAAGGACAUGACUAGCUUUACUUACCAUUCCUUGUUCACCUGGGGUUAUGUAUAUCGGUAGUCUAGGCUAUACUAGGUUUGCUUAGCUGCUCUACUCAUCUUAUACACAUGCCUAAACAAGUAAUACUCUCUACUUAACUUGAUGCUUAAACUGUGCUGAACCUUUGGUCACUGCGGUGAUGGCGAUGUUGGAUGCUUACGAGCAUGGUGAUGAUGGUGGUGAAAGGGGGAGCGGGUACUGUUGGUGGUCCGGUUUGCCGGGCGUACCCGUCUCUGCUCUCCGUAAGGACUUAGUCAGGGAGCAGCCCCCUGGGACUUACAGUGCAGCUCCAAGCUAUAUGGCUCUGGCUUGACUAAUUAGCAGGACCUCCACUAGUAGGGUGUUACUUUCCGGGUAGACGUGAGGAAGUAACUUGUGUAAUGAAUAUUAAGUUGUCGGUUGAUCGGUACGCCAUGGCUAUGGGUAUCGACUGCCGAGCGCCCCGGCAAAAAACUUGCGAGUGGCAUCCUAUUAGUUGGACCCUGUGAAAGGUCUCGUAGUGAGACCCUGCCUGCUCACCUUGGUAGUGUUUUGGGGAGUCAUGACCCCGGGCAUAUAGGAAUCACGACUUGGAGUGAACGUGCACACCUUUGCAGAGUGUAAAACUGAUAUAUCAGCCGUGCUCACGGUCACGAGCGGCCCAGACCCUCAGUUGAUGAGCAAAUUGGAUUCACUGGAUACUAGGAGAUGGAACCUGGCGAGGUUGCUACCUCGUGUUUUUGGCGGAAUGGCUAUUCCGUGUUGGCAGGAUUGCUAUCCUGUGUUAAUAAUUGGGGUUAAUCCCUGGACUACUAUAAUUAUUAGGAUAGUCUUUUAAAAGAUGCUAAUUACUACUUACACUAAUUAAGGGUUGGGUUUAUGCUACUCAUAAUUAGUAGUAGGUUGUUCUAAUAAUAGUCAUAAUUAAAAGUGAUCAACUAAAAUGCUACCGCCGUCAACCCAAGUCAGCUUUACCUUUUUUAAGCCUUGCAUGUCAUUACUUUCCGUAUGUGCUUGUUGAGUUCGACAUGAACUCACCCUUGCUAUUCCCCCACACCCCCAGUGUGUAGUAAAGUGCUGCUCAGAAGAUGAACAAAGAUGCUAUGGAGUUUUCUAGAAGCUUAUCAGAAGUGCUUGGCGUACGGAGCCCCCAGUCAACCGUCCCUGAGAAAAAUGGAGCCUAAGAAGUUCUAGCUACUGUUUCUGCGUACUCUGAUGUUUGUAAGUGUUAAUAUAAAUAUAUUUCCACUAUAUAUAACAUUGUUUCUGAUAUUUCUAUUCUUUGUUGUAUGUGUGGACUUUCUGGACACACAUAUGACGACUCUGGUCUAAUUUUAAAAGCCAGGGUGUGACAUGCUGGCAUGGGUAGAGGAGGGCCAUAGGCAAGGAAGCAGCGAUGACGACGGCUGCUCUGCUCGUCGGCCAUGGCUGGUGACCACACGGCAAGCAGAUUGCAGCGAGAGGGAGUGGGCGAGUACCGGGGCGACUGCGGAGUCCGCGAGAGGGCUCGGGCAUCCUCUCUGUGGGCGACAGGGGUGCAGGGCAGCUGUCCACAAAGGUGGAGUCGCGAGUGAUGCAUGGCGGCCACGUCCUGGCCACGCGUCGGCCAUUGAAGCAUUUCGACGAACAGGUGGCGGGCAAUAGAGUGACCAGUGUGGGAGACAAAUUUGGGCCAUUUCCAUGCCGAAUUAGGAGAUGGGCCAAAUAUGAAGUUUGUUGUCCUCGUGCUACUCUACAUUUUUUGUUUAAUUGUCAUGGUCAUUAGGAUUACAGAUUAAUAGAUAAUUUGAUGCCAACCUUUGAGUGUCAAUGAAUUGAUAAUGAUUAGCAAAACUCAAAAUUGAUGACCAAAACGAAGUCAAACUGGUGUCAUCUUUUGGCAUGCUCUUGUCCACAAUAUGUACUCCAUCUUAUAUUUUGGGACCCAAACAAGUUGUUUAGUAAAAUUUGGAGAACGCGGAAUGCCAACGUGAUGAACUGCAAACCUAGACUUAGAAACUCUAAGUGCUGGGAAUUAUAGCAGAUUCAAUCUUGUGACUAUUAUUUGUCAUGCUUAGAAGAUGAUUCAGACUUAGUAACGUUAACAAAGAUUGUAGUAUGGAAACUAUACUACAACUUUUACCGAAGGACCUUGUACUGGUUCAGUCUUACUUGGAAGAUACAAGGCUCCCAACUAGGGUACCCGAAACUGAGCACCUCAGGACUUAGCCAAAAUUCUGGAGUUCCAAAACAGCACUGCAUUGAAUAUUGUAAACUUAAUUUGACUAGGUUAGAGACAAAAAUAGCUCUUGAUCAUUAAACAAAGUUUGUUCUACAGAAUCUAAACUACAACUUUCAUUUGAGGUCAAACAUCAGAACUAGUAUAAAAGUCAAACUUUCACUUUGGUCAAUGCAGCAACUUGAUAAAGCUCAAACUAAGGUUUUAGGCUAAUUGAAGCAUUUUCUGGGCACAAGCUCAACAUGAACCCUUCAUGACUUUUGUUGUAGAGAUCAUCUAGAGUCAUUUGGGCAAGGUUGCAAAGAAUGGUUGAUGACCUAUGGUUUUAUUCACUUAAUGAGGUCAUUCCAACAAGCAUGUAACUUAACAUUUCAUGUGACCUUUUGAUUCCAAACUCCAUGAAACUUUUUGAGUGCUCACUAUAGGCAGUGAUGGAUGUAGGAUACAUGAAAGAGGUUCCAUUAAUGUCACCCAAGCAUACACUUCGAAAAGGUACUAUAUGUAAGCAAGGGUGUGUUCCCCAAGUUUAACUUGAGGCUCACUUCAUGGAUUGACUUUAACAUGAUCAUCACCACUUAUCAUGACAUGUUUAAGCUCAAAACCUAAGGUUUAACUUGUGGAAAACACCUGGGGUGUUACAUAAAUGUAUAUAGCAAAAAAGACAAACUUUAUUAUUAUUGAUCAAAAAAGAUUUACAAGUAAAAUGUACUGAAACUUAGGGAUAGAAGCGUCGUAGUUUGUCUAUGUGCUAGGAGUUGGGCAGGCGUGUUCCAUCUGGGUAAGCCAGUCUAUAAGAUAUAUGGCGGGUAACUUCGGUGACCACAAAGGGUCCCUCCUAGGGUGUAGAUAACUUGUGCAUUCCCUCCUGGCUUGUUUUCCAUUUGAGUACCAAAUCACCGACCACGAAGGAGCGGUCUUUGACGUUCUUAUUGUGGUAUCGUCUAAUGGCCUCAAGAUACUUUGUUGUUCAAAGGCAGGAAGUCAGGCGUCUCUCUUCUGUGCAGUAGAUUUCGAGUUCUUUGGCGAGGUCUGCUGAAGACUGGUCAAAAUGUUCGACUCUUGGAGAUCCAAAGGCUACAUCUGAGGGGAGCACUGCCUCGGCCCCAUAAACCAUAAAAUAGGGGGAUACACCCAUGUUCCGACUAGGCUAUGUUCGAAGGCCCCAGACCACGGCCGAUAACUCUUUCAUCUAUUGCCCUGGUGCCCCGUCGUUCUCCGUAUACAGCCUUUUCUUUAGAGCAUCAAUAAUCAUUCCAUUUGCUCGCUCGACUUGACCGUUGGCUCGCGGAUGGGCUACCGACACGUACUUUAUGACUAUGCCUCUGUCAUCACAGAAGUCCCACAAUGUAGUUCUGGUGAACUGAGUGCCCAGGUCGGUGAUUAUGCUAUUGGGAACCCCGAAUCUAUGUAUGAAUUGAUUGAGGAAUUCCACAGCCUUCUCGGAAAUCGCUUUGACCAGUGGCAUGUACUCGGUCCACUUCGAGAACUUGUCGAUUAGCACGAACACAAAUUUGAAAUUACCGGGAGCCGGUUUGAAUGGCCCGAUCAUGUCAAGACCCCAACAGGCAAAUGGCCAAGAUGACGGAAUCGUCUGGAUCUCAUGAGCAGGUACAUGGAUCCGCUUGGCGAAGAACUGACAUCCUUUGCAAUGCCGGACCAGUUUUUGGGCAUCGGCGACUGCGGUUGGCCAGUAAAAGCCUACUCGGAAGGCCUUUCCAACCAGUGUUCUAGAGGCGGCGUGGUUGCCGCAGGAUCCAGCAUGUAUGUCAUCUAGUAACUUGAUGCCAUCAUCUUGGGAUAUGCAUUUCAACAAGAUUUCUCAGUUUGCGUUCUUACGCAUAAGUCUACCAUCGACCAGUAUAUAAUUUUUGGAGCACCGGAUAAGGCACUCAUUCUCCGUUUUGUCUUGAAAUCCGGAACCGUCUGACAGAUACUUGAUGAAAGGGGUGCACCAGUCAUGGCCGCUGGCUGUCGGAGUGGCGUCCCCUACGACUAGUGUCUCAUUGGGUGGCUUGUCGACCAGGUCCGUUCCGACGCUUGGCGUGUGAAUGUCCUGAACAAAAACACCUUGCAGAAUCUGGGCCCGGGAUAAUCCUAUCUUUGACAGCGCAUCUGCUGCUUGAUUCCUGUCCCGGACCACGUGGAUGUACUCUAUGCCAUAAAAAUUUGAUUCCCACCUUCGGAUUUCUUUGCAAUAGAGGUCCAUCUUCUCGUGAGUCAUGUCCCACUCCUUAUUUAGCUGGUUGAUGACCAGGGAAGAGUCGCCGUAGACGUAAAGGCGUUUGACUCCCAGUUCGACAGCCAAUCGGAUGCCGUGCAGGCAUGCUUUGUAUUCGGCGACAUUGUUGGAUGCUGGGAAGAGGAUCCUAAGGACGUAGCGAAGUUUGUCCUUGUUUGGUGAAAUAAAAAGUAUUCCGGCACCGGCUCCAUUGAUGUUUAAGGACCCGUCGAAGAACAUUGACCAGUGAUCGAAGACAUCUAGAGAGGGUGGCGCGUUGAGAUCUGUCCAUUCCGCGAUGAAGUCGACCAGGGCUUGAGACUUGACUGUUGUGUGACUUAGGAAAUCCAAAGAAAAUGGGCAUAAUUCCAUGGCCCACUUUACAAUUCUGUCAUUGGCGUCCUUGUUGCGCAAAAUGUCCCCCAACGGAAAACUGGUAGUAACUAAAACCCGAUGGCCAUCGAAAUAGUGCUUCAGCUUUCUUGAGAUGAUUGAAAUGGCGUAGAUUAGCUUUUGUAUUUGAGAAUACCUGGUCUUGGAUUCCUUUAGGACUUCGCUUAUGAAGUAUAUUGGCCUCUGGACUUUGUAGACGUGGCCUGGUUCGUCCCGCUCGACCACAAGCAACGUGGAAAUGACCUGAUCAGUUGCUGCUAUAUAGAGGAGCAGGUCCUCGUUAGGUUGAGGUGCGGUGAGGACGGGUGGUGAGGUGAGGAAAGUUUUGAGCUGGGUGAACACCGCGUUGGACUGUUAUGUCCAGGAGAAUUUUUCCGAUGCUUUCAGAAGUCUGAAGAAAGGAAGCCCUUUUUCCCCCAGCCUGGAGAUAAACCAGCUGAGAGCGGCCAUGCACCCUGUGAGCUUUUGAACGUCUUUGACGUUCCUGGGUGGUCGCAUAUCGAGCACCGCCUUGACUUUUGAGGGGUUUGGCCGUAUGUCGUCGCGACUGACGACAUAACCGAGUAGUAUACCAGAGGGAACCUCGAAGAUGCAUUUUUUGGGGUUAAGCUUCCACUUGUAUUUAUUCAGUGCUUUAAAAGUGUGGUCUAGGUUGUUGAUCAGGGUGCUUGUGUCCCUGGUUUUGACGACAACGUCCUCGACGUAAGCCUCGACGAGGUCAUCACGUAUCUCGUCGUGGAGGCAUUGCUGAAUAUCGCGUUGAUAAGUGGCUCCAGCGUUUUUGAGUCCGAAGGACAUGGUGCUGUAGCAAUAUGCACCGAAAUGAGUGAUGAAGAAAGUUUUGAUUUGGUCGUCUUCCUUUAGCGAGAUCUGGUGGUAACCAGAGUAACAGUGGAGAAAAGAGAGUAGUUCGCAUCCGGCCAUUGAAUCGACCACCUCGUCGAUACGAGGGAGACCAAAAGGAUCUUUAGGACUGUGUUUAUUGAGAUCAGUGUAAUCAACGCACAUUCUCCAUUCAUUAUUCUUUUUUCUUACAAGGACUGGAUUGGCGAGCCAAUCGGGGUGAUACACUUCUUUAAUAAAUCUGGCUACUAAAAGCCAUGUGAUCUGUCCUAGUAGUCUCCUUUUUGUCAUGAGCGAACCGUCGUAGCUUCUGCAUGAUAGAUCUUGUGGUCUUCGAGACGUUUAAGGAGUGCUCGAUCAGGCUUCGUGGGACGCCAGGCAUGUCUGCGGGUUUCCAUGCGAAAACGCUUACGUUGUCCCUUAGAAGCCUGACGAGCGCGUCUUCCUAUUUAGCUUCCAGGUUGGCCCCGAUGAGAGCCGUCUUCUUUGGGCUGCCGUCGACCAGUUGUACUUCAUUGUGCUCUUUGGACUUCGAGCUUUUUCUUGGAGUCUCCUGCUUGGAUAGUUGGAGCUGGUUGGGUUGAACUUGCAUGGCUUGUGCUACAGUUUCUGCCAUAAGAAUCAAGCGAUCAAUUGCCUCGGUGAUCUUGAAGCUUUCCUCUUCGCAAGUGUACGCGGUGUAGACGUUGCCUCUGACGGUUAAGACACCCUUCUCCGUUGGCAUCUUGAGGACUAGGUAUGAGUAGUGCGGAACUGCCAUGAAUUUUGUAAGCGAAGGAUGGCCUAGAAUUGUGUGGUAAAUCUCGUCGAAGUCAGCGACCACAAAGUUGACGAACUCUGUGCGGAAGUGGUCUGACGUUCCAAAUUGGACGGGCAGCGUUAUCUAGCCAAGGGGUACUGAACUUUGACCUGGUAAGAUGCCCCAGAACUGAGCAUCAUACGGUUUCAGCUGCGCUGGAGUUAGCUUGAGAGCAGGCAAGCUGUUGAGGAAAAGGAUAUCCAUGGAGCUACCCCCAUCAACAAGCACGCGCUCGAAGCUGACGCUAUUGAUGCACGGGUCCAAGAUCAACGGGAAGCGCCCUGGUUCCGGGAUGGCGGCGCAUUGGUCCUGCCUGUUGAAGGAAAUCUCUCGGUGCGAACAGGAAUGAAUUUAGGAUCAGCGAUCAGGCCAUCCGUGUUGUCCACAUUAAGGCAGGCCCUCUUCAAGAGCUUUCUUUCUCAUUUUGAUUCGAUGGAGAAUUUACCUCCAAAGAUGGAGUGUACCACGUCGGUGGGACUGACAUAUUGGUGCCGUGGGUCUCUAUCCUAGUCGUCGUCCUCGUCUGCCUGACCACGUCUGUCCUGUUUCCCAUUUUUCUUGGCGGUAUCCCCCUGAGCGGCUCGCUGUGUGUAGACGCUUUUGAGGACACGACAUUCUUCUAUCGUGUGGUUGGACAUGGGAUGGAGUUGGCAUGGUCCUUUCAGCAUCUUUUUAUAGUCUUCCUGGUAGUCUCGCCGUCCAUUGGGACGCUUGACUGUGUUCACCUCGUGAUCGUUGUCGCGAGGUCCCUUGCCUCUGAAAUCGUCGCGAUUGUCACGACGCCUGUCCCACCCUUCUCGGUGGUCGCGGUUGUCGCCGCGGCGGGGAUUCUGGUUGUCGAAACGCCCGCGGGUGUCGUCUCGUCGGGGAGGCUGCUCGGCUCCCCUUACAUCUUCGUAGAUGAGCUUUUCUACGUCGUCGGCAUCGGCGUAGUUUUGGCCAUGGCGAGGAGCUCAGCGACCGUGGUCGGCCUUGUGCGUAGAAGCUUGCUUCUUAAUGCUUUGUGGAAGUGAAGGCCCUUGAUGAAGGCCGAUAUAGCCUCGACGUGAGAAAUCUUCAGAAUCUUGAGGCGCAUAUCCGAGAAGCGUCGGAUGUAAUCGCGCAAGGGCUCAUUCUUCCUGUCCCUUAUCCUUUCAAGGUCGUAUUUGUUUCCAAGUUGCUCGCAGGUAGCAAUGAAAUUAUCAAUAAACGCCUGGCGCAAUUCUUCCUAAGAAUCGAAAGAGUCCUCGGGUAGACUGAGGAGCCAUUGGUGGCCGGCUUGGUCGAGGACGACUGGGAAGUAGUUUGCCAUGACGUGCUUGUCCCCUGCAGCUAAUCGGACUGCGAUCUCGCAAAGAGUGAUCCAAUUCUCGGUAUUCUCUUUGCCAUCUUACUUUUUAAGCUUCUCAAGCUUGAAGUUGCGAGGCCAUACGACUUAGCGAAGAUGUGAGGAGAACUGUCUUAGGCCGGGGGCCAUGUGCUGCAUCGUACUCGAUGCGUCACACAUUUUCAUGUACUGCUCGUUCCAUAAUGCGCCUAUUGAUGCUUUCGCAGACAUCCUUAGGAGGGAUGUUGUGUCGCAGGUCCCGGUCUUGGUUCACCUCCUGACCACGUCCGGGCCUUUGUUCGUGGUAACUGCUAGCGUCUCGACCACGAUUGUCGCGAUGGGUGUCCCUCCUUCGAUUAUUGAUAGGUGAACGGCUACGAUGGUGCCCACCGGAUCGCGGUGAGGUGCGGCUGUGAUGAGUCUGGUCGGAGGUGACCUUCGUGUAGGAGACGGCUUGGACCCUUUUGAGCAAAGUAGCAGUCUGUCACAUGGCUGCGAACAGAUACGCUCGUAUGUUGGUUCGAACGUCCUGAUAUUUUGGAGUGUCGGGAAGGCUGUCUAAGUUUGCCAUGGCGACAGCCACAUUAGCGCUUGGUGUCUUGUAGACCCGCUGAUUUCCGACCAUGUCGAAAGCAUUGCCAAGGUUGUUUGGGGCGAGUUGUUGCUCCUCGUCUGCUCGUCCUUGGGCUCGGUCGGCGUUGCGCUGCUCUCGCUGCUGUCUUUGCUCGUCGGUUUCGCCUUCGACAACUGGUUCAUCAUUGGUGACUUUGAGAACCAGGUCACCUAGUUGGGGUGGAUAGACUGGGAAGCAGGAAAACCCCGGGUGGUGUGGCGGCAGAUCUAAGUCAUUGUGGGGGUAUAAACCCCUAUACCCUUACGGCUAGACUUCGGCCAGGAGGCUUGGCCCAUUACGAGACGAGUCCAAGGCUUGAUCCGACAACCUGGAGUUUUGUGCAAGGAAACAAGAUGUGGAGAUCAAGCAGGAUUCUAGUCGGUUAGAAUAGGAAUUGAUAUCGGAUUAUCCAUGGCAAUUGUAACCGACUAGGAUUAGUUUCCAGAUCUGUAACCCUGCCCUCCAGACUAUAUAAGGAGGGGCAAGGGACCCCCUAGGACAGAUCAUAUUCUCUCAACACAAAUCAAUACAACCAGACGCAGGACAUAGGUAUUACGCUAACUCGGCGGCCGAACCUGGAUAAAAAGCUUGUCCGUGUCUUGCGUCACCAUCGAGUUCGUAGUUUGCGCACCGUCUACCGAUAAACUACUACCGUGGGUAUACCCCAAGGUAGACUGCCGACUAGCUUUCGUCGACAGUGGCGCGCCAGGUAGGGGGUGUGCGUGCAACUUUUCCGGCGAACAAGAUGGUCACGAUCCCAGCUUCCGCGACCGUGCCCGAAGGCCUCACGUUCACCGUCGGCCAGAUCACGUGGACGGUGUGCAGCGGCGGCUUCACGACCACGGUUUCGGAAGAGAUCCAGAUCCAAUCUGAGAUCACGCCGUCUCCGACCACACGCAUGACGGCACCAAGCGCCCGACCACCGUUCCCACUCUACAAGGGAAAGGAGAUCGACUGCUCGGACCUUCUCCAAGCGCUUGAUCGCGCUGACUCCAAGCUACUCGAAGUUUCCCAACUAAUAGAUGGAGUUCUGCGUCGACCCGACCAAGCUGCUCCAGCGGAUUUUUUCAAAUCCCGCCGGCCAACUCGUGUCGCCACACACGAACGGCUGGGAACGUCUCUGACGAUAACCUCAACCCCCUCAGGACGAUCCGUCCAGCUCAAGAAGGAAGACUAUCCUUGCGGCCUGAACAACUCGGCCUCUGUUUACUCACGGCACACCCAAUCCGUUUUCAGCAAGGCGGGUUGGUCGCCGACAACGAACAAUCGUCACCACGUCAACAUGGUGACAAUCCGAGAACUACGGGACGGCCAGGCUUCCAGCACCAACUCAAGCACCGGCUCCGUCCCCACCGAGGUUAUAAACACCGAAGACGAGGACUAUGACCUGGAUUUCCCUUCACACCCUCCGGGUUUCGACCGAUUCCCGAUAUUCCCCCCCCCGGCGAGGGGAUAUUGUGUUCAAUGUCAGUGCCGACGAACCGGUCGUUGAUGGAGAAACAGAUGACCAGAGGCAACUCCGCGAACGGCGUAACGCCGAUCGCGCCCGACGACGUGCGGACGAGCAACAACAAAUGCCACCAAAUAAUCUCAACGAUGCCUUUGACAUGGUCGGGGACCAGCCAGUCUACAAAACGCCAAGCGCCAACGUGGCUGUCGCCAUGGCUAACCUGGAUCGGCUUCCCGACACCCCCGAAUGCCAGGGAGUCCGGACCAGCAUCCGAGCACACCUGAUCGCCGCAAUGGGACAGACAGCCACUCUGCUCAAGAGAGUCCAGGACGUCUCUUAUACGGAAGCCGUCUCCGACCAGACUAAUCAUAGCCGGGCCUCACCCAGCAGGCGUCACCGCAGCCGCUCCCCCGACAACCGUCGAGGGGACUCACGGCGCGACGAUGGCGGUCGGGACGCCGAUGGCCGUCGCAAGCAGAACCGCGUACGCGGCCAAGAGGAAGAUCAACACAGGGAUCUCCACCACAACAUCCCUUCCAAAGAUGCCCGGGACCACAUCAACAGGCGCGCCGCAGAGAGAGCAGCCCACGAAAACCUGCGCCGCAUCGAGUACGAUGCAACACACGGUCCCCCGGGCCUAAGACAGUUCUCCUCGCACCUCCGCCAGGUCGUGUGGCCCCGCAAUUUCAAGCUCGAAAAACUUAAAAAGUACGACGGCAAGGAAAAUCCAGAGAACUGGAUCACCCUCUAUGAGAUCGCCGUCCGAUCAGCGGCAGGGGACGAGCACGUCAUGGCUAACUACUUCCCCGUAGUCCUCGACCAGGCUGGUCAUCAGUGGCUUCUCGGCUUGCCCGAGGACUCCUUCGACUCUUGGGAAGAGCUACGCCAGGCUUUCAUCGACAACUUCAUCGCCACAUGCGAGCAGCCUGGAAACAAGUAUGACCUUGAAAGGAUAAGGGACAGGAAGAACGAACCUCUGCGCGAUUACAUCCGACGAUUCUCGGAUAUGCGCCUCAAAAUCCCGAAGAUUUCUCAUGAUGAGGCCAUCUCAGCCUUCAUCAAGGGCCUGCGUUUCCACGAAGCGCUAAGGAACAAGCUGUUGCGUAAGCGCCCAACAACGGUAGCAGAGCUCCUCGCCACGGCCAAAAAUUACGCCGAUGCCGAUGACGCAGAAAAACUAAUCCGAGACGAUGCGAGAGGUCCCGACCAGCCUCCCCGGCGAGAUGACGGUCGUGGUCGCUACGACAGCAGAAAUCACCGCCGCUCCGACAACCGCGAUCACCGAGAGGGUCGGGAUCGGCGGCGCGACAGCCGCGACGACUUCAGAGCAAAGCGCCCUCGCGACUACGACCACGAAGUAAAUACGGUCAAACGUCCCAAUGGACGACGGGACUACCAAGAAGACUACAACAAAACGUUGAGGGGACCAUGCCAACUGCACCCAAAGUCCAAUCAUACCAUGGAAGAGUGCCGCGUCCUCAAAAGUAUCUAUACACGGCGGGCCGCCCAAGACGACUCCGCCAAGAAAAAUAACAAGCGCGACGGGCACGACCACGAAGAUGAGGAUGAGGACCAGGAUAGGGACCCCCGACACCAAUACGUUAGCCCCACUGACGUGGUUCACUCCAUUUUCGGGGGCAAGGUCUCCACUGAGUCCAAGUGAGAAAGAAAGCUGUUAAAGAGAGCCUGCCUCAACAUAGACAGCACGGACGGGCUGACCGCAGACCCGAAAUUUCCCACGUGGUCCCACAGGGAGAUCUCGUUCAGCAGGAAGGACCAGUGGGCCGCUAUCCCAGAACCGGGUCGUUUCCCCCUGAUUCUUGACCCCUGCAUCAACAGCAUCAGAUUCGAGCGCGUGCUCGUGGACGGGGGAAGCUCCAUCGACAUCCUCUUCCGCAACAGCCUGCCCGCCCUCAAGAUAUCCCUGGCACAACUAAAACCUUACGACGCCCAAUUCUGGGGGGUUUUGCCAGGUCAAAGUUCCGUGCCUCUCGGACAGAUAACAUUGCCUGUCCAAUUCGGCACACCCGACCACUUCCGGAUGGAGUUCAUCAACUUCGUAGUCGCGGAUUUCGACGGGACCUAUCAUGCCAUACUGGGCCGCCCAUCGCUGACAAAGUUCAUGGCAGUCCCGCACUACUCAUACCUAGUCCUUAAGAUGCCCACGGAGAAGGGUGUCCUAACCGUCAGAGGCAACGUCUACACUGCGUACACCUGCGAAGAAGAAAGCUUCAAGAUCACCGAGGCAAUUGACCUCUCAAUCCGCAUGGCGGAAACAGCAAACCAAGCCGCACAGCUGCCUCCCGACGAGCUCCGAUUACCCGAACAGGCGACAGCCAGGAAGAACUCAAAAUCCAAGGAGUACAAAGAAGUGCAGCUAGUCGAAGGCAACCCCGAGAAGACAGCCCUCAUCGGGGCCAACCUGGAUUCAAAAUAGGAAGACGCGCUCGUCAGGUUUCUAAGGGACAACGUGAGCGUUUUCGCAUGGAAACCCGCAGACAUGCCCGGUGUCCCACGAAACCUGAUCGAGCACUCCUUAAACGUCUCGAAGACCGCAAGACCAAUCAAGCAAAAACUGCGACGGUUCGCUCGUGACAAAAAGGAGGCUAUCAGGACAGAAAUAACAUGGCUUCUAGCAGCCGGAUUCAUAAAAGAAGUGUAUCACCCCGAUUGCCUCGCCAAUCCGGUUCUUGUACGCAAAAAGAAUAAUGAAUGGAGAAUGUGCGUUGAUUACACUGAUCUCAACAAACACUGUCCUAAAGAUCCUUUUGGUCUCCCUCGCAUCGACGAGGUGGUCGACUCAACGGCCGGAUGCGAACUCCUCUCCUUUCUAGACUGCUACUCUGGUUAUCACCAGAUCUCGCUAAAGGAAGAAGAUCAGAUCAAAACAUCCUUUAUCACGCCCUUCGGCGCAUACUGCUACACGACCAUGUCUUUCGGACUCAAAAACGCCGGAGCCACCUAUCAAAGGGCCAUCCAGCAAUGCCUCCACGACGAGAUUCGUGAUGACCUCGUCGAGGCCUAUGUGGACGACGUGGUCGUAAAAACAAGGGACGCGAGCACCCUAAUCGACAACUUAGACCGAACUUUUAAAGCGCUCAAUAGGUACAAGUGGAAGCUCAACCCCAAGAAGUGCAUUUUCGGCGUUCCUUCCGGUCUCCUGCUCGGCAACGUCGUCAGUCGCGACGGCAUACGACCAAACCCUUCAAAAGUCAAAGCCGUACUCGACAUGCGACCACCGAAGAACGUAAAGGAUAUCCAAAAGCUAACCGGAUGUAUGGCCGCCCUCAGUCGCUUCAUCUCAAGGCUAGGAGAAAAAGGCCUCCCUUUCUUCAAACUAUUAAAAGCGUCGGAAAAAUUUUCUUGGACAGAAGAAGCCGACACCGCAUUCAACCAGCUUAAGACCUUCCUCACUUCACCACCUGUCCUCACAGCGCCUCAGCCCAAUGAAGACCUACUCCUUUACAUUGCUGCAACCGACAGGGUUGUUUCCACGGCAAUAGUGGUCGAGCGAGGUGAACCAGGUCACGCCUACAAGGUCCAGAGGCCAGUUUACUUCACAAGUGAAGUCUUAAACGAGUCCAAGGCCAGGUAUCCACAAAUACAGAAGCUCAUAUACGCCAUUCUAAUAACGUCAAGAAAGCUGAAGCACUACUUCGACGGCCAUCGAGUCCUGGUGACAACCAGUUUCCCUCUCGGGGACAUCCUGCGCAAUAAAGACGCCAACGGCAGAAUCGUGAAAUGGGCAAUGGAAUUAUGUCCAUUUUCCCUGGAGUUCCAGAGUCGCACCACUGUCAAGUCUCAGGCCCUGGUCGAUUUCAUUGCUGAAUGGACGGAUCUCAACGAGCCUUCCGUUCCCGAUGUCUCAGACCACUGGUCAAUGUUCUUUGAUGGAUCCUUGAAUAUCAACGGUGCCGGCGCUGGGAUACUAUUCGUAUCACCCAACAAGGACAAACUGCGUUACGUCCUUCGGAUCCUUUUUCCGGCGUCAAACAACGUCGCCGAAUACGAAGCAUGCUUGCAUGGCAUAAGACUAGCCGUUGAGCUGGGAGUCAAGCGCCUCUAUGUUUAUGGCGACUCCGCUUUGGUCAUCAACCAGCUCAACAAGGAGUGGGACGCAACCCACGAAAAGAUGGAUCUCUACUGCAAAGAAAUUCGCAAAUGGGAAACCAACUUCUACGGCAUAGAGUACAUCCACGUGGUCCGGGAUAAGAACCAAGCAGCAGACGCGUUGUCGAAGUUAGGCUCAUCUCGGGCCCAGAUCCCGCGGGGUAUUUUCGUCCAGGACAUCCACGAGCCGAGCGUAGGCUCCUCCCUGGUCGACAAGCAACCCACCGAGGCAAUGCUCAUAGACGACGCCACUCCGACAACCGGUGGGCGUGACUGGCGUACCCCGUUCAUCAAAUACAUAUCGGACGGGACAGGCCUUCAGGACAAAACGGAGAACGAGCGCCUCAUUCGACGAUCAAAGAACUACAUCCUGGUCGACGGCAAACUCAUGCGGAAAAACGCAAGCUCUGAAGUAUUGCUCAAGUGCAUACCCCAAGAUGACGGUAUCAAGCUCUUAGAGGACAUACAUGCUGGAUCCUGCGGCAAUCACGCCGCAUCCAGAACACUGGUCGGAAAGGCUUUCCGAGCAGGUUUUUAUUGGCCAACCGCGGUCGGCGACGCAGAAAAACUGGUUCGACAUUGCGAAGGAUGCCAGUUUUUCGCUAAGAGGACCCACGUACCUGCCCACGAAAUUCAAACCAUCCCGUCGUCUUGGCCCUUUGCUUGCUGGGGGCUUGACAUGAUCGGGCCAUUUAAACCAGCCCCGGGCAAUUUCAAGUUCGUUUUCGUGUUAAUCGACAAGUUCUCCAAGUGGAUUGAGUACAUGCCUCUGGUCAAGGCAACCUCUGAGAAGGCUGUGGAGUUCCUCAAUCAAAUCAUAUACAGAUUCGGCAUCCCGAACAGCAUAAUCACCGACCUGGGCACUCAGUUUACUGGCACCGCUUUUUGGGACUUCUGCGAUGACAGAGGCAUAGUCAUAAAAUACGUGUCAGUGGCACAUCCACGUGCCAACGGUCAAGUUGAACGUGCUAACGGAAUGAUCGUCGAUGCCCUAAAGAAAAGGUUGUACACCGAAAACGACAGAGCACCCGGUCGAUGGAUGAAAGAAUUGCCGGCAGUGGUCUGGGGCCUCCGAACUCAAACCAGUCGAAACACAGGGGUGUCUCCCUACUUCAUGGUGUACGGCGCAGAGGCGGUCCUGCCGUCUGACAUACACUUCGGAUCUCCCAGAAUCGAACACUUCGACCAGGCGACCGCUGACAACGCCAGAGAACUCGAAAUCAACUGCAUGGAGGAAAAGCGUUUGGAUUCGUGUCUCCGAACAGCAAAAUAUCUCGCGGCACUCAGGCGAUACUACAACAGGAACGUCAAGGACCGUUCCUUUGUGGCCGGCGAUCUGGUACUUCGAUGGAAAACAAGCCAGGAGGGAAUGCACAAGCUAUCCACUCCCUGGGAAGGACCCUUCGUGGUGACCGAGGUCACACGACCUACGUCCUACAGAUUGGCAUACCCAGACGGAACACGAGUGCCUAACUCUUGGCACAUAGACAAACUGCGACGUUUCUAUCCAUAAAGUUUUAAUAACUUUCCUUUGUAAGUAUCUCAUAAUCGUUGGUAAUGAAAUUCUCUAUUCUUUGCAUAUACCUUGUCAACAGCACUCGGCGACACUCCUGCAAUGGAUGCUCUUAAAGACUACCAAGAUGAAUACGGUGACACGUCACUCAGAUAAUCCUACAGCGCUUAAAACAACAGUCAUGACAAAAAGCAAACUUUAUUACAAACUUUACAUACAAAGUUUACAAUAAAUCCCCUGACGGGCAGACACUAGUCUAUUCCUACAGACUACUCUAUUGGCCUAGCUGUUCGGGCUGAUCACCCGCCUGGCCCUGCUGCCCGGACGAAGGUGUCGGGGCCACCGGUGCCUGGCUGGUCGAGACCGCAGGCGUCGACCGCCCAUCUCCCGCAACGGACGCGCCCAACAACUCCCUGGCCGACCUAUCCGAACUCGGCUGGUCGGGGGGAGUGGCCGUUCCGCACAGAUUGAUGUCGCCGAUCACUGUCGACGACAAGUCCAGCAGACUACCCCGAAGCUCGUCCGCUUCCUGUGGGCCGACCUCCUUCGGGUACCCCUUCUCCAUCCUGCUCAAGUCGAUCAGGGGGUAGUGGGCGCGCACCAUGCUGAGGACGUGCGCGCCGGCAAACUCCCCGGCAUCCUUCACGAACUGCUGGAGCCAGUCCCACGCCCGUUGCGCCUUCUCGACCGGGGUCAACUGUGGCGCGCGGGGCUGGCUCUCCGGGAGCUCGGGACUGAUCAGGUCUAGGACCGGGGACACUCCUUUCCAGAUCCUGCAACAGUUGACGUUCCAGGAGUCCCGGUCCUUGAUCAGAUCAUCCAGGUGCUUCUUGGCGUUCACCUUGAGCACUGCAAACGAAACAAAGUGUUAUCUUCGGCAUACCAAACAAACAAAGGGGCGACAAGCAGCAGCUAGCAAGGCGGCACCCAUUACCACAUAAUUCCCGGUCUUUCCGACCCAAUUCCUCUCCUGCUCGCCGCCCGGACUCCAGCGCACCGGCGAGCUGCUGGCUGAGCUGCUCCUUCUCUUGUCGGAGGCGCGCCACCUCCUCCUCCAAGUCUGCGUGAAUCAUAAACUGGUCGGUACAGCAAACUACACAAGUACGCAAAGCUGCUCCGAGCGUGUGACUAACCUUCUCGCUGCCGGUACUGGUCGGCCAAGCGACGAGUGAGGUCGAGACGACGCUCCUCUUGGGCGCUCAUCUCGGCCACCUUCUCCCCGACUUCCGAUCGCAGCCGGUCUACCUCCGCGGCCAGGGCCUUGUUCUCGGCCACGACGCCUUCUAUCUGGUCAAAGCACCGUUUCCGGUACUUUGCCGUUUUCAUUACGCCCUACAAAGCGAACAUAUAACGACCAUGCAAGAAAGGGCAUAGAGUGUACAGCAGUACGAAAAGUCGCUUACCUUGACUUCGUCGACGAGGCGCUUGGCCGCGCGCUCCACCCUGGCGGCCUCCUCGGUCUCGGCGAGCUCCUCAUGCCCGAUAAAGUGAUCCCCGCGUUGGCGCCACACAUAUACGUGUUGGCGGCCAUCACGGGGAUGACCCUCAAUCUCUUCCACCUCGUCAUCGGAGGCCGCCCGGGUUUUCUCCUCCUGCGCUGCGUCACCCCCGGUGGUGGUCCCGGGCAUUACUGGCCCCCGGACCAGACCCGGGGAGCCUGCAGCCGAAGAGGUUCCUGCUCGGGGCGGCGUGGGGACUCCACUCCCCCCGACAGGAGGAGGGGUCGGGGCUCUUCCCUCCUCCUCUGUGGAGCCAGCUGGGGGAGCCUCUUCAGCCCUGGUCGGGCUGGCUGCAGCUGUAGGCUGCUCUGUGGUCCGGGGGGCCGUAUCUUCAGCAGCACGGACAGGCUCGCCCGUCCCCUGGCUGGCAGCCUGGCCGGGGUCGACAUCCGACGCCGCACUACAGGAACAAAAGUAUAAUAAUAAAAAAAAAAGCAAAGAGGAGUCCAAAAUACGUAAGUUGAACACUUACAGGUCCGAUCGACGGUGCGUCGUGGUGAACCUCCUCCUCGCCCGGCCGGUCGGCACCUGCCCCCCCAUCUCGACAACUUGCGGUGCAGGGGGGUCGCCGGCCACUCGAUCAGUAGCGGUCGGCGCAUUAUCCGGGCGGCUCCGAGGCCGUCGGACUAACGAUGGUGCAGCCUCCUCGUCGUCGUCAUCGUCGUCAACGAUCCGCACGAGCCGACGACGCUUCGGCGCUUGGCUACUCUCCGCCGGUAGAUCUGCCGGCAACCCCGGUGUCGGCAAGGAAUCUGCCGGCAAUGGCCUUUUCACCGCUACCCUCUCUUCGGUGGUCGGGACGGGGCGGGCUUGGUCCUCCUCACUCCUCGUGUAAUGAGUACACCGAGCAGCGUCCUCCUCUGGCGGGUCUUCUCCCGCAGGAUUUUCCAUCCCCGGUGCCAGUGAUACAUACACUGUGCACCGGUCGACAUCGCCGAUCUGCAAAAGCAACAGAGAUGCGUCAGCUGCAGACGAUAUACGAAUGCUAAAACAAAAUAAUCUGCUACAUACCUUUGGUGCUGGUCGUCCUAACUUGAAGGCUUGCACCCGAUCACUGCCACGGAUGAAGCCUCCAUCCGCGAAGUUAAACAGCUCGUUCAACAGCUGUUGUACCUCCGCUUUCUCCAAGAUCUCCGGCCGCAUCCUGGUCGGGUCCACGCUUCCGGCGUACUCGUACGCCGAGUGCACCCUCUUCUGGCAGGGCAUCACCCGACGACAAAUGAAGUUGCCGACCACGCCAAGCCCGUCCAGGCGCGACCAGUCGAUCAGCUUCAUGAGAUCCGCCACUGGACCGUCGAACUCCGGGCGGUCGGUCCAGCUCAUCCUCUUCUCAGGAAUGUAUCCCACAUCGCAGAACGUGGAGCUGCCCGGUUCCUCCCUGAUGUAGAACCACUUCCUGUACCAUUCGGUCAAGGAAGUGUUCCAUGGACAGUGCAGGUAGCGAUUCUUCAUUCCAUCACGAAGGUUGAGGUAUACUCCACCUGCAACCUUGGAGCCUCCAACUGCUCCCUUCUUCCUCAAGCAGAAAAGAUACCGAAAAAGAUCGAAGUGCGGCUCUAUGCCAACAUAGGCCUCGCACAGGUGGAUAAAAGUGGAAAUGAGGAGAAUUGAGUUCGGGUGCAGAUUGCAAAUCCCGAUCUCAUAAUACAAAAGAAGACCUUGAAGAAAAGGAUGAACAGGAACACCAAAGCCCCUCUUAAUGAAAUCUUCAAAUACGACGAUCUCACCGGCGCGGGGGUCGGGGUAGCUCUCCCCCUCCGGUGCCCUCCAGCCGCCGAGCUCCGGGCUGUGCAGAAGCCCCAUAUCGACGAGGUCACCAAGAGAUUUCGUGGUGCUGCGGGAUUUUUUCCACUCCUUGGCCAUCAGUUCAGCUCUCUUCUUGGAGUCGCUCUUCGCCAUUGGAGGUGCGAAAGUGGGCUUGAGUUAGGAAGAUGCAGGUGGUUGAAGGAGGCGAGAGCGGAAGGCUUGAAGGCAAUGGCAGGGUAAGCAGUACAGGCGGAACGGUCAGGCUCUUAUAACCCGCAACUCCACCUCUCCCACUUCCCGUAUUCUCGGGAAGUGGGCAGGCCAUGCGGCGGAUGCGGCGUUUCGGUUUACAAUGAUUACAGACAAUUAAUGCGGCGGAGUUUUCGUACCAAUUGAUGGUUUCCUUUUCUCAAACCAUGCAAAGGGCGGCUGUACAGUUGCCAGGCGCAACUUUUCAUGCGUCCAUCUGACAACCCAUCAGGAGGUCUCGUCAUGUCAACUUUAACUGAAAUGAUCGUUUCAAUAAAAAGAAGACAAAUAUGCCACAGAGUCAACAAUCCGGGGACUGCACCGACCGCCGAGCACUUGACGCUCGGGGACUGGUCGCCCAGUCUAUCAGCUCGGAACUUCAAGGACUGCACCGACCGCCGAGCACUUGACGCUCGGGGACUGGUCGCCCAGUCUAUCAGCUCGGAACUUCAAGGACUGCACCGACCACCGAGCACUCGACGCUCGGGGACUGGUCGCCCAGUCUAUCAGCUCGGAACUUUAAAGGCUGCACCGACCUCCGAGCACCCGAUGCUCGGGGACUGGUCGUACAUUAUCGCAGCGCAGAAUUCUAAGGAGCGCACUUGGUGCUUGGGGACUGGUCGUCAUACUAUUAUACACCCGGGGACUGGUCGAUUAGUCUAUUCAAUUGCAGACGGACUGGUAAAUUCAAUUUUUUAGACCUUGCUACAAGGCUCAUACUUCGCCUUCCAGCAAGCUCGGGGACUACAUCGGUACGAUGCAUCUGGCGAUGCAUCUCAGUUACAGAAUUUCUUCGAGGACUUUUAUUUUGACCCUGGCACCACGUGCCUACGUCACCUGCUACCAGGCUCGGUUUCAAAAAAGUAAAGUGGGCACACUUCACCAGGAAAGAAAUCUUUUUUAAUUUAGAGCACCACGCAUUCUUCGAACAUCUCGCUUCUUCGAUGUCGAUGUUGAUCAACUGUCUUUCGAGUUGGUCAAAGAACCGUUGCAACUGUUUGGGCGGCUUUCCCACUUAUUGAAGACGUCAAGUCUCACUGAUCGAAGAAGCUCAAGACGGCGUGUUACAUCACAAUACAUGGUGCUCGGGGACUAGCUGUGGGGGUAUAAACCCCUAUACCCUUACGGCUAGACUUCGGCCAGGAGGCUUGGCCCAUUACGAGACGAGUCCAAGGCUUGAUCCGACAACCUGGAGUUUUGUGCAAGGAAACAAGAUGUGGAGAUCAAGCAGGAUUCUAGUCGGUUAGAAUAGGAAUUGAUAUCGGAUUAUCCAUGGCAAUUGUAACCGAUUAGGAUUAGUUUCCAGAUCUGUAACCCUGCCCUCCAGACUAUAUAAGGAGGGGCAAGGGACCCCCUAGGACAGAUCAUAUUCUCUCAACACAAAUCAAUACAACCAGACGCAGGACGUAGGUAUUACGCCAACUCGGCGGCCGAACUUGGAUAAAAAGCUUGUCCGUGUCUUGCGUCACCAUCGAGUUCGUAGUUUGCGCACCGUCUACCGAUAAACUACUACCGUGGGUAUACCCCAAGGUAGACUGCCGACUAGCUUUCGUCGACAGUCGUAGUCUUCGUCCUCGAGGUGUAAAACUUCUGUAGGGAUAGACCUUGUGCUGGAGUUUGUGCCGCUGGACUUGUGUUCUGGAAAAGUGCGGAUGGAGACCAUAUUGACGAAGUGACGGGCUGCUUGCCUGUUGUGGCUCAGUGACGAGCCCAUGUUCCCGAAUAGGGAUUGGUGUGCCGCGAAAAUUGAUCGGCCGCGUUGCUCAGACCAUGAAGGAAGUUCGGGUCUGGGGAGGCUGUCUUGAGCUUGACAGUCCGUCCCGCGGUGGUCGAUGUUAUCGUCAGGGAUGUCUCCAGUCGUUCGUGCGUGGCGACACGAGUUGGUCGAUGGGACUCGAAAAAAUUUGAUGUUGCCGCCUGAUCGGGCUUGCGUGAAAUCGAAUCCACUAGGUUGGAGGCUUCGAGAAGUUUAUGGUCGGCGCGAUCGAGGGCUUGAAGAAUAUCCGAGUUGUCGACUCGCUUUGCUCUGUAGCGAGGGAGCGGAGGUCGAGUCCUCGGAGUUGGUGUGAUCGGAGUCGACGCUUCUGCUGCCCCAGAUUGGAUCUGGGUUUCUUCUAGAGUCGUGGUCGUAAGGCGGUCGCCGCGGGUUGUCCAAGUGAUCUGCCCGACGGUGAACGUGAAUCCCUCAACCACGGCCGCGGAAGCUGGGACCAUGACCAUUUUGUUCGUCUGGGAAUUUGUACGCACACCCCCUACCUGGCGCGCCACUUCGUCAAUAUGGACUACGACUUGGGGGAAGGAUUGCUAUGUUCUUGAAUUUUCUGAAGUAAUAUUCCUUAUAUUGAGAAAGAUUGAUUUUUGUUAUAAAUGAUAAAGAUUAACAUAGAAGACCUGAGACUUAGUAGAUAGGAUAAUCUUUAAUUGUGUCACUUUAUUCUAACCUACUUGAUCCUAUGAGUCAUCUCUAAUUAUGGAAACCCUAUCAUUUUCUCAUUAUUAUUAUUAUUAUUAUUAUUAUUAUUAUUAUUAUUAUUAUUAUUAUUAUUAUUAUUAUUAUUAUUAUUAUUAUUAUUAUUAUUAUUAUUAUUAUUAUUAUUAUUAUUAUUAUUAUUAUUAUUAUUAUUAUUAUUAUUAUUAUUAUCACCAUUACCUGCCUUACCCUUGUUUAGAUAGAAGUUGUUAAUUGAUUUGUAUUUAGAGUAUAUAUUUAUAAUUCUUGUAGCCAUAUCUAUUUUCUCUUCUAGAUCCCUUCUUGAAGCUUCUAGUGGUAAAAUUAUAAAUAACGAUACCUAGAACUUUCCUGGGUGUAAUGGUACAACAGGAAUAUUUUAUUUGAGCGCUUGUGGAUAACUUUUGUUUCAUAUUUUAUAAGUGUUAUGGAUAUAAGUAUGACCAUAUUUCUUACGUCGUGUUAGGGAUGACAACCAAGCGAAUGCGGCGUAAGAGAUGCCAACAAUAGACCUAGACGGGCCAACGACUGAGGAAUUCAACCCCGACUACACUGAGGAGCUCGAGGAAGACUUGUCAGGUGCCACGUCCCUACCAACCUCAUAGAAUCCUAUUAGUCAUGCCAUGAAUCAAGAAGCUAGCGCUUUACUUUUAUGUAAUGAAACUGUGAUAGGUUGCAUGGUAGAAAUGCUUGUGAGCCAUUACUCUAUCGCAACCUAUUCCCCUGGUUACCCGCUGCUAGGAUAGUUGCUCGCAUCUUACUACUGUUACUCUACUUUGCAUUAUAUCUAUGACGUUAUGCUUGGUGGAUGGUUGUUGGAACCGGAUAAGGCACGUGGUGCCAUUAAUCCUGAUAACGGACAUGGAGAGAUCUUGGCGUGUGUUUUGGGUGCAUGGUGAGGGUUGAGUCGAUCAAGUAGGAAUAAACGACGAGUCUUGGGACAAGUCUUGUCAAGGAAUGCUGCCUCGGCAUUUCUCACGAUAGGUACCUGUGGUUGGUACAAGUAUCAGGGAGAGAUCCCAGGGUUUCGUGUCUUUGUGGGAUGAAGCCCCAGGAUGGAGAUGUUGUUUAGCACAUGGCACUGGAUGUUCUAUCGAGUGGAGCAUCGGCUAGCCCCAUGAGAAGAUGUGUCAUUUGGUCCCCCUAAGGACUCAUGUGUUCUAGGAACCGGUUCAUAGGAAUCCUUGCACCCUCACUCUCUUUCAUGGGAGGGGGACAGAUGUACGACAGCUAGGGCUGUGCCACUGCUAGUAGGUUGUUAGCGGAUAGUGUAGGGAGGUACGGGCAUGGGUCCCAUACCCUCCUAAGACAGCAUAGUGACACUAGGGGCCUGGUACUAUGUCUCACAAUCUCAUCAUGUUAGUGGUACUCUGGCAUGGCCCUAGUUUUGAGUGGUAGGGUGACAUCGUGUUUAGUUGGAAGGCAGCCUGGUAUCAGCCUAGACGAGGUGCAAUAUCAAUGAUUGUGAUCUUGUGAGUGGUGUAAACCUCUACAAAGUUUCUGGUCGAUUGAUUGAUACAUAUGCCGUUCUUCGGCUAUGGACCUUUCCUAUGUUUCCGCUUCACUUGACUAAAGAGAGGAGUCUUUUCUACAUUUCCCUGGGUUUGUGUUAGAUUUGAAGUUGGGCACUAAGGCCAGGAAUGAGCGGGAGUCGUCCUUGCUGCGUAGAGAGCGAGAGUGUGGUGAGAUGUAUGCUAGGAUGGGAGAAUGUUUGGAGGAGUUGGAUUAAAACUUGAUGAAAUAUUAAAAUUGUGACUUACUCGCAUAGGAAGCUACACCCAUAAAUUAGUCCCCUUUCGCUAAAUAUCUUUGCAUCCUACCUACACAAAGCUUCACAAAAGCAUAGGGUGGGAGCCAGUGGCCAGUACAAAUCAUACUGAUACAUUGGAAACAGGUUCUGAUCUCGAGUACGACUACAUGGGCGACGACUAGGAAGAGUAGCCGUCUUGUCCAAUGCUCAAGUUUGGAGGAUCCGGAGUUCGCGCUGUCGCUGCCUAUGUAGAUGCUGUUCCAGAUGUUGUGUGUGUGAGUCUGAUUCCGCUAAGUGGCAUUGUAAUAAUCAGUAAACCUCACUUGUACUCUCUUUUGUGCGUGUAUGACUCAUAUAAUAGCUGAAAUCUGGGUAUUUCGAUUGAACACUUUCGCGUGUCAAUCGUUUUACAUCUUGAAUCUGUGGAUUUUCCUUCGUAGAAAUCUAGAUCGUUUCGGUCGUCCUCGUCGGUGCCCCCACCGAAUACUACUACUGCUGGUCACUAGAUCCGUGGAUGCUUCCUGAUAUUUUGCUUCUAUGAAAGUCUAGCUUGUCUGGAAUUCAGCUUGAAAUUUAUGUGUGAGGAAACUAUGUUGUUAGAAACAAGGCUUUAGUUCCACCUUACUGAUAGAAGUAAGAGCAACUCCAAAAGACUCUCUAUAUCAUUUUCUAAAUGCUAGAGGAAUAUAAAUUUUGGUGCAAAACUACCCUCCAAUAACUUGUCUAAAUGGUUAUCUAAAUAUAGCCAUCUAUUAUUCCGAAUAUUUCAUUAGGCAAAAAUAGAAGAUGAGGAUAACUCUCUAUAGUGCACGAGAGAAUAGAAAACUAUUGGCGAGCAAGAAGAUAUAGAAAAUAAUUUUUAUGCAAAUGAGUCUUUAAUGAUGAUUUAAAGAAAGAAAUUUAGAAUGUCUCUUAGAGAUGGAGCCUUUCUAAAAGAGAGUCAUUCUUGUCUUCUAUAUUUGGCUAGCGAAAAAUCGGGAUUAGAAGAUGACCAUAUUUGGAUAAGCUAUUGGAGGGUAGUUUUUCAUCAAAAUCUAUGUACCUAGCAUUUAGAAAGAAUAUAGAUAGUGUCUUGGAGAUGAAAAAUGUUGACUAACUUAAAUAUAGAAGACUCAUCCUCCAAUCCUCCGUUCUGUUAGGAGCGUACACUCUACCAAGAAUCGAGUUUUGUUUUCACAAGCGGGGUCGAGGAGAACUGGUUUGCUCACACCAGAAAAUGAAUUGUGUGCUCCAUUGACGAUCAGGAGGUUUCUCCUUUGUUUAUGACCCAAGCUAUUGGCCUUUGCCAGCUACGCGAUGUUCGCGUUAUUCACCAUAAGCUGAGCAGGUCUCUGGAAUGUACCUCGCAUCCUUGCGAUUCUACGAUCGGAACAGGGAGAAAAGGUUUUCUUAAUGCACUUCACGGCUGCUUGUGUUAUUUAUCAUAAGCUGUCUUCCAUCCAAGUCACAAGGUGCUACAUAUAUACCAUCGUUUUAUAGAGUAAUUUAAAAAUUAUUAUUAUCUCUUUUUCUUUUUGUUAUCCACCAAUAUUUCUAUGGCCUCCCUUAACCAUCACUUUUCAAUCAUUUUCUCAUGCAUACUUGCGAGCCCCAUCUUUCACAUAUAUAUUAGGAGAGAUAUAUUAAAAUAUCGUUAUAGCAACUCUCCUAAUAUCUAACAAAUAAUAUUCUAUUACCCUGAUAUCUUACAUAUUAAAGAAUAGUUUAUUGUGAGAUUGGUCCAGAUGCUUGGGUGGAUUUUGAGAGAAUUAUCUAUUUGACACUAAAACAAAUCGGUCUUUCUCAUUUAGCACUAAAAAAUUGAACCUUUGUUAUUUCGCAACAAAUUAAAAUUUCCUUCCUAGAUGCACUACCACACACAUUUUAUCUAUUCAUAUGUUAGUUGACUGUUUUGACCAUCUAUGUUUUUUCCAGUAUGACCAAAAUACCCCUCGAGUACUCGCGCACGCAAUUUUCUCCCUAACUCUUCCAAGCAGCAUACCGGUGCUCCUGUCGCCCACAACCUUCUUCUCCGAAAAAACUAGACCCUAGAUUGAUGUAAGGUAGAGGAGAGGAUGAUCACAGCUGUGUGUGUCCUCAGUCGGGGUGGCGUCACUCGACGGAGCCAGGCUACGGCUCGCGGGCCAGCACUUCGGCCAACCCGUGGCAUGACGGAGACGCUGCGGUGACCACGCUAGCCUAUGGCCGUGGAUCUUGGCACGCCAGCUUGCCAAAUAUCUUUUUGCAUCUAUGUGCAUGCAAUGAAUAUCUUUUUGUUGAUAGAGUUUAAAUGGCAAUUGUGAUUUGAGAAUUAAGAUUCCUGUCUGAAAAUAAUGUUAAUUAGUAGCAAUUUGGUUGUCGCCAACAUCAGUUCUGUAAUAUGGUAUUUGCUGCAAAAUUUCAUCUAGCCUAGUAAAAAAACAGUUCCAUAAUCCUGUCAAAUCUAGUCAGCAAAUUUAAAUUUGCAGCAAAUCAAAGUUGUGUUGUAGUGACAUGCUGUCACUUAAUGAGCAACUUCUUGCUAGAUUUUCUUUGAGUUCAAGACAGUAACAUCUUGCUAGAUUACAAGCAUUUAGUCCAAGUAAGACGUAGUAACUUAGAGAUGAAACCAACAAGAUCCUCACCAAUCUACUCUUAUACAAUUCAGGUUGUCUGCAUUUUAUUCAUAUUCAUAUGCUAGAAUAGUGAUGUUGGAUGUUUGUUAAUCUUCCUUACAUGCACUAGAGAUCCUUUGGACUCCACAAAAUGAGAGUGACAGAUUGUCAGAGCGAUAGCUCCUUGAAGAUACCCACUUUUAAGGCCUCUAGAAAAAUAAAGUUACAGAUUGCCCGUCAAAGAAAGAACAAGUUGUUGAAUCAUUUUUGGUUGUUUUGUUAUUAACUAUAGCGCAGAUCAUAUAUUUGUAUAAAAAGUGUAUAAUUCAAAAUUGACGUCACUGUCAGCCAUCACUUCAGAACAUGUAGUGCAUUGCAGUGCAAAUCUGCAAUUGUCUAUUAUAGUCUUGUCCACUAUUCCUGACACAAUAAUAGAAAAUUAUAAAUAGAUUGUUAAAAAAAAAUGAGAGGCUGCAUUUGUGCAUGUACCAUUUUGCCGUAGAUACUUUAAAUAAAAUAUUUGGUGAAAUAUUUUUAUCGGCCAAUCUAAGGUUCAAGCAUAUCACACAGAAUCGUGGUCCAAAAAUAGUUUCAUCUUGCAUUUUUGUUGUAUGAGGCUGUUAUAUCUAUUCAGUAAAUUUAAAAUUGCAGCAAAUAAAUAUUGUGUUAUAGUGACAUACUAUCACUUAAUAAGCAACUUCUUACUAGAUUUUCUUUUAGGCCAAGGGAGUAACAUCAUGCUAGAUUACAAAGCAUUUAUUCCAAAUAAGAUGUAGUAACUUAGAGAUAAAACCAACAAGAUCCUCACGAAUUUACUCUUAUAAAAUUCAGGUUGUCUGCAUUUUGUUCAUAUUCAUAUGCUAGAAUAGUGUUGUCUGAUGUUUGUUAAUCUUCAUUAUAGGCACUUGAGAUCCUAUGGACUCCACAAAAUGAGUAUGACACAUUGUCAGAGCGAUAGCUCCUUGAAGAUUACCUGCUCUUAAGGCCUCUAUAGAAAACAAUGUUAUUGAUUGCCCGUCAAAGAGUGAAGUCGUAGAUUUAGUUUUGGCGGUUUUGUUAUUCACUAGUAUAAUGCCCGUGCUAACGCCACGGUUUUUUUCUAGGGAAUGCUAUAGUAAUUUUUUAGAGUUUUAAUUUUGGGUAAUUGUUUUUAAGUCUAUAUACAUUUUAUGAAUCAUCAGUACUAAAGACAUCUUUACAUUUUUUCUAACUUUUUAAUCAAAUAUUGGAUAUCUUCAGCAAUGUUGUCGUUGCACUCGUUUGCAGGACUCACCAAAAUUUCAGCCAAGAACUCCGUCCUUAGUGAUCUUGAUAGCUGUGAAUGACAGAUAAUAUUUUGUCAAUAUUUAAUCGUUCAUUGACCCAAAUAUAGUUGGAGACUGCAUGUGCUUACAUUAUUUAUUGGCGGCAAUCUCACGUUGUUUCCUCUUGCUCUCUUCCCUUUCUUCUUCAGUCAUCCUCGCUCGACGAUCACGCUGAUACUCACGUUGUCUCCUAUUUAUCUCCUCCCUUCGUUCAUUGGUAAUCUCAGCACGACGAUUGCGACCUUGCGAUGUUUGGGCCCGCCUCGACGAGGCCUCAUCUUUAACAAGAAUUUUGAUAAAUUUAGAUUAGAUUAUAAAAUUAGAAAAAACACCCAAUUAUUAAAAGCAUACCUGUGACGUUGGUGAUGUCGCUUAGCACAUCGCGUGUAUGUCUAGGUGUAGACAUUGAAGCCUCCUGAAUGAAGAAAAAGGAACUGCAAAAGGGCAUUCAUGAAUUUUAUCAUUAGACGUUGCAUGAUUAGUCAGAGACUCAUACUAUGACCUCAUACACUUUUAUUAGUUACUUACUACAGAAAUAUGCAACUAUUUAGAUGUACAUGCAUAUAGGUUCAGAAAUCACCCAUCACCCAUCUGAACCUAUAUCUAAAACCAUUACCAUUUAGAUCAUAAUACUGCUACUCAUUUGAGGUUGCCGUCAGGGACCUAAUCAAGUCAAGAACAGCUAGUGACAUGCAGCAGAGGCAACACCUAAGCACAUCGUAUACUUUCACAGGCACAAAUAAUGCACUUACUGACAAAUAAAGAAGAAGAGGGGUCGGUCUGGGUACCAGACUAAUGUACCUGGAAAUGGGGAUUGCUUGGUCGAUGUGUACGCUAAUCAACUGGAAUUCGCUGAUCACCGUCUCCCUGUCGUCUGGCGUCACAAGCAAAAAAAAUUUCACGCUUGAAGAACGCGCACCUGAGGGCGCUCCCCGGCGCGGCGGAGAGGCUGGCGCUGUGCAAGGCCGACCUGCUCGACUACGACGCGCUGCAGUCGGCCGUUGCCGGCUGCCACGACGUCUUCCACACCGUGUCGCCUGGAUCCGAUCCGGUACGUAUACGUGUAACCUAUAGUAGUACUUGAAUACGGAUAUACUAAGAUCGAUCUAUGAUCACGGUACAUGUUACGUACCGUAACAAGGCUGGCCUAUGUACUCCAGUAGGGACCAUAUACAACACCUACUGGCUACUGCAGCUAUUUAUUAUUUAUGAUCAACCAAAAUCUUAGCAAAAAGAUUUAUUACUCCAGUAGUAGAAUAUUUUUGCGACAUAAACUGUCUCCUGCAUGCAUGCAUGCAAAAUUCACUCCUGGAGCCAGAUGCGUGUUUUGACCUGGUUAUGGUGGAGAUUAGUGGGCCAAAUUAGUGGGCUGCGAUGAGUUUGUUGGGGCGUGAGUUUGUCUGGUCUAACGGCCCAAGAAGUUUUCAAUUAUAGUGGAGACUAUAGCACAGAUGAUACAUUUAUAUAAGAAGUGUAUAAUUUUAAUUGACGUCACUGUUAGCCAUUACUGACACAAUAUACAGUAUGGAUAUCACGCAAAGUCCCUCUCAUCGGAUCCCCAAGGCGACUCAGGGGAGACAUGCCUGCUGUAGACAUAAGAGGCAACCGUGCUAGGCCAUAUCUUGCUGUAGUUGUUGUGGCUCUGGCGAGCAGUGGCAGCGACCAAUGAUGGUGCCAAAAAAGGGUGCAUGCUGUGCUGCUUCUCCCCCACCCCUCUUCCCAUUGCACUCACCUUCUCCUCCACUUCCCUUGCUGCUGUCUCCUGCGUUGUGGUCCAAAAAACAGCUCCAUACUGCAUUUCUGUUGUAUGAGGCUGUCAGAUCCAGCCAACAAAUUGAAAAUUGCAGCAAAUUGAUGUUGUGUUGUAGUGACAUAUUGUCACUUAAUAAGCAACACCUUGCUAGAUUUUCUUUGAGCCCAUGGGAGUAACAUCAUGCUAGAUUACAAAGCAUUUAGUCCAAGUAAGAUGUAGUAACUUAGAGAUGAAACCAAAAAUAUCGUCACCAGUUUACUCUUAUUAAAUUCAGGUUGUCUGCAUUUUGUACAAUUCAUAUGCUAGAAUAGUGAUGUUGAUGUUUGUUUAUUUUCUUUAUAGGCACUCUAGAUCCUACGGACUCUGUACAAUAAGAAUGACACAUUGUCAGAGCAGUACGUCCUUAAAGAUUACCUGAACUUAAGGCCUCUGUAGAAAAAUAAAGUUAAAUAUUGCCCCUCAAAGAAAGAACAAGGCAUAGAUUUAGUUUUGGCAAUUUUGUUAUUAACUAUAGCAUAGAUGAUAGAUUUGCAUAAGAGGUGUAUAAUUUGUAAUUGAUAUCACUAUGAGCCAUGCAUCAUUUCAGAACAUGUAGUUCACUACAAUGUAAAUAUACAAUUAGCUGUCAGCAAUCUUGUUCACUAUUCCUGAUACAAUAAUAGAAAAUUGUAAAUACAUUUUUUAGGAAGAACAUGAGAGGCUGCAUUUGUGUGUGUAGUGUUCCAUCAUAGAUUUUUAAUUAAAAUAUUUUAUGAAAUAUUUUCAUGGGCCAAUCUGGGUUCAGGGAUAUUAGGUACAGUCCCUCGCAUCAUCUCCCUAGGGCAACUCGGGGGAGACACGCCUGCCAUAACCAUAAGAGCCCACCGUGCCAGGCUAUUGGCUGCCAUUCCCACAACUCUGGUAAGUGGAAACGAUGGCCGAUGAUGGUGUUAGAAAAGGUUGUGUUAACUACCGCUUCUCCCCCACCCCUCUUCCCUUUCCACUCACCAUCAUCUCCACUUCCCUUGUUGUCGUUUCCUGUGUCGUGGUCUAAAAAACAGUUCCAUACUGUAUUUCUAUUGUAUGAGCCUGUCAGAUCUAGUCAGCAAAUUUAAAAUUGUAGCAAAUCAACGUUAAUGUUGUAGUGAUAUAGUGUCACUUAAUAAGCAACAUCUUGCUAGAUUUUAUCUGAGACCAAAGCAGUAACAUCAUGCUAGAUUACAAAACAUUUAGUCCAAGUAAGACGUAGUAACCUAGAGAUGAAACCAACAAGAUCCUCACGAAUUUACUCUUAUAAAAUUUAGGUUGUCUACAUUUUGUGCAUAUUCAUAUUAUAGUAUAGUGAUAUCUGAUGUUUGUUAAUCUUCUUUAUAGGCACUUGAGAUCCUAUAGACUCCAUAAAAUGAGAAUGAUACAUUGUCAGAGCAAUAGCUCCAUGAAAAUUACCGACUCUUAAGACCUCUAUAGAAAAAUGAGGUUAUGAUGGCCCGUUAAAGAAUGACGAAGUUGUAGAUUCAGUUUUGGUAGUUGUGUUAUUAACUAUAGCACAUUUCAUAUGUUUAUAUAAGAAGUUAAUGAUUUAUAAUUGACAUCAUCAUUAGCCUUCACUUCAGAACAUGUAGCACACUACUAUGCAAUUAUGCAAUCGUCCGUCGGUAGUCUUCUUCAAUAUUCCUUACACAAUAAUAAAAACUUGUAAAUAUAUUGUUCAGAAUAAAGAACACGACAGGCUACAUUUAUGUGUACCAUUCUACCAUGGAUAUUUUAAAUAAAAGAUUUGAUGAAAUGUUUUCUUAUGGGCCAAUCUGGGGUUUAGGGAUAUCCGACAUAGCCCCUCGCUUCAUCUCCCUAGGGUGACUCAAGGGAGAUACACCGGCUGCAUUAGCAAGCCCAUGGUCCUAGAUCAUUUCUGGUUGCUGUUGCCAUGGCCCUAGCAAGCAGUGACAAUGGCCAAUGGUAGUGCCAAAAAAGCUUGUGUUCGCAACCGCUUUUCUCCUACCCCUCUUCCCUUUCCACUUACCUUCACCUCUGCUUCCCUUUCUGUCAUCUCCAACAAUCUAGUAAAACAACUAGUUCCAUUCUCCAUUUCUGUUGUAGAAGUCUGUCAGAUCCAGUCAGCAAAUUUAAAAUUGCAGCAAAUCAAUGUUGUGUUAUAGUGACAUACUGAUAAUUAGCAACAUUUUGUUAGAUUUUCUUUGAGGCCGGGACAGUAACAUCUUGCUACAUUACAAAGCAUUUAGUCCAAGUUAGAUGUAAUAACUUAGAUAUAAAUCCAACAAGAGCCUCACAAAUUCACUAUUAUAAAAUUCAGUUUGUCUCAUUUUGUGCAUAUUCAUAUGCUAGAGUAAUAAUGUCGAAUGUUUGUUAAUAUUCUUUGUAGACACUCAAGAUCCUAUGGACUCUACAAAAUGAGAAUGACACAUUGUUAGAGUGAUAGCUCCCUGAAGAUUACCUAUUCUUAAGGCAUCUGUAGAAACAUAAAGUUAGCCCGUCAAAGAAAGAACAAGUCAUAGAUUCAGUUUUGGUUAUUUUGUUAUUAACUAUAACAUAGAUCAUAUGUUGGUAUAAGAGGCGUGUAAUUUGUAAUUGGCGAUGUCGCCUUCACUUUAGAACAUUUAGCACAUUAUCGUGUAAAUACGAUUGGCAGUCUACUGUUGACGGUCCUUAAGUAUCAAAAUUAAUCAUCAAAUAAAUAAAGAAAAGGAUCCAAAUGCAACCAACACCUAGACUUAGGGUUUUAUCUGACAGAAUGCCACGAGUUUUGGUGUUUGUCUAUUUCUGUAGGGGGUUAUCAGGAAAUACGGAGGAAAGGCCCACACGUCGGGUUUACAUAGAGAUUGUUGAUGCAAAAGCUGAUCUGCAAACACAAAGGGCUAAUACCCGAUUUAAACGUUAAGGCGUGCCAGCCGAUUUGACCUUACCAUCGGCAAAGGUGAUAACUCGAAUACUUUGGUCCUGACAACAGCGAUGCACCCGGAUGCCACGGCCAAGAGGUAUUCAUGCGGAACUCGAGAACGCGCCGAGCUUAAGUCGACGAAUUCCUAAGAACUCGUAGUGAAAAGGAAAAAGUAUGACGAAGUCGUCGAAAAGUAAAUUGCUGGAAUAUGAGUAAAAACUGGUGUUUGAUUGAUUGAUAGCUUGAUAGAUUCAUUGUUACAAGGCUCUAGGGUCUACAUUUAUACCCUGCUCAAAGAGCUACAACCAGACACGACUAGAAUUCGAAUUCCAAAUUUAAACAGAAACUGAAACACCGCCGCGGACCAACCAACCAUCUUCGAGUCUUCCUUCAUGCCAUCGGCUGAUUCUCCAUCGGCAACCACCUCCAUCCGCAACUUUCCUAUAGAUCAAUGACUAUUACCCUGUCUUGCCGAUUCACAUCCUACCGAUCCCGGAUACGCGUCGAAAAACGGCGUCAACACAUGCCCCCCAAUUUUGGAGUAUGAAAUCAUUAAUGCUCCAAAAUUCUUUGCAGUAAUGAUGCCUUUCCACAAUUAAUGCUCUCAAUUUGGUAACCGACAGCCUCAAUCUGAACAACUCGGAUCCUAUUCCUCUGCAGAUACACAGACGCAGCAGGUACCAUCCCCUUCUCAGCAACAAGAAGCACCACAAGUGGAAGAACCCCAACCAGAAGAGCCUCAACCAGAAGUACCUCAGCCAGAAGACAUAUCGGUUGACGUGCAUGAACAAACCGCCGAUCCAGCAGGUUCCAUUAUAGCAUCGGUAGUUUCUUCCAUCUAGAUAAGUACUGCUCCCUCUCAAGGUAACACACCUUCAUGAAAUUAUUGCCGAUGAACUUAUCUUCUCUGUCUCAUAAAUUUUUUAGUCGACAUAGUCCCAUCGGCAACUCCAGCCGAUCAGCCUAUAGUUCCACCGGCAUCUUCCAGUCAAAGGUGAGAGAUUGCCUUGAAACAAGUAAGCCAUCCAAUUUCCAUCGGUACUACUGUUGACACCGUUUUUGGGCACGUGUCUAGGAUGGCAGGAUAAGGUGGCAGUACGAUGUUUACAAAAGUGGGUUGCCGAUGAGGAUGGUUGCCGAUGAGUGAGAAGUUGAACGUGACUAAGUCCACAGGCAGUAAUAUGGUGCCGAUGGCUAGAUAAGAAAGUCUGCCAAUGACUAUGGCAAAGGGUCUGCCGAUGAUGCAAAGAGGGAGUCCGGAAGCUGCCGGUCGUUAUGUGGAGGAGUUUCGGUUUGUCACGAGGGAUAGUUUUGUUAUUUCCUUAAUUAUUUGCAUCGUUUUGUAUACGGAUUCCGUGUAAUUUGGAAUUCGAAUUCUAAUCGUGUCUAGUUGUAGCUCUUUGAGCAGGGUAUAAAUAUAGACCCUAGGGCCUUGUAAUAAAAAAUCAAUCAAUGAAUCACACAUACGUUUUUACUCAUAUUCCAGCAUUUACUUUUCGACGACUUCGUCAUACUUUUUCCUUUUGUUACGAGUUCUUAGGAAUUCGUCGACUUAAGCUCGGCGUGUUCUCAAGUUCCGCGUGAGUACCUCUUAGCCUUGACAUCCGGGCGCAUCGCUGUUGUCAGGACUAAAGUAUUCGAGUUAUCACCUUUGCCGAUAGCAAGGUCAAAUCGGCUGGCACGCCUUAACGUUUGAAUCGGGUAUUAGCCCUUUGUGUUUGCAGAUCAGUUUUGCAUCAACACAUCUUUUGGCACGCCUGGUGGGACAGGACUCAAGAUCAAGAUCAACAUGUCGAUCUCUGACCUCGAUCAAGAGAACGUCAUCCCCGUGACGGAGGCCAACCUCAAGGAUGAGCAGAAGCAAGCUAUUGCCCAAGCCAUGGAAGAGUUCAAGUAGCAAUGCCUGAGGUCUUUCAGCAUAAACAGGAGCAGCGAAGUGGUCCAGAAAGAUGCACUGCCGGCACCACGGCAGGUUACCUUUGACGCCAAUCCUGGCAAGCUUCAAGAUAUGGUUGACAAUGCCAUCAAUCGAGCGUUGAUUAACCAAGCUGGUGUACUGUCUAAUACGGUUUUCAAUGCCGUGGCAAGAACUUUCAAGGAAGGACAAAUCCCACCAGAUUAUGUGAGCCCCUCCCAUCAUCAGCCAACGGCACCAGAGGUCACGGCUCCAUCGGCUGCCUUGACGACUGCAAGUGCACAAUCUGCCGUCCCUCCAAGUACAUCGGGGACUACUGGUGCACUAUCUAUGCCGAUGACAACCAACCCACAAAUUUCAGUUGGGCAGCAUAAACUGACAACAGAUAUGUUGGCAUCGGCAAUGUCAGGGUUGACUCUUCCUCCCAACUGGUGGGGUUAUGGUAUGCCUCCAGAGUUGACACCGGGAACAUCACAAAUAACUGACAUGAGGGGCAAAACUCCUAUGACAUCGGCACCUCCCAAUGCGCCGGUGAACCAGAGUCCUCGGUAUAGCACAACUACUACUGCAAGGCCUCACACUGGAAAUCCUCAAGAUUCAAUGUUCCAGAUGCCCAACGCAUCGGCAGAGUCAAUGCUGAUGCAACAGAGGUCUAUGGCCCAGUCGGGGUAUGUCAAUUCAACGACGGUACCCAAUUACCAAUCAUCGGCAGCACCUGUGCCGAUGAACGCUAAUAAUGGAUGGCUUGGACAGCAAGCCUUUCCACAAUCGCCCCAGCAGAGUUACCAGACUACAGGGUUCCAGCAAGGGCAGGUCUAUCCCGGGUUCCAAGGUUAGGGGAUUCCCAACCAGCCAAUGAAUUUUGGACAGCAACUCGGAGGACAGCCAAUCGGUGGACAGCAGUUUGGUGGUCCGCAGAUUGGAGGACAGGUGAUCAAUACAAUGUUCCGUGCAGAUCACGUCCUGAACAGACACGUGGAGGUUCGCCACCAAGUGCCAGAUCCGCAGCCGCCUCGUCGGCAAGAUGCCGAUGCAUAUUGGGCCGAUAAGAUUGCUGAAGUAAUGAGGGAACAAUUUGGGAUAAAACCCAAAGUCAACACUUACUCUUAUCGGACACCGUAUCCUCCCGCGUAUGAUUUGAUCCCGCUUCCACAUCGGUACAAGGUACCGGAUUUUACAAAGUUUUCCGGGCAGGACGACACGUCAACCAUGGAGCAUGUCAACAGGUUCAUCAUUCAAUGUGGAGAGGCUGGUAACAGGGACGAAUUGAGGGUUCGUCUAUUUUCAUCAUCAUUGUCUGGAUCGGCCAUUACUUGGUUCAUAUCAUUACCUCCCAACUCAGUAAUUACUUGGGCCGAUCUAGAGAAGCAAUUCCACAAAUACUUCUUCUCGGGGGUUCAUGAGAAGAAGAUCACCGACUUGGUCAAGUUGAGGCAACGUAAUGAUGAGUCGGUUGAGGGUUUUGUGCAGAGGAUACGAGAGGUCAAGAAUAAAUGCUAUAGCUUGGUUCUGGAUGAUCGGCAGCUAGCCGAUUUGGCUUUCUAGGGUUUGUUGCCACAUAUCAGGGAUAAGUAUGCCUCUCAGGAGUUCGAAAGUUUAAGUCAUUUGGUGCAGAGGAUUUCUGAUCAAGACAUCAAGCCUUUCGAGCCUAAAAGAGCAUGGAAUAGGAAAGUGUCAUUUGUCGAUGAAGCAACAAGCUCAGAUUCUGAUGAAGAACCAGUAAUCGGCUUGGCAGAGUGGGUAAAAAACAAGAAGCCGAUGUCUUGUCCUUUUGGGCAGAAGGAACCAGAGAAGUUUGCUUUUGACACCGCUAAGGCGGAUAGGAUAUUUGACUUUCUACUUCAGGAAGGUCAGAUCAAACUGUCACCUAACCAUGUGAUCCCAUCGGCAGAAGAGUUGAAGAGGAUGAGAUAUUGCAAGUGGAAUAAUGCAACUUCCCAUGACACCAACGAGUGCAAAGUAUUCAGACAGCAGCUGCAAUCGGCUAUAGAGUCAGGGAGAAUCAAGUUUGACAGUUCCGAAGCCCAGAAGCCGAUGAAGAUAGACCAACAUCCUUUCCCGACAAACAUGUUGGAUGCUAAGGGGAAGGCUAAGGUCUUAACAUCGGAGACAGCUGAGAAGAGUGCAUCGGUAGAUCCUCAGCAUCAAGUUACUACUGCCGAUGCAAGAAGUAAGGGCUUGGUCCAGGAAGGAACUAGCUCAGGAAGGCCUCCUCGAUCUGGUAUCGUCAUAACUCAUAGAAGGCCUCGAGAAAAAUGGCAACAACGGGAAGAUCGGUAUCGGCGCCAGCAGGAAGAUUAUCGACGGGAAGAAGAAAGACGCCGACAGGAGUGGAAUCGGCACAGGGAUCAUUGGAAUUGUCCAUUCUUCAUCCAUUGUUGGGAGGAAAAUAUCAAGCUUCCUACUGUCAGAGACUGCCCUGAGUGCAACAGUUAUGAUCGGUACGAUAGGAUCGAUCGGCAUUAUCAUGAUGAUGAACGGCGAUUUAAUGGUCCGGUCAGAGGAAGGGUGUCAGUUCAUGAUCGGCUGGGGGGCAGAUUUAGUGGGCACGACACACUUAGUGACCGUGUCCAGUAUUUUCCCAGGAACCAAGAAGAGCUCGAGGAAAUGGCUGAUGCGCGGGUUCCCGAUGAAUUCAUAUUUUGCAGGGAUGCUAACACGCAUCGUAUGGAGUCAAGGGAGAACCGACGCCCGACGGCAAGGCAAAGGCCACUUCCUCCAUGGUGCCCUGGAGGAUUAACCAAGACACAGAAAAGGAGAUUGCAACGUGAAAGGCAAGAAGAGCUAAACAAGGGAGAGAACUCUGGAAGUCGGCAGCCGUCAGACACUAAGAGGGAAGGUCCAUCGGCAGGCGUCAACAUGGUCUUCAUGUUGCCGAUGGAGUUUCUUGCACUAGCCAGUGAUGAUGAGUUGGAAUUUUCUGAUCAGAUAGCUCAGUUGGCUCUGGAUCCGAUGACGGCUAUCUUUGAGAAACCUGCCGAUGACGAGAGGCAGCAUCUUAAAGCUCUGUUCCUUAAAGGAAGGGUUGAUGGGCAGCCAAUGACCAAGAUCCUAGUUGAUGGUGGAGCUACUAUUAAUAUUAUGCCGUAUGCAGUAUAUCGGAAGCUUGGGAAAGGGGAUCAAGAUUUGACCAAGACCGAUAUGAUGCUCAAAGACUUUGAAGGAAACGUGUCUCCAGUCAAGGGGGCGAUAUGUGCAGAGUUGACCAUCGGCAGCAAAACCUUGCCGACAACUUUUUUCGUGAUCAGCGGAAAAGGUGCUUACAACUUAUUAUUGGGAAGAGAUUGGAUUCAUGCCAAUUGUUGUAUCCCAUCUACAAUGCAUCAAUGCUUGGUUCAGUGGGUAGGUGACAAGAUUGAGAUUGUCCCAGGAGAUUCUUCUUAUGUUAUCGCAUCGGCAGAAGCGGAUACUUACGAAAGGACCAGGUGCAUUUCAGGAGAAGUUUGGGAGAAAGAUUUUCUCAAAGUUGCCGAUUAUGAGAUUCCACCGAUCCAAGCAGUCGGUUCUGACGACGGUUUUUAAUGGAUAGAUUCGCCGAUGAUGGAAAAUUAGGCCAGGGAUUCACAUCGGCCGAUGAUUUGGUAGAAGUAGAUAUAGGUAGUGGUGAUAAGCCUAGGCCUACUUUUAUUAGUGCUAAAUUAGAUCCUGAGAGUAAGCAACAAUUGACUAGUUUGUUAAAGGAAUAUAAAUAUUUCUUUGCUUGGGAUUAUACCGAGAUGCCUGGUUUAGACCGAUCAAUUGUUGAACAUCGGUUACCCAUCAAGUCUGGAUUUCGGCCACAUCAGCAACCAGCCCGCCGAUGUAAUCCUAACAUUCUACCUGAUAUUAAGGCCGAAAUCACCAAACUUAUUGAAGCUAAGUUUAUUCGGCAGUGUCGGUAUGCCGAGUGGAUUUCCAAUGUUGUUCCGGUUUACAAGAAGAACGGGAAGCUUCGGGUGUGCAUUGAUUUCAGGAAUCUCAAUAAAGCUACGCCGAUGGAUGGAUACCCAAUGCCUAUCGCCGAUCUACUGGUUGAUGCUGCGGCUGGUCAUCAGGUCAUCAGCUUCAUGGAUGGUAAUGCAGGUUACAAUCAAAUAUUCAUGGCGGAGGAGGAUAUUCCAAAAACCGCAUUCAGGUGUCCUGAUCAUGUUGGGCUAUUUGAAUGGAUAGUCAUGACUUUUGGGUUGAAGAAUGCUGGUGCUACUUAUCAAAGGGCUAUGAAUUUUAUAUUUCAUGAGUUCAUCGGCAAGCUCGUGGAGAUUUAUAUUGAUGAUGUGGUGGUUAAGUCUGGAGAUUUCUCAAAGCAUCUUGCCGAUUUACAAAAAGUGUUAGAGUGCACAAGGAAGCAUGGAUUGAAGAUGAAUCCCAACAAGUGUGCAUUUGGUGUAUCGGCGGGGCAGUUUCUUGGUUUCAUGGUACAUCAAAGGGGUAUUGAAAUUAGUCGAAGACCUAUUGAUGCCAUCAAUAAAAUAGUGGCCCCUACCAACAAAACCGAGCUCCAAUCCUUGAUCGGCAAGGUAAAUUUUAUCAGGAGAUUUAUAUCGAAUUUGUCUGGUAGGAUUCGUGCUUUCAGUCCUCUUCUUAAAUUGAAAGCCGAUCAAGAGUUUAUUUGGGGAGAAGAACAGCAGUUGGCUCUGGAUGAAGUCAAGAAGUAUCUAGUAAAUCCUCCAGUUCUAGUUCCACCUCAACAAGGGAAGCCCUUCAGAUUGUAUUUAUCUACCGAUGGAUCGGUUAUCGGUUCAGCUUUAGUUCAAGAAUUUGAAGGGAAAGAAAGGGUAAUUUAUUAUUUGAGUAGGAGGUUGAUUGAUGCUGAAACCAGGUAUUCGGCCAUUGAGAAACUAUGCUUAUGCUUAUAUUUUUCAUGUAUCAAGCUGAGACAUUACCUGCUAUCGGCCGAAUGCACUGUUGUUUGCAAAGAUGACGUGGUCCGAUACAUGCUAUCUAUGCCGAUUAUGAGUGGUAGGAUCGGUAAAUGGAUUUUAGCGCUGUCGGAGUUCGAUUUGCGUUACGAAUCGGCUAAGGCAGUCAAAGGGCAGAUUAUGGCCGAUUUUGUGACUCAGCAUUGCGGUCUAGUGGAAACCUUGGAAAUUGUACCCUGGACGCUCUUCUUUGAUGGAUCUACCUGUGACCGGGGGGCAGGAAUCGACAUUGUAUUAGUUUCCCCUAAGGGGAGGAAGUAUGAGUUUUCCUUGCCGAUUGUUGCCACAUCAACAAAUAAUCAGGCUGAGUAUCAGGCUCUGAUCAAGGGAUUGGAGUUGUUAAGAGAAGUUCGUGCUGAUGCUGUUGAAAUAUUCGGGGAUUCUAUGUUGGUUAUAAAUCAAUUGGCCGGAAGCUAUGAAUGCCGAAGUGAAGUUCUCAUAACUUAUUUCGAGAGAAGUAUGCAACUGUUAAAGGAAUUCAAGGAUUUCCGAUUGGAGCAUGUUCCCCGAUUGCAUAAUGAAGACGCUAAUCGGUUAGCUCAGCAUGCCUCGGGAUAUCAGCCAAUGAUUAAUGCGACAUCGGCAGUCGGUGCCGGUGAUUGGAGGAAAGAAAUUAUUGAUUAUCUAAAAGAUCCAUCCAAAAAAGUUGAAAGACGGGUUCGAUUUCAAGCAACCAAGUAUGUGCUCCUUGAAAAUGAAUUGUAUUAUCGAACUAUCGACGGAAUUCUUCUCCGAUGCUUGGGUGAUGAUGAAGCUAGAAGUUUGAUGGGGGAAAUCCAUGAAGGAGUGUGUGGAGCGCAUCAGUCAGCUUUUAAGAUGAAGUGGAUGAUUCGAAGGAAUGGAUAUUUUUGGCCAACCAUACUUGAAGAUUGUUUUAAAUAUUUCAAGGGAUGUCAAGGUUGUCAAAAGUUUGGUAAUAUCCAAAGAGCACCCGCAUCGGCUAUGAAUCCUAUAAUAAAGCCUUGGCCGUUCCGGGGAUGGGCCAUCGAUCUGAUCGGCCAGAUUUAUCCACCAUCUAGCAAAGGGCAUAAGUUCAUUCUAGUUGCCACUGACUAUUUCACUAAGUGGGUUGAAGCUAUUCCUUUGAAGAAAGUCACAUCGGCCAAUAUGAUUGAUUUUGUGAAGGAGCAUAUUAUUUACCGAUUUGGGAUUCCCCAAACGAUUACUACCGAUCAGGGCACCAUGUUCACAUCGGGGGAGUUCGAUGAAUUCGCAAUCGGUAUGGGAAUUAAAGUGUUGAAUUCUUCUCCUUAUUAUGCUCAAGCCAAUGGGCAGGCCGAAGCGUCUAACAAAGGAAUUAUCAAGCUUAUUAAACGAAAGAUUGAAGAAAAUCCUAAGCGGUGGCAUACAUUAUUAAAUGAAGCAUUGUGGUCUUAUCGGAUGGCUUGUCAUGGAUCGACCAAAGUAUCACCCUAUCAAUUGGUGUAUGGACAUGAUGCAGUGUUGCCUUGGGAAAUUAAGGCUGGAUCUAGGCGAUUAUCUUUUCAAGAUCAAUUAACUUCCGAUGGUUAUGCCACUUUGAUGACCGAUGAAUUGGACGAUCUAGCAGGGCAUCGGUUAAAAGCUUUAAUGAGUAUAGAAGAAAAUAAGAAGAGAGUUGCUAGAUGGUAUGAUAAGAAAGUGAAGGCUAAAGAGUUUGCCGAUGGGGAUUUGGUAUGAAAAUUAAUUUUACCAAUUGGGACCAAAAGUUCGAAGUUUGGAAAGUGGUCUCCUAAUUGGGAGGGUCCUUAUCGGAUAAGUCGAUCGGCUCCUGGUAAUGCCUACAUUCUAGAAACCCUCGAAGGAAUUGAAUUUCCCAGAGCAUUAAAUGGCAAAUAUUUAAAGAAGUACUACCCCAGUAUAUGGGUCGAUGCAUAGAAGUUUAGGUGCCGAUAACAAUCCUAUCGGCUGGAUCCAAAUGCUUGGGGACAAGACUUGGUGUUUCAAAAGUUUAGGUGCCGAUAACAGUCCUAUCGGCUAGACUAAAAGCUGAGGAAGCAGGAAAGCGCAGAUAUAAUGCCGAUGGAAACUCUAUGUGUUAAGCAGCGUCUGGAUUGCCGAUAUAGCGCGUAGCCGAAUUUGGUUGGCUGCUUCUAUCUCCUUGAUGUCAUCAUCGGCAGAACCUUCUAUCGGCUUCAGCUUCUUCUUCAGUUGAAGUGCCUUGCGACCAUGAGCAUUUCGCUCGUGCUCAAGAAGCCUGAUGGUCUCUGGCAAUUGGCUCUCUUCCUGUUGGGCUUGGGACAGGGCGUUCUCUACUUCCUUGAGCUCCGCCAACAGGGAUUCUUUUCUUGCCGAUAGAUCGGAUAUCUUCUGCUUCAGCGCGUCUCCAGAAGAUCUCAGGAUACCGAUGUUCUUGUGCUUCUCAUCGGUCAAAAGCUUCUCUUUCCUCAUUUCAUCGGAGAGUUGAGUCUGAGCGGCUCUAUCGGCAAGACGCCGAGAAGCUCUCUGGUACUGCAGCUGGCGACUCUCCAGAUGAGCGGCUUGGAACAGGAUUUCUUCAACAUCGGCUGGGAUUUGGCCUCUGAGAGUUCUGAACAGGGUCUUGGUAGGGUCGGAAUCAUCAACCAAUUGCGCUGUGUCCUGGUGAAGGAGACCUGACAAUUCUUCCAGCCUGACCCUGAUCUCUGCCGAUGUGAUGCCGACCGUCUGAGAAGAGCUUGCUUCUUCACCUUCUUCUUCAGAGAGAUCGAUGGCGAAGGAGAACAGGCUAUCGGGAGAAUCUUGUUCCUGGGAGGGAAAGCAAAAUUAGCUCAUACUCAGAGAAUCGGCAAAUAGUGCUAACGGUAAACGGUGACUUACUUGCUUCAAAGCGAUCUCUUGUCUUUGACUGAGAAGUGCUGACGGAGCUGCAGGCUGAUCGGCCAAAGAUGCCGAUGGAGCUACAGGUUGAUCGGCUGAGAUUGCCGAUGGAAUGAUAUCAACUGAAAGAAGACAAAAGGAGUUAUGAGACUAAAUAAGAAUAAGUUCAUCGGUAGCGAUAUUGUUAAAGUAUGUUACCUGGAGGAGGGACAACGGUUGUCUGAACCGGGAGAACUGCCGAUGGUAUAACUGGACCCACCGGGCCAGUUGUUUGUUCACCCAUGUCAGCUGAUGUAUCUUCUGUUUGAGAUCCUUCCUGUUGGGGUUCUUCUAUCUGUGGUGCUUCCUGCACAGGUGGGGGAGAUGGUGCUUGCUGUGGCUGGGCUUCUGGAGAAGAAGGAGAAGACUCCACCGGAAUUGGAGAUACCGGAGGAGGAGGGGGAGUUGCUACCUUCUGGCGCUUUGUUCCAGUCUUAGCACCCGUGGUGCCCUUUCUCUUGGGUUGGCUAGACUGGGGGGCAUCGGUACUCUCACACCUGGCUUUCGCCGAUGCGCCGGUUUGCUGCAAUAAUGAACAAGAGUUUAUAAGCAUAAAUAUAGCCGAUAUAAAGAUAGUCAGCAUAAAGGAAAAGAUUUGACAAAUUGCCUUGAAAGCCCGCGCAAGAGUGGGAGCAGCUACCGUUGGUGAUGUCUGGGUUCUUCUGGUGGUGACUUUCCUGAGGCGUACACCCCGAUGCACGAUGGAAGCUAGAGUGGGAGCAUUGUGGCCGAUUGAGGAAAUCGGGCCUGAUGGAAACAAGUCGAUCGGCCUGCCACUCCUGCUAACCAAUGGAGGAAUAUUGUCAACCUGCAAAAAGAAUACAAGGGUAAGCUGCCGAUGGAGGUAAUAUUGAGAAAAUGAAACGUUGGUUUGAGUUACUUAUAGUGUCAUCGGGAACUUCGUAUUCGGAGUCAAUCAUGCCGCGGUAUGAAAGUGCCGAUCUGCAGAAUAGAUGCUCUUUCCAUUCUGCCCACCAUAACUUGUAUGCCUGAGUGAUAAAAGCAGCCGGAACCCAUUCUGACAGAUCUACAUCUAUAUCGGCGUUUGGUGGUAGUUGGGCUGCUCGAGUCCACUCAAGAAGGUUGUUGAUAGUUUCUCUGGGUUUUAUCACAUCGGCAUAAGGAAGUGCAAUCGGCAACUGGCCGAAAGCUAACUGGCGAGCUAAUGCCGAUGGAUUGUAAAAUUCGUAAGUUUGAGGGGAGGUUUUUGUGCUACCAAAGAAAUUCACUGGAAUGAUUCUGGGAGUCACAAUUGCCAUCAUCGCCUCAUUGUCCCUGUCGAGAGCUUCAUCAAAUGGAUUGAAGGUCAGAGGGAGCAUGUUAUCUGGGUCAUCAUAAGCCAACCAUGGUCGUUCGUCGCUGGUCAAACCCUCAUACAGAGUCUGGAAGAAUCGGCCGAUCUGAUCUGGAUUACCCCCUGAACCAGGCAGAACUAUGACAGCUUCGCCAAAGUUCAAGGGGGCGCGUGUUGCCGAUUCCUCUUCACCCAAUACAUGGUUUUCAGCUAUAUCUAUUGGGAAACGCUGUGUGAAAAGGUUGAAGUUGAGACGCUUGUGCAGAUGCAGAUUGAGCCACAUGUUGACAAACCACCAGGGGCCUCCCAAGUUGCCAGUGGAUUGGCCGAGCAGAAGUUUCUGGGCUACUUGAUGGAGAAGGUGGUAAGCAGCGCCAAGCAAGUAUCGGCCGAGAGGGAAUCGGCCACCGUUAGCCAGUCUUUCUGCUGCCGAUAGGUAGACAGAAGUCGGUCCUGCCGAUCGACCACAGAAUACAAACUUGUCCAGCCACAUGUUCAGAAAGGUGGUUUGUUCCUUUAUGGUGACAGAUCCUUUCCCACGGUACUUCUGAAUGUAUUCUGGGUCGUGGCCAAAGGCAAAAGCAUUGAGGGUGUCUGACCAAAAGUAGGAUGCAGCUAUCAGCAGUGACUCGUUCCUAUGCAUAUCAGCAAUGGACAAUCUAAUGCAUUGGGCUAGAUUCCUUUCACCCCACUGAACUUCAUUAGAGUUGCUGACCCUCAAGAACCAGUCUUUCCACCCUACAGUUGGGCUGGGCCAAGAGCGGAAGGUGUCCUUCCACAGAUCUAAGGAAAAAUUUUCGACUCUGAAGGGGAUCCUGUUGGUUUCUGCGUUGAUAAGGUCAGUUGGAUCUGGGUCCCCUAGAGGGCCGAGGCAUUGAAGGUGUGGUUGAUCGGUGGGGAUGACAAUUUUGUUGGACAAUUCCUAGUGAUUUUGGGCGUAAAAAGAAAUACAAAGAGGAAAGAAAAGGAAGAUGUUCAGUAAAAUGAAUUGCGAGUGAACAGGGAUAUGAAGAAAAAUACAGAAGACGGGGUGGAGAUUUGACCUCAGGGACGACGAACCCGACGGCCAUCUUGCUGCGAAGGAAGCGUUUGAAGGCGCCGGAGUUGGUGAAGAGGAGUACUUGUCGGAGACCUUGGGAGUUUUUGGUGGCGCCGCCGCUGGAAAAGUAAAGUUGGGUAGUAGAAUGGUGUGAUGGGGAAGGAGUACCCAAGAAGGAACUAUUUAUAGGACAAAAUGGGCAAGGGCAAAUCCGACUUAUCUCUUUGCCGCAUCCGAGAAAUCCGAGGGUACUCAGGUGGAUAUGGUAACUGUUCGCACGGUAAUCCAGGGAUUGUGCAGGUGAUUUGACGGGAAGCGGUCAUUAUCUGAAGAUAUUUUACUGUGCGAGAUCUCCUGGUCGGUCCAUCGGCAAUAUUCUAUAACGGUCAUAUUGCCGAUGGGCGGAUAGAGGGGAAGUAACCGUUUGUGCGAAUAUCCUGGUCAGAACAUCGGCAGAUCUUUGUAACGGUAUUGUUGCCGAUGUACGGCUGAGAAAAAUGCCCGUUUAGGAAGUUGGGGAUUUCGAGAAAUCUGCGGAGGAAUAGGAUCAGAGUUGUUCAGAUUGAGGUUGUCGGUUACCAGAUUAGGAGCAUUAAUUGCGGGAAAAGGCAUCAUUACUGCAGAGAAUUUCGGAGCAUUAAUAGUUUUAUACUCCGAAACUGGGGGGCAUGUGUUGACACCGUUUUUGGGCACGUGUCUAGGAUGGCAGGAUAAGGUGGCAGUACGAUGUUUACAAAAGUGGGUUGCCGAUGAGGAUGGUUGCCGAUGAGGGAGAAGUUGAACGUGACUAAGUCCACAGGCAGUAAUAUGGUGCCGAUGGCUAGAUAAGAAAGUCUGCCGAUGACUAUGGCAAAGGGUCUGCCGAUGAUGCAAAGAGGGAGUCCGGAAGCUGCCGGUCGUUAUGUGGAGGAGUUUCGGUUUGUCACGAGGGAUAGUUUUGUUAUUUCCUUAAUUAUUUGCAUCGUUUUGUAUACGGAUUCCGUGUAAUUUGGAAUUCGAAUUCUAAUCAUGUCUGGUUGUAGCUCUUUGAGCAGGGUAUAAAUAUAGACCCUAGGGCCUUGUAAUAAAAAAUCAAUCAAUGAAUCAAACAUACGUUUUUACUCAUAUUCCAGCAUUUACUUUUCGACGACUUCGUCAUACUUUUUCCUUUUGUUACGAGUUCUUAGGAAUUCGUCGACUUAAGCUCGGCGUGUUCUCAAGUUCCGCGUGAGUACCUCUUAGCCGUGACAUCCGGGCGCAUCGCUGUUGUUAGGACUAAAGUAUUCGAGUUAUCACCUUUGCCGAUAGCAAGGUCAAAUCGGCUGGCACGCCUUAACGUUUGAAUCGGGUAUUAGCCCUUUGUGUUUGCAGAUCAGUUUUGCAUCAACAACUACUUGUCAAUACUUGACCACGAAAUAACUCACUUUAUUUUUCUUUCAGGAACAAGAUUCUCCUGAUAGCUUGUUUUCCUUUGCCAUUGAUAUCUCUGAAGACGAAGGUGAGGAAGCAAGCUCUUCUCGGGCAGUUGGAGUCACAUCGGCAGAAAUUAGGGCGAAGUUGGAGGAACUGUCGGCCCUUCUUCAUCAAGACACAGCCCAACUGGUCGACGACUCUAACCCAGCCAAGGCCCUAUUCAAGACCCUCAGAGGCCAAAUUCAUGCCGAUGCUGAAGAAAUCCUCUUUCAAGCUGCACAUCUAGAGAGUCGCCAGCUGCAGUACCAGAGAGCUGCCCAGCGUCUUGCCGAUAGAGCUGCUCAUGCCCAGCUGUCUGAAGAAAUGAUGAAAGUGAAGCUUCUUGCCGAUGAGAAGCACAAGAACAUCGGCAUCUUACAGUCUUCACGAGAUGCAUUGAAGCAGAAGAUUUUUGAUCUAUCGGCGAAAAGGGAAGCCCUGUUGGCAGAACUCAAGCAAGUAGAGGAUGCCUUGUCCCAAGCCCGACAAGAAGAAAGCCAACUGUUGGAGACAAUCAAGCUCCUUGAGCAAGAGCGAAAUAUUCAUGGCCGUAAGGCACUGCAGAUGAAAAAGAAGCUGAAGCCGGUGGACGGUUCUGCCGAUGACGAUGUGAAGGAAAUAGAGGAAGCCAACCAGAUCCGUUUGCGCGCCAUAUCGGCAAUCCAGGCGCUACUAAACACUUGAGCUCUUCAUCGGCGAUACAUCCUCCUCCACCCUUUUGAGCACUCCUAGUACCUUAGUCUAGCCGAUAGGACUGUUACCCGCACCUUUCAAAACACUAAGUUGCGCUCCAGAUACAUUUUGAUCCAGCCGAUAGGAAUGUUAUCGGCACUUAAACUUUUCAUGCAUCGACCCAUAUGCUGGGGUAGUACUUCUUUAGAUAUUUGCCAUUUAAUGCUCUGGGAAACUCAACUCCUUCGAGAGUUUCUAGAAUAUAGGCAUUACCAGGAGCCGAUCGACUUAUCCGAUAGGGACCCUCCCAAUUGGGAGACCACUUCCUAAAUUUUGAACUUUUAGUCCCGAUCGGUAAGAUCAUUUUCCAUACCAAAUCUCCAUUGGCAAACUCUUUAGCCUUUACUUUCUUGUCAUACCAUCUGGCAACCUUCUUCUUAUUCUCUUCUAUACUCAUCAAGGCCUUUAGCCGAUGUCCUGUUAGAUCAUCUAACUCAUCUGUCAUCAAAGUAGCAUAAUCAUCGGCAGCUAAUUGAUCUUGAAAAGAUAUUCGCCUAGACCCAGCCUUAAUUUCCCAAGGUAGCACUGCAUCAUGCCCAUACACCAAUUGAUAAGGUGAAACUUUGGUUGAUCCGUGACAAGCCAUCCGGUAUGACCAUAAAGCUUCAUUCAAUAAUGUGUGCCACCUCCUAGGAUUUUCUUAAAUCUUUCGUUUGAUAAGCUUGAUAAUUCCUUUGUUAGAUGCCUCGGCCUGCCCAUUAGCUUGAGAAUAAUAAGGAGAAGAAUUUAAUACCUUCAUUCCCAUACCGAUUGCAAAUUCAUCGAAUUCCCCCGAUGUGAACAUAGUACCCUGAUCGGUAGUAAUUGUUUGAGGGAUUCCAAAUCGGUAAAUAAUAUGCUCUUUCACAAAAUCGAUCAUAUUGGCCGAUGUAAUUUUCUUCAAAGGAAUAGCUUCAACCCAUUUGGUGAAAUAAUCAGUGGCAACCAAGAUAAACUUAUGCCCUUUGCUAGAUGGUGGAUAAAUCUGACCAAUUAAGUCAAUAGCCCAUCCCCGGAACGGCCAAGGUUUGACAAUAGGAUUCAUGGCUGAUGCGGGUGCUCUUUGAAUAUUACCAAAUAUCUGACAGCCUUGACACCCUUUGAAAUACUUAAAGCAAUCCUCGAGUAUGGUCGGCCAAUAAUACCCAUUUCUUCUAAUCAUCCACUUCAUCUUGAAUGUUGAUUGGUGUGCUCCACACACUCCCUCAUGGAUCUCUCCCAUCAAAUUCCUAGCCUCAUCAUCACCUAAGCACCUGAGGAGAAUCCCAUCAAUAGUUCGGUAAUACAACUCAUCUUCAAGGAGCACAUACUUGGUAGCUUGAAAACGAACACGCCGCUCAACUUUUUUGGAUGGAUCCUUCAAAUAAUCAAUGAUUUCUUUCCUCCAAUCAUCGGCACCGAUUGCUGAUAUUGCAUUAAUCAUGGGCUGAUAUCCCGAGGCAUGCUGAGCCAACCAAUUGGCCUCUUCAUUAUGCAAUCGAGGAACAUGCUCUAAUCGGAAAUCCUUGAAUUCCUUCAACAGUUGCACACUCCUUUCGUAAUAAGUUAUGAGGACUUCACUUCGGCAUUCAUAGCUUCCAGCCAAUUGAUUUAUAACCAGCAUAGAAUCCCCAAAGACUUCAACAGCAUCAGCACGAACUUCCCUCAGCAAUUCCAAACCCUUUAUCAAAGCUUGAUACUCAGCCUAAUUAUUCGUAGACAUGGCAACAAUUGGCAAGGAAAACUCAUACUUCCUUCCUCGAGGGGAAAUCAAUACUAUGCCGAUUCCUGCCCCUCGGUCACACGUGGAUCCAUCAAAGAAGAGCGUCCAAGGUACAAUUUCCAAAGCCUCCACUGUACUGCAAUGUUGAGUUACAAAAUCGGCCAUAAUCUGCCCCUUAACCGCUUUGGCCGAUUCGUAACGCAGGUCGAAUUCCGACAACGCCAAAAUCCACUUACCGAUCCUGCCACUCAUGAUCGGCAUAGACAGCAUGUAUCGGACCACAUCAUCUUUGCAUAUGAUAGUGCAUUCGGCCGAUAACAAAUAAUGUCUCAACUUAAUACAGGAGAAGUACAAGCAUAAGCACAGCUUCUCAAUAGCCGAAUACCUAGUCUCAGCAUCGAUCAACCUCCUGCUUAAAUAGUAAAUCACAGGUUCCUUCCCUUCAAAUUCCUGAAUCAAAGCCGAACCGAUGACCAUCUCAUCGGUAGACAGAUACAAUCUGAAGGGUUUCCCUUGCUGAGGUGGAAUCAGGACUGGAGGAUUCACCAAAUAAUUCUUGAUUUCAUCCAAGGCCAAUUGUUGCUCCUUCCCCCAAACGAAUUCUUGAUCGACUUUCAACUUAAGCAAAGGACUGAAAGCACGAAUUUUACCAGAUAAAUUAGAUAUAAAUCUCCUGAUAAAAUUUACCUUGCCGAUCAAGGACUGGAGCUCAGUCUUGUUGGUAGGAGCAACUAUUUUGUUGAUGGCAUCAAUGGAUCUUCGACUAAUUUCAAUCCCCCUUUGAUGCACCAUGAAACCAAGGAAUUGUCCUGCCGAUACACCAAAUGCACACUUAUUGGGAUUCAUCUUCAACCCGUGCUUCCUUGUACACUCCAAUACCUUCCUUAAAUCGGCAAGAUGCUUUGCAAAAUCUCCAUACUUAACCACCACAUCAUCUCCACCAGCUUACCGAUGAACACAUGGAACAUAAAAUUCAUGGCCCUCUGAUAAGUAGCACCAGCAUUUUUCAAGCCAAAGGUCAUAACUAUCCAUUCAAACAGUCCAACAUGACCAGGACAUCAAAAUGCAGUCUUUGAAAUAUCUUCUUCAGCCAUGAAUAUUUGAUUGUACCCUGCAUUCCCAUCCAUAAAGCUGAUAAUCCGAUGCCCAGCCGCAGCAUCAACUAGCAGAUCGGCAACUGGCAUCGGGUAGCCGUCCAUCGGUGUAGCUUUGUUGAGAUUUCUGAAAUCAAUGCUAACCCGAAGCUUUCCAUUCUUCUUGUAGAGUGGGACCACAUUAGAAAUCCAUUCGGCAUACUGGCACUGCCGAAUAAAUUUAGCUUCAAUCAGUUUGGUUAUUUCGGCCUUAAUAUCAGGAAGAAUAUUAGGAUUACAUCGGCGAGUUGGCUGUUGAUGUGGCCGAAAUCCAGACUAGAUAGGCAACCUAUGUUCAACAAUUGAUCGGUCCAAACCAGGCAUCUCAGUAUAAUCCCAAGCAAAGCAAUCUUUAUACUCCUUUAAUAAAUCAGUUAACUGUUGCUUACACUCAGAACUUAAUUUAGCACUAAUAAAAGUAGGUCUAGGUUUAUCACCACUACUUAUGUCUACCUCUACUAGAUCAUCAGCCGAUGUGAAUCCCUGGCCUAACUUUCCAUCAUCGGCGAACCUAUCCAUUAAAAACCCUCAUCAGAACCGACUGCUUGGAUCGGUGGAAUUUCAUAAUCGGCAACCUUGAGAAAAUCCUUUUCCCAAACUUCUCCUGAAAUACACCUAGUCCUCUCAUAGGUGUCCGCCUCUGCUGAUGCAAUGACGUAAGAAGAAUCUCCCGGGACAAUCUCAAUCUUGUUACCUACCCACUGAACCAACCACUGGUGCAUCGUAGACGGGAUGCAACAAUUGGCAUGAAUCCAUUCUCUUCCCAACAGCAAGUUGUAUGCACCUUUUCCAAUGAUCACGAAGAAAGUCGUCGGCAAGGUUUUGCUGUCGAUGGUCAACUCAACACAUUGCUCCCUUGACUGGAGAGACGUUUCCCUCGAAGUCUUUUAGCAUCAUAUCGGGCUUGGUCAAAUCCUGAUCUCCUUUCCCAAGCUUCCGAUACACUGCACAUGGCAUGAUAUUGAUAGCAACUUCACCAUCAACUAGAAUUUUAGUCAUUGGCUGACCAUCCACUCUCCCCUUGACAAACAGAGCUUUAAGGUGUUGCCUUUCAUCAUCAGCAGGCUUCUCAAAGAUGGCAGUCAUCGGAUCUAGAGCCAACUGAGCUAUCUGGUCGGAAAACUCCAACUCGUCAUCACUGGAUGGUGCAAGGAACUCCAUCGGUAACAUAAAUACCAUGUUGACAUCUGCCGAUGGACCUUUCCCAAUGGGAUCUGAUUGCUGCUGAUCUCCAGACUGGCCAGAGUUCUCGUCCUUGCUUAGCUCUUCUUGUCUUUCGCGCUGCAGCCUCUUCUUCUGCGUCCUGGUCAACCCCUCUAGACACCAUGGGGGAAGUUGCUGCUGCCUUACCGAUGGACGAUAAACUUCCCUUGACUCCAUUGGAUAAGUAUUGGCAUCGCUGCAAAAUAUGAAUUCAUCGGGAACCCGAGCAUUAGCCAUCUUUUCAAGUUGUUCCUGGCUCCUGGGGAAAUAUCCAACACAAUCACCGAGCCUGUCAUGCACACUGAGCCUGCCCCCCAGCCGAUCGUGGACAGACGUUCUCCCCUUAAUCGGCCCAUUAAGUCGCCGAUCAUCAUCAUGAUAGCGCAGAUCGGACCUGUCGUACCGAUCAUAAAUGUUGCACUCAGGGCAAUCUCUAACAGUGGGAAGUUCAAUAUUUUCCACCCAACAAUGUAUGAAGAAGGGACAAUUCCAGUGGUCCCUAUGCCGAUUCCAUUCCUGCCGGCGUCUUUCCUCUUCCCGACUAUAACCCUCUUGCUGGUGCCGGUACCGAUCCUCACGUUGCUGCCAAGUCUCCCGAGGCCUUCUGUGAGUUAUCACAAUAUCAGACCGGGGAGGCCUCCCUGAGUUAGAUCCCUCCUGGAUCAGCCCUUUUCCCUUCGCAUCGGCAGUAGUGAUCUGAUGUUGAGGAUCCACCGAUGCACUUCUUUCAGCUGCUUCCGAUGUUAAGACCUUGAUCUUUCCCUUAGCAUCCAGCAUGUUUGUUGGGAAAGGAUGUUGAUCAAUCUUCAUCGGCUUCUGGGCUUUGGAGCUGUCAAAUUUGACCCUCCCAGAUUCUAUAGCCGAUUGCAGUUGUUGCCUAAAAACUUUGCACUCAUUGGUACCGUGAGAAGUUGCAUUGUGCCAUUUGCAGUACUUCAUCUUCUUCAAUUCUUCAGCCGAUGGGAUCACAUGAUUUGGUGACAAUUUGAUCUGACCUUCCUGAAGUAGAAAGUCAAAUAUCCGAUCGGCCUUAGUGAUGUCAAACGCAAACUUCUCUGGCUCUUUAUGCCCAAAAGGGCAAGACAUCGGCUUCUUGUUUUUCACCCACUCCGCCAAGCCGAUGACUAGUUCUUCAUCAGAAUCCGAGCUCACUGCCUCAUCAACAAAGGACACCUUCUUGUUCCAUGCUCUCUUAGGUUCAAACGGCUUGAUAUCUUGAUCAGAAAUCCUCUGCACCAAAUGACUUAAGCUUUCAAACUCCUGAGAUGCAUAUUUAUCUCUGAUGUGUGGCAGCAAACCCUGGAAAGCCAAAUCAGCUAACUGCCGAUCAUCCAGAACCAGGCUAUAGCACUUGUUCUUAACCUCCCGCAAUCUCUGUACGAAGCUCUCAGCCGAUUCAUCAUUACGUUGCUUCAAUCUGACUAAAUCGGUAAUCUUCUUUUCAUGAAUCCCGGAGAAGAAAUACUUGUGAAACUGCUUUUCUAGAUCGGCCCAAGUAAUCACUGAAUUAGGAGGUAACGAUAUAAACCAGGUGAACGCCGAUCCAGACAAUGAUGACGAGAACAACCGAACCCUUAACUCGUCCCGGUUAGCAGCUUCUCCACAUUGGAUGAUGUACCUGUUGACAUGCUCCAUAGUUGACGUAUCGUCCUGCCCAGAAAACUUAGUAAAAUCCGGUACUUUGUACCGAUUUGGAAGCGGGAUUAAAUCAUAUGCAGGAGGAUACGGUGUCCGAUAAGAGUAAGUGUUGACUUUGGGUUUUAUCCCAAAUUGGUCUCUCAUUACUUCAGCAAUCUUAUCGGCCCAAUAGGCAUCGGCAUAUUGCCGAUGAGGUGGUUGCGGAUCUGGCACCUGCUAGUAAGCUUCCACAUGUCUAUGCGGUGCACGAAUUGCAUGGAAUAUUGGAUUAAUCAUUUGGCUACCGACCUGCUGACCACCGAGCUGUUGGCCACUCAGAUGUUGACCGAGAUUCAUCGGCUGAUUGACUGCCCCUUGAUUCUGGAACCCAAGAUAGAUCUGGCCUUGCUGAAACCCCGUAGCCUGCUGAUUCUGUUGGGACAUGUGUGGAAAAACUGACUGCUCAGGCCAUCCAAUGUUAGCGUUCAUCGGCAUAGGACCUGCCGAUGACUGGUAAUUGGGCAUGAUCAUUGAAUUGACAUACCCUGGCUGAGUCACAAACCUCUGUUGCAUCAGCAUUGAAUUUGCCGAUGCAUUAGGCAUCUAGAACGUUGGAGCUUGAGAAUUCCCAGUGUAAGGCCUUGCAGUAGUGGUUGUAGUAUACUGGGGGCUCUGAUUCAUCGGCAUACUUGGAGGUGCCGAUGUCAUGGGAGCCUUGCCGUUGGGUAUUCUUAACAUCAUUACCAAUAGUAGACUAAGUUCUCUAAAUCUAGUAACGGUGCCAAAAAUGCCAAACCUAUCCCUCACACCACUUAAGCCAAGUUGUCAUCCCCAGCAUGAUAUGAGAGACGCGGUAUUGAAAUAUGCAAUUGCUCUUCUAAAUAAAUAAUGAAUUUGAUCUGCAAGCGCACAGAUUAAUACCGAUGUAGCAUUUUAACCGGGAAGUAUUCCAGGUAUCGUUAUUUAUAUUUUUACCACUGGGAAGGGAUUAACAAUCAUCACUAUUGAUUAUAGAAUAGAAUAUGAGAUUGAGUAUCUAUCAUUGCAUGUAUAAUUGAGAACAUUUAUCUAACUCUUUCAUACAGGGGUAAGUGUCACAUAAAAGAUAUAUGAAAUAAUGAAUAGUGACAAAGAUAAUUAUUCGGAUCAGCCACAUAUAAAUAUGAUAAGCACCUCAAUUAGAUACUCUAGAAAGUCAUUAGCAUGGAAUUAGAACGAACUACAAGAAUAUUUCCUAAGUUAUUCUCAACUAUAUAGUUUAGCAUUAUCAUAAUUAGUGCAAGCAUACUUAGCAAUCAUUGCGAGACAAGACUACGCCCAUGCAUAGUGAUAUUAGCAAGGUAAAUGAGAAAUAUAGCAAUCACUCCCCUAUAAUAAUGUUGCUCUGCCAACCCAAUACACGAGAGGGGGACUAUAUAAGAAUCAAUGAAGCUGUCACUAUCACGAACUACCCCACGAUCUGGCAUAUUGGGUACAAUCGCAGAUAAAUACGGUAUAAGCACCACGCCUACACAAUAUCUAUCAUUUACCUAUGGAUCCGAUGGAUAAACGCUAUACGAUCCUAGACAUGUAUAUAGAUCCAAUCUAACUAAGCCAAGUACAUAAUUGUUGGGUAUUUUAAACGCAAACAGAAAAAUCCGCAAGCGCACGGAUACCGAUGUAGCUUUCACCCGGGAGUAUUCUAGAGUAUCGAUUUUCCACAGGGAACGUGAGUGUACUAAUUAAGACUCAAGAUCGCCCAAGGAUAACUAUAUAAUUAUUUUUUGAUGGGAAGAGAGGAACUUUCCUGAGAGUUCUCUAGUUGAUCUAAGAAUCAAGAAUUACUUCAAGAUUAUCUAUAUCGGGACAUCAGAGCACUAACCACAGAAAGAUAUGAGAAGGGGGCUAGGAAGGUCUGACUACGGUCCUACAAACACCGAUCCGAACGUGGUGGAAUACGUCGACCGUUAGGGCUGUCACUACCCUAAGGCUACCACAACAAUCCGCAGGAUUGGGUGCAAUUCCAGGUAAUUGCAAGACUAAACACCACGUCUAAUCUAUUAAUUACUACUCUAAUGUUUCAAAGAUUAGAGCACUUGAUGCAAGUGGGAAUCCAAUAAAUAACUUGAAUGUAAAUAAAAGUAAUUAGAGAACUCAGGAGUUAUGAGUUGAAGAACCUGGAGAACGAUGAAGAACGAACCAGAUGCUGCAAAAGUACAAUGUUGAGGAAGAUCCGACAGAUCCGGCUCCUCCUCCGCUCUCCUCUUCUCUCUCCCUAUUUUCUAGAUUACAACUAGAACUAACUAGAACUAGAACUAGAAGAACUAGAACUAGAACUAGAUGAACUAGAACUAGAUCUAGAUGAACUAGAGGUAGAACUAGAAGAACUAGAGGGAUCCUCUCUACUUGGAUGAAGAAUUGAAACCCUAGCUUUGAUUCUAUAGAAGAGGUAUGAUCUCCACGGGCCAGGGGGGUCUGGUUUUAUAGUCCCUUCAAGUGAAUCUGGGCCAUCGGAUCAAACCGACAUUGAUCAUGUGGUUUUCCUUGAAGUAUUAGGUCGGUGGAGCAAUAUCCCGAAAGAGAGUCCUGAUUGGACUCUGGCUGAGGGCGGGCGCCCAGGAAAGGAGGGCGGGCGCCCUGUCCCUGUGUCCUCUCGGCCUCCGCUUCGGUCCCGUGGCUUCUGGAGUCUUCUAGAUGAUAGAAAAUUGCGCGGCACGUUAAUAUCUCUAUGUAAACCCGACGUGUGGGCCUUUCUUUUAUAUUUCCUGAUAACCCCCUGCAGAAAUAGACAAACACCAAAACUUGUCGAAUUCUGUCAGAUAAAACCCUAAGUAUAGGUGUUGGUUGCAUUUGGAUCCUUUUCUAUGAUUAAUUGAUGGUUAAAUGUGAGCAUUAAGGACCGUCAACAAGCUCCCCCAAGCUUAACCUUUGCUCGUCCCUGAGCAAAGAUAGACUCAAGAGUUUUCUGCAGUGGUUUCAUUCCUUAAAGAUACACAUGCGUUUAAACAAGAUCUCAUCUCUGGUUAGAGUAAACUGUUAAGAUUUAAACUUACUCAUUUUACCUUUCACCAUGGGACUUGUAACCGUCACUUCUGUCUUGAGUAGUUAAAAGAUAGAACAGUCUAUUCAAGCACCAUGUCUCUUGUUCUUCGAUUAACUAAAGCUCUGGAGUUUUUGCAGAUUUUCAAAUAAAACUCAGAGAUUCCUUGUAUGACUCUCUCUAGUCUCUCUUUUGUGGUAUUUCUGGAUCCUUACCAAGGCAGUAAUGGUGUAUGCCUUCUCUCAAAGUAUGUGGUAUUUUUGGUAUGAGGCAUAGUGACAUUGCCUUCUCUCUCACCCUACUCUAAUAAGGCUUUUGAUAUCUGGAGCUCAUAGGUGGGAGACAGCUAAUACAUACUUACAAGACAUUUAUUGCAUAGUCAACCCAUGGAUCCAGAAGAACAAGUCAAUAAGUCAAAUCAAGAUGUGCAUGUGUGGCGAAUGAAUGGUGUAUGGUAAUGAUGGUGAUAACAAUGGUGAAAGUCUAAUUCUACUUAUGCUCUUUUGAGGGGAUACAUACCUUUCUUGCUCUUUUGAAACUUUUUGAGGAGAAUGAGAUGCUCUAUAUUUUCUUUUUCUUUCUUUUUUUGUAUUUUUUUUCUUUUCUCUCAGGUGGGUAUCUUGUACCCCUAAUUUGUGGGGGUAUAAACCCCUAUACCCUUACGGCUAGAUUUCGGCCAGGAGGCUUGGUCCAUUACGAGACGAGUUCAAGGCUUGAUCCGACAACCUGGAGUUUCGCGCAAGGAAACAAGAUGUGGAGAUCAAGCAGGAUUCUAGUCGGUUAGAAUAGGAAUUGACAUCGAAUUAUCCAUGGCAAUUGUAACCGACUAGGAUUAGUUUCCAGAUCUGUAACCCCGCCCUCCAGACUAUAUAAGGAGGGGCGAGGGACCCCCCUAGGACAUCAUAUUCUCUCAGCACAAAUCAAUACAACCAGACGCAGGACGUAGGUAUUACGCCAACUCGGCGGCCGAACCUGGAUAAAAAGCUUGUCCGUGUCUUGCGUCACCAUCGAGUUCGUAGUUUGCGCACCGUCUACCGAUAAACUACUACCGAGGGUAUACCCCAAGGUAGAUUGCCGACUAGCUUUCGUCGACAGUGGCGCGCCAGGUAGGGGGUGUGCGUGCAACUUUUCCGGCGAACAAGAUGGUCACGAUCCCAGCUUCCGCGACCGUGCCCGAAGGCCUUAUGUUCACCGUCGGCCAGAUCACGUGGACGACGUGCAGCGGCGGCUUCGCGACCACGGUUCCAAAAGAGAUCCAGAUCCAAUCUGAGAUCACGCCGUCUCCGACCACACGCAUGACGGCACCAAGCGCCCGACCACCGUUCCCACUCUACAAGGGAAAGGAGAUCGACUGCUCGGACCUCCUCCAAGCGCUCGAUCGCGCUGACUCCAAGCUACUCGAAGUCUCCCAGCUAAUAGACGGAGUUCUGCGCCGGCCCGACCAAGCUGCUCGAGCGGAUUUUUCGAAAUCCCGCCGGCCAACUCGUGUCGCCACACACGAACGGCUGGGAACGUCCCUGACGAUAACCUCAACCCCCUCAGGACGAUCCGUCGAGCUCAAAGAGGAAGUCUAUCCUUGCGGCCUGAACAACUCGGCCUCUGUUUACUCACAGCAUGUCCAAUCCGUUUUCAGCAAGGCGGGUUGGUCGCCGACAAGGAACAAUCGUCACCAUGUCAACAUGGUGACAAUCCGAGAGCUACGGGACGGCCAGGUUUCCAGCACCAACUCAAGCACCGGCUCCGUCCCCACCGAGGUUAUAAACACCGAAGACGAGGGCUACGACCUGGAUUUUCCUUCACACCCUCCGGGUUUCGACCGAUUCCCGAUAUCCCCCCCCCGGCGAGGGGAUAUUGUGUUCAAUGUCAGCGCCGACGAACCGGCUGUUGACGGAGAAACAGAUGACCAGAGGCAACUCCGCGAACAGCGUAACGCCGAUCGCGCCCGACGGCGUGCGGACGAGCAACAACAGAUGCCACCAAGUAACCUCAACGAUGCCUUUGACAUGGUCGGGGACCAGCCAGUCUACAAAACGCCAAGCGCCAACGUGGCUGUCGCCAUGGCCAAUCUGGAUCGGCUUCCUGACACCCCCGAAUGCCAGGGAGUCCGGACCAGCAUCCGAGCACACUUGAUCGCCGCAAUGGGACAGACAGCCACUCUGCUCAAGAGAGUCCAGGACGUCUCUUAUACGGAAGCCGCCUCCGACCAGACUAAUCGUAGCCAGGUCUCACCCAGCAGGCGUCACCACAGCCGCUCCCCCGACAACCGUCGAGGGGACUCGCGGCGCGACGAUGGUGGUCGGGACGCCGAUGGCCGUCGCAAGCAAAUUCAUGGCGUACGCGGCCAAGAAGAAGAUCAACACAGGGAUCUCCGCCACAACAUCCCUCCCAAAGACGCCCGGGACCGCAUCAACAGGCGCGCCGCAGAGAGAGCAGUCCACGAAAACCUGCGCCGCAUCGAGUACGAUGCGACCCACGGUCCUCCGGGCCUAAGACAGUUCUCCUCACACCUCCGCCAGGUCGUGUGGCCCCGCAAUUUCAAGCUCGAAAAACUUAAAAAAUACGACGGCAAGGAAAAUCCAGAGAACUGGAUCACUCUCUAUGAAAUCGCCGUCCGAUCAGCGCAGGAGAUGAGCACGUCAUGGCUAACUACUUCACCGUAGUCCUCGACCAGGCUGGUCAUCAGUGGCUUCUCGGCUUGCCCGAGGACUCCUUCGACUCUUGGGAAGAGCUACGCCAGGCUUUCAUCGACAACUUCAUCGCCACAUGCGAGUAGCCCGGAAACAAGUAUGACCUUGAAAGGAUAAGAGACAGGAAGAAUGAACCUCUGCGCGAUUACAUCCGACGAUUCUCGGAUAUGCGCCUCAAAAUCCCGAAGAUUUCUCAUGACGAGGCCAUAUCAGCCUUUAUCAAGGGCUUGCGUUUCCAUGAAGCGCUGAGGAACAAGCUGUUGCGUAAGCGCCCAUCAACGGUAGCAGAGCUCCUCGCUACGGCUAAAAAUUACGCCGAUGCUGAUGACGCAGAAAAACUAAUCCGAGACGAUGCGAGAGGCCCCGACCAGCCUUCCCGGCGAGAUUACGGUCGUGGUCGCUACGACAACAGAAAUCACCGCCGCUCCGACAACCGCGAUCACCGAGAGGGUUGGGAUCGGCGGCGCGACAGCCGCGACGACUUCAGAGGAAAGCGCCCUCGCGAAUACGACCACGAAGUAAAUACGGUCAAACGUCCCAAUGGACGACGGGACUACCAAGACGACUACAACAAAACGUUGAAGGGACCGUGCCAGCUACACCCAAAGUCUAACCAUACCAUGGAAGAGUGCCGCGUCCUCAAAAGUAUCUAUACACGGCGGGCCGCCCAAGAGGACUCCGCCAAGAAAAAUAACAAGCGCGACGGGCACGACCACGAAGAUGAGGAUGAGGACCAAGACAGGGACCCCCGACACCAAUACGUCAGCCCCACCGACGUGGUCCACUCCAUUUUCGGGGGCAAGGUCUCCACUGAGUCCAAGCGAGAAAGAAAGCUGUUAAAGAGAGCCUGCCUCAACAUAGACAGCACGGACGGGCUGAUCGCAGAUCCGAAAUUUCCCGCGUGGUCCCACAGGGAGAUCUCGUUCAGCAGGAAGGACCAGUGGGCCGCUAUCCCAGAGCCGGGUCGUUUCCCACUGAUUCUUGAUCCCUGCAUCAACAGCAUCAGAUUCGAGCGCGUGCUCGUGGACGGGGGAAGCUCCAUCGACAUCCUCUUCCGCAACAGCCUGCCCGCCCUCAAGAUAUCACCGGCACAACUAAAACCUUACGACGCCCAAUUCUGGGGGGUUUUGCCAGGUCAAAGUUCGGUGCCCCUCGGACAGAUAACAUUGCCUGUCCAAUUCGGCACACCCGAUCACUUCCGGACGGAGUUCAUCAACUUCGUAGUCGCGGAUUUCGACGGGACCUAUCACGCCAUACUGGGCCGCCCAUCGCUGACAAAGUUCAUGGCAGUCCCGCACUACUCAUACCUAGUCCUUAAGAUGCCCACGGAGAAGGGUGUCCUAACCAUCAGAGGCAACGUUUACACCGCGUACACCUGCGAAGAAGAAAGCUUCAAGAUCACCGAGGCAAUCGACCUCUCAAUCCGCAUGGCGGAAACAGCAAACCAAGCCGCACAGCUGCCUCCCGACCAGCUCCGAUUACCUGAGCAGGAGACAGCCAGAAAGAACUCGAAAUCCAAGGAGUACAAAGAAGUGCAGCUGGUCGAAGGCAACCCCGAGAAGACAGCCCUCAUCGGGGCUAACCUGGAUCCAAAAUAGGAAGACGCGCUCGUCAGGUUUCUAAGGGACAACGUGAGCGUUUUCGCAUGGAAACCCGCAGACAUGCCCGGUGUCCCACGAAACCUGAUCGAGCACUCCUUAAAUGUCUCGAAGACCGCAAGACCAAUCAAGCAAAAACUGCGACGGUUCGCUCGUGACAAAAAGGAGGCUAUUAGGACAGAAAUAACACGGCUUCUAGCAGCCGGAUUCAUAAAAGAAGUGUAUCACCCCGAUUGGCUCGCCAAUCCGGUUCUUGUACGCAAAAAGAAUAAUGAAUGGAGAAUGUGCGUUGAUUACACCGAUCUCAACAAACACUGUCCUAAAGAUCCUUUUGGUCUUCCUCGCAUCGACGAGGUGGUCGACUCAACGGCCGGAUGCGAACUCCUCUCCUUUCUAGAUUGCUACUCUGGUUAUCACCAGAUCUCGCUAAAGGAAGAAGAUCAGAUCAAAACAUCCUUCAUCACACCCUUCGGCGCAUACUGCUACACUACCAUGUCUUUCGGACUUAAAAACGCCGGGGCCACUUAUCAAAGGGCCAUCCAGCAAUGCCUCCACGACGAGAUUCGCGAUGACCUCGUCGAGGCCUAUGUGUUCGACGUGGUCGUAAAAACAAGGGACGCGGGCACCCUAAUCGACAACUUAGACCGAACCUUCAAGGCACUCAAUAGGUACAAGUGGAAGCUCAACCCCAAGAAAUGCAUUUUCGGCGUUCCUUCCGGUCUACUGCUCGGCAACGUCGUCAGUCGCGACGGCAUACGACCAAACCCUUCAAAAGUCAAAGCCGUACUCGACAUGCGACCACCGAAGAACGUCAAGGAUAUUCAGAAGCUAACCGGAUGCAUGGCCGCCCUCAGUCGUUUCAUCUCAAGGCUGGGAGAAAAAGGCCUCCCUUUCUUCAAACUAUUGAAAGCGUCAGAAAAAAUUUCUUGGACAAAGGAAGCUGACGCUGCGUUCACUCAGCUUAAGACCUUCCUCACUUCACCACCUGUCCUCACAGCGCCUCAGCCCAAUGAAGACCUACUCCUUUACAUUGCUGCAACCGACAGGGUUGUUUCCACGGCAAUAGUGGUCGAGCGAGAUGAACCAGGGCACGUCUUCAAGGUCCAGAGACCCGUUUACUUCAUAAGCGAAGUCUUAAACGAGUCCAAGGCCAGGUACCCACAAAUACAGAAGCUUAUAUACGCCAUCCUGAUAACGUCAAGAAAGCUGAAGCACUACUUCGACGGCCAUCGAGUCCUGGUGACAACCAGCUUUCCUCUCGGGGACAUCCUGCGCAAUAAAGACGCCAAUGGCAGAAUCGUGAAAUGGGCAAUGGAAUUAUGUCCAUUUUCCCUGGAGUUCCAGAGUCGCACCACUGUCAAGUCUCAAGCCCUGGUCGAUUUCAUUGCCGAAUGGGCGGAUCUCAACGAGCCUUCCCUUCCCGAUGUCUCAGACCACUGGUCAAUGUUCUUCGACGGGUCCUUGAACAUCAACGGUGCAGGCGCUGGGAUAUUGUUCGUAUCACCCAACAAGGACAAACUCCGUUACGUCCUUCGGAUCCUUUUUCCGGCGUCAAACAACGUCGCCGAAUACGAAGCAUGCUUGCAUGGCAUACGACUAGCCGUUGAACUGGGGGUCAAGCGCCUCUAUGUCUACGGCGACUCCGCUUUGGUCAUCAACCAGCUCAACAAGGAGUGGGACGCAACCCACGAGAAGAUGGAUCUCUACUGCAAAGAAAUUCGCAAAUGGGAAACUAACUUCUAUGGCAUAGAGUACAUCCACGUGGUCCGGGAUAAGAACCAAGCAGCAGAUGCGUUGUCAAAGUUAGGCUCAUCUCGGGCCCAAAUCCCGCGGGGUAUUUUCGUCCAGGACAUCCAUGGGCCGAGCGUAAGCUCCCCCCUGGUCGACAAGCAACCCACCGAGGCAAUGCUCAUAGAUGACGCCACUCCGACAACCGGUGGACGUGACUGGCGUACCCCGUUCAUCAAAUACAUAUCAGACGGGACAGGCUUUCAGGACAAAACAGAGAACGAGCGCCUCAUCCGACGAUCAAAGAACUACAUCCUGGUCGACGGAAAACUCAUGCAGAAAAACGCAAGCUCCGAAGUACUGCUCAAGUGCAUACCCCAAGAUGAUGGUAUCAAGCUCUUGGAGGACAUACACGCUGGAUCCUGCGGCAAUCACGCCGCAUCUAGAACGCUAGUCGGAAAGGCUUUCCGAGCAGGUUUUUAUUGGCCAACCGCAGUCGGCGACGCAGAAAAACUGGUUCGGCAUUGCGAAGGAUGUCAGUUUUUCGCUAAGAGGACCCACGUACCUGCCCAUGAAAUUCAAACCAUCCCGUCGUCUUGGCCCUUUGCUUGCUGGGGGCUUGACAUGAUCGGACCAUUUAAACCAGCCCCGGGCAAUUUCAAGUUUGUCUUCGUGUUAAUCGACAAGUUCUCCAAGUGGAUUGAAUACAUGCCCCUGGUCAAGGCAACCUCCGAGAAGGCUGUGGAGUUCCUCAAUCAAAUCAUACACAGAUUCGGCAUCCCGAACAGCAUAAUCACCGACCUGGGCACUCAGUUUACUGGCACCACUUUUUGGGAUUUCUGCGAUGACAGAGGCAUAGUCAUAAAAUAUGUGUCAGUGGCACAUCCACGUGCCAACGGUCAAGUCGAACGUGCUAAUGGAAUGAUCGUUGACGCCCUAAAGAAAAGGCUGUACACCGAAAACGACAGAGCACCCGGUCGAUGGAUGAAAGAAUUGCCGGCAGUGGUCUGGGGCCUCCGAACUCAGACCAGUCGAAACACAGGGGUGUCUCCCUACUUCAUGGUGUACGGUGCAGAGGCGGUCUUGCCGUCUGACAUACACUUCGGAUCUCCUAGAAUCGAGCAUUUCGACCAGGCGACCGCCGACAACGCCAGAGAACUCGAAAUCAAUUGCAUGGAGGAAAAGCGUUUAGUUUCGUGUCUCCGAACAGCAAAAUAUCUCGCGGCAGUCAGGCGAUACUACAACAGGAACGUCAAGGACCGUUCCUUCGUGGUCGGCGAUCUGGUGCUUCGAUGGAAAACAAGCCAGGAGGGAAUGCACAAGCUAUCCACUCCCUGGGAAGGACCCUUCGUGGUGACCGAGGUCACACGACCUACGUCCUACAGAUUGGCAUACCCAGAUGGAACACGAGUACCUAACUCUUGGCACAUCGACAAACUGCGACGUUUCUAUCCAUAAAGUUUUAAUGACUUUCUUUUGUAAGUAUCUUAUAAUUUUUUAUAAUGAAAUUCUCUAUUUUUUGCCUAUACCUUGUCACACACAGCACUCGACAAAACUCCUGCAAUGGAUGCUCUUAGCGACAACCAAGACAAAUACGGUGACACGUCACUCAGAUAUUCUUACAGCGCUCAAAACAACAGUCAUGACAAAAAGUAAACUUUAUUACAAACUUUACAUACAAAGUUUACAAUAAAUACCCUGACGGGCAGACACUAGUCUAUUCCUACAGACUACUUUAUUGGCCUAGCUGCUCGGGCUGAUCACCCGCCUGGCCCUGCUGCCCGGACGAAGGGGUCGGGGCCACCGGCGCCUGGCUGGUCGAGACCGCAGGCGUCGACCGCCCAUCUCCCGCAACGGACGCGCCCGACAACUCCCUGGCCGACCUAUCUGAACUCGGCUGGUCUGGAGGAGUGGCCGUUCCGCAUAGAUUGAUGUCGCCGAUCACUGUCGACGACAAGUCCAGCAGACUACCCCGAAGCUCGUCCGCGUCCUGCGGGCCGACUUCCUUCGGGUACCCCUUCUCCAGCCUGCUCAAGUCGACCAGGGGGUAGUGGGCGCGCACCAUGCUGAGGACGUGCGCGCCGGCAAACUCCCCGGCGUCCUUCACAAACUGCUGGAGCCAGUCCCACGCCCGUUGCGCCUUCUCGACCGGGGUCAACUGCGGCGCGCGGGGCUGGCUCUCCGGGAGCUCGGGACUAAUCAGGUCUAGGACCGGGGACACUCCUUUCCAGAUCCUGCAACAGUUGACCUUCCAGGAGUCCCGGUCCUUGAUCAGAUCAUCCAGGUGCUUUUUGGCGUUCACCUUGAGCGCUGCAAACGAAACGAAGAGUUAUUUUCGGCAUAACAAAGGGGCAGGCAGCAACCAACAAGGCGGCACCCAUUACCAGAUAGCUCCCGGUCUUUUUGACCCAAUUCCUCUCCUGCUCGCCGCCUGGACUCCAGCGCACCGGCGAGCUGUUGGCUGAGCUGCUCCUUCUCUUGUCGGAGGCUCGCCACCUCCUCCUCCAAGUCUGCGUGAAUCCUAAACUGGUCAGCAAAGCAAACUAUACAAGUACGCGAAGCUGCUUGGAGCGUGUGACUAACCUUCUUGCAGCCGGUACUGGUCGGCCAAACGACGAGCGAGGUCGAGACGACGCUCCUUUUCGGCACUCAUCUCGACCACCUUCUCCCCGACCUCCGACCGCAACCGGUCUACCUCCGCGGCAAGGGCCUUGUUCUCGGCCAUGACGCCUUCUAUCUGGUCAAAGCACCGUUUCCAGUACUUCGCCGUUUUCAUUGCGCCCUACAAAGCAAGCAUAUAACGACCAUGCAAGACAAGGCAUAGAAUGUACAGCAGUACAAAAAGCCGCUUACCUUGACUUCGUCAACGAGGCGCUUGGCCGCGCGCUCCACCCUGGCGGCCUCUUCGGUCUCGGCGAGCUCCUCAUGCCCAAUAAAGUGAUCCCCGCGUUGGCGCCACACAUACACGUGUUGGCGGCCAUCACGGGGACGACCCUCAAUCUCUUCCACCUCAUCAUCGGAGGCCGCCCGGGUUUCCUCCUCCUGUGCUGCGUCACCCCCGGUGGUGGUCCCAGGUAUUACUGGCCCUCGGACCAGACCUGGGGAGCCCGCAGCCAAAGAGGCUCCUGCUCGGGGCGGCGUGGGGACUUCACUCCCCCCGGCAGGAGGAGCAGUCGGAGAUCUUCCCCUCUCUGAGGAGUCAGUUGGGGGAGCCUCUCCAGCCCUGGUCGGGCUGCUUGUCGUAGUCGGUGCCGCGCUCGGGAGCCCCUCGGUGCUCCCAGGCGCGACUGCAGCUGUUGGCUGCUCUGUGGUCUGGGGGGCCGCAUCCCCAGAACCGCGGGCAGGCUCGCCCGUUCCCUGGCUGGCAGCAUGGCCGGGGUCGACAUCCGAUGCCGCACUACAGGAACAAAAGUUAAAUUUCAAAAAAAAAAAAGUCAAAGAGGAGUCCAAAAUACGUAAGUCGAACACUUACAGGUCUGACCGACGGUGGGUCGCGGUGAACCUCCUCCUCGCCCGGCCGGUCGGCACCCGUGCCCCCAUCUCGACAGCUUGCGGGGCAGCGGCGCCGCUGGCCGCUCGAUCAGUGGCGACCGGCGCAUUGUCUGGGCGGCUCCGAGGCCGUCGGACCAAUGACGGCGCAGCCUCCUCCUCGUCGUCGUCGUCGACGAUCCGCACGAGCCGACGACGCUUCGGUGCUUGGCUGCUCUCCGCCGGUAGAUCUGCCGGCAGCCCCGAUGUCGGCAAGGGAUCUGCCGGCAAUGGCCUUUUCCCCGCUACCCUCUCCUCGGAGGUCGGGAUGGGGCGGGCUUGGUCUUCCUCACUACUGGUGUAAUGAGUACACCGAGCAGCGUCCUCCUCUGGCGGGUCUUCUCCCGCAGGAUUUUCCAUCCCCGGUGCCAGUGAUACAUACACUGUGCACCGGUCGACAUCGCCGAUCUGCAAAAGCAACAGAGAUGAGUCAACUGCAGACGAUAUACGAAUGCUAGAACAGAAUCUGCUACAUACCUUUGGUGCUGGUCGUCCUAACUUGAAGGCUUGCACCCGAUCACUGCCACGGAUGAAGCCCCCAUCCGCGAAGUUAAACAGCUCGUUCAACAGCUGUUGUACCUCCGCUUUCUCCAAGAUCUCCGACCGCAUCCUGGUCGGGUCUGCGCUUCCGGUAUACUCGUACGCCGAGUGCACCCUCUUCUGGCAGGGCAUCACCCGGCGGCAAAUGAAGUUGCCGACCACGCCAAGCCCGUCCAGGCGCGACCAGUCGAUUAGCUUCAUGAGAUCCGCCACUGGACCGUCGAACUCCGGGCGGUCGGUCCAGCUCGUCCUCUUCUCAGGAAUGUAUCCCACGUCGCAGAACGUGGAGCUGCCCGGUUCCUCCCUGAUGUAGAACCACUUCCUGUACCAUUCGGUUAAGGAAGUGUUCCAUGGGCAGUGCAGGUAGCGAUUCUUCAUUCCAUCACGAAGGUUGAGGUAUACUCCACCUGCAACCUUGGAGCCUCCAAUUGCUCCCUUCUUCCUCAAGCAGAAAAGAUACCGAAAAAGAUCGAAGUGCGGCUCUAUGCCAACAUAGGCCUCGCACAGGUGGAUAAAGGUGGAAAUGAGGAGAAUUGAGUUCGGGUGCAGAUUGCAAAUCCCGAUCUCAUAAUACAAAAGAAGACCUUGAAGAAAAGGAUGGACAGGAACACCAAAACCCCUCUUAAUGAAAUCUUCAAAUACGACGAUCUCACCGGCGCGAGGGUCGGGGUAGCUCUCCCCCUCCGGUGCCCUCCAGCCGCCGAGCUCCGGGCCGUGCAGAAGCCCCGUAUCGACGAGGUCACCAAGAGAUUUUGUGGUGCUGCGAGACUUCUUCCACUCCUUGGCCAUCAGUUCGGCCCUCUUCCUGGAGUCGCUCUUCGCCAUUAGAGGUGCGAAUGUGGGCUUGAGUUAGGAAGAUGCAGGAGAUUGGAGAAGAUGAGAGCGGAAGGUUUGAAGGCAAUGGCAGGGAAAGCGGUACAGGCAGGACCUAUUAGGCUCUUAUAAGCCCGCAACUCCACCUCUCCCACUUCCUGUAUUCUCGGGAAGUGGGCAGGCCAUGCGGCGGACGCGGCGUUUCGGUUUACAAUGAUUAUAGACAAUUAAUGCGGCGGAGUUUUCGUACCAAUUGAUGGUUUCCUUUUCUCAAACCAUGCAAAGGGCGGCUGUACAGUUGUCAGGUGCAACUUUUCAUGCAUCCGUCUGACACCCCGUCAGGAGGCCUCGUCACGUCAACUUUAACUGGAAAGAUCUUUUCAAAAAUAAGAAGACACAUACGCCAGUGAGUCAACAAUCCGGGGACUGCACCGACCACCGAGCACUCGACGCUCGGGGACUGGUCGCCCAGUCUAUCAGCGCGGAACUUCAAAGACUGCACCGACCACCGAGCACUCGACGCUCGGGGACUGGUCGCCCAGUCUAUCAGCGCGGAACUUCAAAGACUGCACCGACCACCGAGCACUCGACGCUCGGGGACUGGUCGCCCAGUCUAUCAGCGCGGAACUUCAAAGACUGCACCGACCACCGAGCACUCGACGCUCGAGGACUGGUCGCCCAGUCUAUCAGCGCGGAACUUCAAGGACUGCACCGACCACCGAACACUCGACGCUCGGGGACUGGUCGCCCAGUCUAUCAGCUCAAAGCUUUAAAGCAUGCACCGACCACCGAGCACUCGACGCUCGGGGACUGGUCGUACGGUAUAGCAACAUAUAAUUCCAAGGAGCACACUUAGUGCUUGGGGACUGGUCGAUUGGUCUUUUCAUUUGCAGACGAGCAUGACAUGCUCGGGGACUGGUAAAUUCACUUUUGACCUUGCUACAAGGCUCAUACUUCGCCUUCCAGCAAGCUCGGGGACUACAUCGGUACGAUGCAUCUAGCGAUGCAUCUCAGUCUCAAAACUACUUUGGGGAAUUUUCUUUUGACCCUGGCACCACGUGCCUACGUCACCUACUACCAGGCUCGGGGACUAAGUGGGCACACUUCACCUAGCGGUGAAUUUGCUUGCUUUUUUGGUGUUUAUACCUUUCAAAAAGGUAAAGUGGGCACACUUCAUCAGGAAAGAAAUUUUUUUUAAGAGCACCAUGCAUUCUUCGAACAACCCGCUUCUUCGAUGUCAAUGUUGAUCAACUGUCUUUUGAGUUGGUCAAAAUACCGUUGCAACUGUUCGGACGACUUUCCUGCUUAUUGAAGACGUCAAGCCACACUGAUCGAAGAAGCUCAAGACGGCGUGUUACAUCACAAUACAUGGUGCUCGGGGACUAGCUGUGGGGGUAUAAACCCCUAUACCCUUACGGCUAGAUUUCGGCCAGGAGGCUUGGUCCAUUACGAGACGAGUUCAAGGCUUGAUCCGACAACCUGGAGUUUCGCGCAAGGAAACAAGAUGUGGAGAUCAAGCAGGAUUCUAGUCGGUUAGAAUAGGAAUUGACAUCGAAUUAUCCAUGGCAAUUGUAACCGACUAGGAUUAGUUUCCAGAUCUGUAACCCCGCCCUCCAGACUAUAUAAGGAGGGGCGAGGGACCCCCCUAGGACAUCAUAUUCUCUCAGCACAAAUCAAUACAACCAGACGCAGGACGUAGGUAUUAUGCCAACUCGGCGGCCGAACCUGGAUAAAAAGCUUGUCCGUGUCUUGCGUCACCAUCGAGUUCGUAGUUUGCGCACCGUCUACCGAUAAACUACUACCGAGGGUAUACCCCAAGGUAGACUGCCGACUAGCUUUCGUCGACAUAAUUCUACUGUCGGACACUUGUCCAUUUUUACCUCUCGUCUCACUUUUUUCUUUUCUUUCGAGGUUCCGGGCACUUGCCCCUUUUUAUUUCCUCGUAUUCUUUUUUUUUUCUUUCUCUCUUUUUUUAGAGCACUCAUCUCCUGAAAUAAUAUAGCAAGUGGUAGUAACCAAGAUAACUUGAGCAUUUUUUUCACAGGGAAAAAAACAGAAAUAGGAGAAUGUUUUUGGCUAUUCUCUCCCGGAUUAGGAGUAGAAUAUUUUUGGGUGGUUCUGGAGAUGGAAAUGGGUGGAUAUGUGUGGAUGGUACUUCUGGAGUAGAAGUAGCAUGUGUGAGUGAACGUGCAAGUGAAUCUUGAUUUAACCACAUGACAAGCUCCUAAGGGUCUACACAGCUUGGCCACACUCAAUGCUCAUAAGCAGUAAAAAGUAAAUGUGUGGCUCAAAUUCUAGCAAGCAUGUAUAUAUGGCUGUGGUAGGAAUUUAAACUCUCAUCAUACAGGAACUCAUCAUGCAACAUUUUAAAGAUUUUCAAAGAUAAAAUUCUCCAGAAUUGUAGCAUCUCUAGGAACAGAUAAACAGCAGCUCAACCUUCCCAUAUAAUAUCCGUUAACGACUUAGACUUUAGAUCAAGUACUCUUCCCACAAGUUCAGGUUUAGAGCAAAUCUUAAUUAAUAACAGUAAUGCCUAAACUUGAGAGAGAUUUCAAUUUUAAGAACUAGUCAUGGUAGAGCAACUAUUCAUCAUUUUCAUAUGAGAGCUAUCAUGAGGGUUCAUAGCAGACUUUAUUUAUUUAUUUAUUUAGCAAACUAAUCAAAGAUAUAUAUAAGCACAAAAUCUUUAUUUUGGUUUCCAUGAUUAUGCAUCUUUUUAUUAUUAGAGUAAAGUAUAAACGUGAGUAGAAUACUUAGCUGAAUAAAUGGGGGUGCUCUCCCCCAAGCUGGAUUUUAACGUAGUUUCUUCUAAUGUAGCUAGCAAGUGGUGGAGGUGUAUUUGAAUGUCAGCAGCACCCUGACAGCGAUUAGGAUGUCCUCGGUCUGCUAGUCUUUUUUGAUCCUUGAAUUCUGUGGAGCUCAAAUAGACAACAAAGCUUUGUGGAACUAGAUAAGUGUUAGCAUAAAUAUCUAGCCUUUAUCAUGUUGAGCCUCCUCAAUAAAUAUUACUCUCUUUAGUAGGAUCAUAAAAUUAUUUUUAUAAUUUAAUUUUUUAUAGGACAGGAAUAUACUUAUUUCAUUUUUACGCCACCACAGUGGAUGUACUUAUGGGUUUUAUGCCAUGAGCAUACUCACAUGGGGCUUACUAUUUUUAACAUUUUUAUUUUCUUUUCAAGAUGAUAUGAACCUGAUUAACUAAGCAAACUAUUUUAAAUAGUUGAAAGGAAAAAAAUAACUACCAAGUUUACCUCUUGGCAAGACGUUCGAUGUUUUUAAAUCCUCCGAACGGGACUAUCCAUUUUCUCAGUUGUCCUGGGAUUUGCUAGAUGGCAUAGUCGGUGGUUCCGGCAGAGCCUGCUCUUCGUGUAUAACUAUCUUCUCUCUCCACACCUG
rnacentral:lncRNA from 1 species